rnacentral:lncRNA from 1 species
CAAACAAACCCCAACCCACACCAUAUCUCAAUAAGUCAGAAACUUGUAUGACAUUACCUUCACUGUAUAGACUACAAAGACGGAACAGAGAUUUUGCCUCCUCACUUUCCAAGAAGUCAUAACUCAAUUUUAUGGAGGUGUACACAUUUGCUUGCAUGCCAUGAAUUUCUCUAGCAUCCGAUCUUCUUAGCUGAUUCAAUGCAUCUUUCCAAAAGUAACGCUCUUUAGUUUUCAGAGCAUUUGCAACUGUACUCAGUGCAACAGGCAAACCUCCGCAUCUUUCAACGAUCUCAUUUGCUAUACUUUGAAAAGCAGAUAUUUUAGUUGAAUCACCCAAUAUCUUUUCAAAAACUGCAAUGCUUCUUUUGGUGGCAAAGCAUCGAUCGGGAAAUUUUUCUGAGAAUUCAUAUCAAUGCGCAAUAAAUCUCGACUUCUAGACGUCAAUAUUAUUGUGCAUCGUCUCUGAUCAUCCUUUGUAUCUUUCUCAUCAACAUCCCCACAAGGAAUUCCAACUUUUUCGAACUCGAGUUUUUUCCAAAUAUUAUCCAAUAUAACGAGGACCUGCUUCUCGUUCUUCAAUCUUUCACGUAAUCGAUCUGCUCUUUCGAAUUUAUUCUCAUCCGAGCCAAAUUUCAUGCCUAAGUCAAAAGCAAGUUUCUUUUGAAUUUCCUGAUGAUCUGGGGUCUGUGUUACCUCAGCCAUAACGACCUUAUCGAACACCUUAUCUUCCAUAACUUGCCUUGCAACUUGCUUGACUAGCGUGGUUUUACCCACGCCGCCCAUCCCGCAGACCCCAAUUAUCUUGAGCUUAUCAUCCUUCAACGCCUCCACAACAUCUUGAAAUACUUUCAUUCUUGAAUCAAAGGCCUCGAAAUCUUUCACUUGCAUAUGUUCUGCCCGCUUUGGAGCAGGACGGUAGGAAACAUUAGAGAAGUUACCUUUUCCCAUGAGACUAGCAGCAGCUUCUGCGGCCUUUGCUGCUUGUCUACUGAGCUUGUAACGAGAAAUCAAGUUUGGGCACAAUCCUUUGAAACAGAACUUCUUAGCUCUAUCUUCAUCAUCAGUGAUGGAUUUCGCAGCUCCCUGAGUGAAUUCCUUGACGCUAUUAAGCCAGUCUGCAACAUCCUUAUAAAUCUCAUCUCCUUGUUGAGUAGCCUGAUGAACGGGUAUUUCCACCCUUUCUCUUUUAUAUCCCAACUGUUUCACUUGAUCUUUUAGGCCAUCUAUGUAGCUCUGGUACUUGAACACAUAAGAGAUCUGCCGUAUAAUCGGUUUGAACAGUGACUUUGCAUCUUCUGAUACGAUGCUGGAAAAAGCAGCCAGACCCACUUCUACAACCAUUGCCUGUUGCUUAACAAUAUAUGUAUAUAUAUGAAUAAAAUGAAUAAAAAUGUCAAAGAAAGGAAUACAAAUAAAUUAAAAUGAACUAGAGGGAAAGACAGAGAAAGAAAAGACCGCAAACAACAUCGCGAUAUUGAUUUUGAACCAACUGAUACCUAAGUAGAGAAUUUCUUUUUCUAUCUUAAGGAUCAGAGGUUUCGCUAUUAACAGAAAGGUAUCCUUUAAGGAAAGUUGAUGGAAAUUAAGAAAGAAUGGCUAUCAAGAUCAAGUAUUCUGCUACUAAAAAUAAAUGAUAUGACUUAAGAAAAGUAAAUGAUAUGAUUAAGAAAAACCAGAGAAUUUUUUCCUAGGAAAGUUGAUGGAAAUUAAGAAAGAACCGCUAUGAAGAUCAAGUAUCAGAGAUUCUGCUACUAAAAGAAUAUUACAGGUUUUAGAACAAGUGCACCUCUUUACCUGUCUGGGAUCAGAGUCGAUGAGCUGCUGUAUUCACCUUGAAUAUAGAAGAAAUAUUACAGGUUUUGACUAAAGAGGAAUGUGAGGAACGAGUUGAUGAGAGUAAUAACAAUGAAUUUCCAAAAGAAGACGACUUGAGCAUUAAGCAUGCACCCCCUUUAUCAAUCAAAUAUUGGUACGUAUGUACGUAGGGACCAUUAUGCGUAUAUGAAGUCCAUUAGUUGCAAUCAGAAACCCUGGCCCAAUUUAAUUGGCACUCGAUUUUUGAUAAGAAGAAGGCAAGGAUAAGGACAAAGUCAAUCAAUCACCAACAGUAAUUACUUCAAUCUUUGUCAAUCUACUUAAAUUGUCGAUCAACAUGAAAAUUGUUUAAAUUGAUAUUUGUAAAUCAAUCAAUUUUCUAGUUACUAUGAUUAUAACGUUUCACCUUUCAUAUUGGAUUUUAUCUUUUCGAAAGUUUUCAAAUAUGAGUGUCAAUAAUUAUUGAGACUCCAAGCCGUGCUCUCAAGAUCGUGCUGACAAAUCACUAUUGACUUUGUUUAUGCAAAAUUCAAAGAAAAAAAGUUAUGGUUUUGUAUUGCCAGCCCUGCUACUUUUUGUUUUUUUCAUUUGUAUUAUUUACGAAUUAUUUUUUAACAGAAACAUGAGAACUCAUCAUCGUACAAAAUUGCAUGAAAAAAUCUUCAAAUUUAUAAAAGUAAAUUUCGUUGACAGAUUGUGGAUAUGUUAGAAAGAAUAAGGAUAAGAAUGAGUUAAGAAAUAAUAUAUAUAUAUAUAUAGAUAGAGAGAGAGAGAGAGAGUGAAAGUAAACAAUGUUUUGGUACAUUUGGUAUUGUUUUCAAAAUAUUUUGAAAAGAAAAAUUUUCAAUUAUCCACCUAGGAAUUAUCUUAUUAUCCAAAAAGUUAUAAAAAUUUAAAAAUAUUUAAUUUUAUACCCAUUAUUACAAUGUGUAUCAACUGUUUACUAAAAAAAUAAAGUUACUCCUAAAACAUAAUCACCACUACAAUUUUGUGUUCGCUUCUAUUUUGUCACUUUGAACGAAUAACUUUAUAUUUUUAACAGAUGUUUCAUACAAAUUGCAUACAUUGGAUGUAAAAUUAAAUAAAUUUAAAUUUUUAUAAUAAUUUUAAUAAUUGAAUAAACUUUGAGUAAAUGACUGAUAAUUUCUCUUUUAUAAGCUACAAGAAGUUAAAAAGAAAAAAGAAAAAAUAGGAUGAUAAUUUCUCUUUAAUAUGCCUCAGAUGAUUUAUUGUUUCGGGUCUAAGAUUUUAAAUAUUCAACUUAAAAGAUUAAUAUAUUAUAAAUUAAUUAAUUAAAUAAUCAUUAAGCAACUAAAUUGGGUCCCCUGGAUGUCAAUUCCUUUAUUAUUGACGCAACUAUUUUUUUAUGGCAAAUAAUUAUUAAUGCACUUACGGAACUUUUGCAUAUCUACACAGCGAUUUUAAAUAUUACUGGUAACUGCUGAGAAAUGUGCGAGAAAGAAGUUGAUGAGAGUAAUAACAGCGACUUGCAAAAGGAAAAGACAGAAUCAUUCAGACAUUCACCCCUUUUUGUAUCACGUACUUGGUUACUGUUUCCCUGUUGACGCAUGUAUAAAUUUGAGUGAUUUUUCUGCACUUUUUUGGCUGUUGCUUAACAAUGUGUGUGUGUGUGUGUGUGUGUGUAUUUGCUGUUGAAAAAUUUGGAUUCAAAUAAAUUAACUGAAAGAUUAGAGUUUUGACUAUUAACUGAAAGGUUUCAAGGGUAUGAAUGAAAAGCAACAUUCUUUUUUAGAAACUAUUUUAGAGGAGAGAUGCAAAUUAACAAAUGCUAAUAACAAGAACACAGAAGUUAACAAUGAACAGUAACUUAAAUCAAGAAAAUUAAAUGACAAAAUUAAGACAAAUAGGAGAUAUUUUUUCGUGGACGUUAAGAAAUAACUGCUGUCAAGAAUAAGGAGAUUAUGCUAUUAAUAGAAAUUAUCAAAGGAUUUAGGACAAGUUCACCUCUUUAAUUAUCCGGGAUCAGAUAGUUGAUGAGCUUCUCUAUUUGAUCUUGAAUAUUUAAGAAUAAUUUUAAUGAGCAAAAAGAUCACUGGUAACUGCUGAAAAAUAAGUGAGAAAAGAGUUGAUGAGAAUAAUAACAAUGAAUUGAAUAAAAAAAGGACUUAAUCAUGCACCCCCUUUGCAUAUCAUGUAUAGAAUAAUUACAUGUAUUAUUAUAAUUUUGGGUUCGAUAUCCUUGUAUUAGUGUCUAAGAUUUUCAUGAAGAAUUAAACUUGAAAUGACCAAAAGAGGAAGCUGCGGUGUAUUGUUGGACCCAAUUAAGUUGAAGAAAGCACUAGUUCACAACCUUACGUUUGGAUAUAUUCUAAAGAAAUAAUUAAACAGCAAAUGAUCAUCACAUGCACUUUAAUGAUUUGAUCUAUUGUUUUCAAAAGAAAUUGCAAUUAACAGUUUUUGUCAAAAGUUCGCACUGUGUGAAACUAGUGUUAAUAUAAUUUAAAAAAUUACUUUCAAUAGCAUAUGGAAUAAUUAUAAUAUUAUUAAUACCUAAGAUAUAUUUAUAUUUAUUAUAAAAAAUUCAGUUAAAUAUUUGUGUUAACUAGAAUUUAUAAUUAAUAUAAUAUAUCUUAGGUAUUAAUAAUAUUAUAAUUAUUCCAUAUGCUAUUGAAAAUAAUUUAAAUUUUUAGACGUUUAUUUUCAUAUUAAGUUUUUAUUUAUUAUAAAAUUUAGUUUAAUAUAGUAUAAGCUUGUAAAGUAUUAAAAUAUUUUUUUUCAUAUUUUUUAAAAAUAUUAAAAUUAUUUUAAUAUAUAUAUAUUAACAUUGAAGCCAAUUUUUUGAGUUAAUAGAGCUAGUAGGUGUUACACUAAAAAAGAGUAUCUUAGUAUCUCUUAUUGAGUGGGAGAGCCAAAUGAAUCGAAAAAUUCAUGUUUGGUUCGGGAAGGGAUCAUCGAAGUUUUGAGAUGAAUGGAAAGAUAAUCUACUUUCAUUAAGUGAUUUAUUAGAUAAUCGCAAACUGAGGAUUUUGAAUAGUAUUCAAAAUUCAGAAGAAAUGCAGAGAGGGGCCAUUGAACGGCCGGAAAAAGCCCGGCCCGGUUACAAAAAAUCAAAAUAGAAGCAGAUCAAUAUUGAAAAUAUAUAGAUCUAUAUAAUCAUUUUUUCAAAUAUCGAGAUGUAGCUAUAAAAGAAAAAAUAAAUUAAAAAAUUUUAAAUUUUAAAUUUUAAUAUGGCCAUCGUAGGGUUAGAAUCCCCGCUCCAACCCGAUUUGGAGAUGUGCUUGGUCUAUUUAUGUUUUGGAAAAAGAAAAACCAAAGAAAAAAAAUACGCACCCGACCAAAUCAAGUAACUCAUCAAAUAAAAAAUAAAAAAGGAAAGAAAUUUAAUGACUUGCGUGCAAUUUUGGAUCUGAAAUUAAAAUUACAUAAAAAUUCAGGCUUACGUACCUUGAUAUUUACAGCUUAUUUGAUGGCCUCAACAAGUUUAAGCAGCAUCAAAAUGUUGUGGCUCCUUCAAUGACAACAUCGACUUGUUUGACAGCUCCAACAAGGCUACGAUGAUCAGAAAAUGAGCCCUCAAUCAACCAGCGCCUUGCUCUUUGUCAUUUUUCCUCUUGUUAGUUUUCUUCUACAUAUAAUUAUUACACUGGGAAGUAUACACACACCUCUUUUCUUUUUAUAGUACCUUACUAUUAUAUCUUUACAAAACAAUAUCACCCUAAGACAUAUAUGUAUGAAAUAAAUAUAUAAGGAACUGACGAAAUAAAAUUAGAUCUAACACUAGUUUCAUGUGGUGUGUGAACUUUUGACAAUCCUCUCAUACCCCAACAAAAACUUUGUCAUAUUACGAAAGUUAUCACGACCAUAGACUUUUCAAUUGCAUAUUGGAAUUGCAAUGUCAUUUUAUUAUAGUAAUGUCAUUUCCAUUAUUCAUAGUGGCAGACAAUGGACAUCACGGGACACGGCGAGAAGUUAUCACGACCAUAGACUUUUCUAAUUUAUGAAAUAAAUGAAAUUAGAUCUAAUUCUAGUUUUAAGUGGUGUGAACUUUUGACAAUCCUCCCAUAUCCUAACAAAAGCUUUGUCAUAUUGCGAAAAUACCUUUCCAAUGUUUCAAUUGCAAUGUCAUUGCCAUUAUUCAUAGUGGCAGACAAUGGACAUCACGGGACAUGGCUAGAAGUCUAUGUUACGGCUUAUGUAAGUAACAGUAGCCAAUGGGGAACUUCCACAGGGGCUAUAGGAGAGAGAAAGAGGUCCCAAUACAAGUGUUAGAGUGCAAUUUAUACACUAGUUUUGCAUUGUUUACUUCCCUUAAUAUCAAUGUUUUGCAUUUAAUAAUAAUGAUUUACUUGUGUUUUACUUUUGUAGGUGCAAUUCUAUUGAUUUGUUAUAAAAUUGAGGUAUAAGAUGAUGUUUAAAGAUGAUUGUUCUCUUAGAGAAAUUUAGAGCGUCAGAAGAACUUUAUUGAUAAAGCGUGGGCGCGUGCUGUCAACUGCGGACCUGCAGUUUUUAGUUUAAUGUGUUUUGUAUUUUUGGCUAUUUUUGUAAUUACGAAUUUAAUAUUUCAAAUAUUAGUAUUUUAUUUUAAAUAGAACUCUAAAAGAGAAGAGAGAGAGAGUAUUUAAGGGAGGAAUCUAUUGUGAAAAAGGGGGGAUUUUAAUUGGAGAAAAAGAAAGAAACCCUAGAUCUAAUUUUUCUCUUCUCUCUAUGAAGAACUAAACUUAUUUUUUCUGGUGGAAGGUUAAUGAAGCUUUGAUUCAUCAAUACUGUGAGAUCUUUCUUAUGCUUUAAUUGUUUUAUUACUUUUUGGGUAUUUGUUUAUUCUCUGAAUUUGUUUCAUGAUUAUGUUUGUUAAUUAGGUAAUUGGCCACUAUUUAAUUAUCAACUUAAUCUAUUGUCAAUUAAAGAAUUCAUCGUAUGAAGAGUUUAAUGUUUGUGACAAAUAACAUAGCAGUGAGUUGUGUUAUGGGAAUAAACAAUCUAAUUUAAAUGAAUCAUUAUAUGUGUUGAUUAGGAUUUGGGUCUCUAUGGUUUUUCAGGCUGUCAAUUGAUUAAAUCCUAUGAUCGUAUCUAGGGUUGUCUAUUGAUUAGGGAAAUAUCCAACGGUCGUACCUUGGUUAUCGACUAGUUAAGGAGAGAUUGGCUAUUAGAGGGUCUCAAUAGCUAUAACCGGUCUAUUCAUAAGUAAUAAUAAUCUAUUUUUGAAUCAAUGAUUAGUAGUCGAAUCAAGCUGAGUUAAUUCCUUCAACCAGAGCUUUCUCCAAUUUGAAUUACAACUUUAAUUUGCAUUUUUGUUAUUUUAAUUUGAUUUUUUAUUAUUGUCAACAAUUCCCCCAUUUUACGUUUUACGUUUCAAAAGGAUUUAAAUAAUUACCGAUCUCUGUGGACACGACCCUGCUCAAUCACUAUACACAAUUUAUUUAGAGUAGGAAUUUAUUUUUGUUGGCUUCGACAACCAUCAACAAGGUGAUGGAAAUGGGAAAGUUCGAAGCUGUUACUUUCAGCUUCUGCACCGUAGCCAUGUCCCACGGGACAAGGCUAGAAGUUAUCAUGACCAUAGACUUUUCUAAUUUAUUUUUUCCUUUCAAAAAGGGACAAGGAUAAGUUUGGGAGAAUGAUUAUAUUUUUAAUAAAAGAAUUCUUUUUUAUUAUAAUACUUUUUGUCUUUAUUAAUUUAAAAAUAUUAACUCUUAUAUUUUAAUAAAUAUAAAUAUAAUAUUAUAAUAACAUAUAACAAUAUAUACAAAAAUUUAAAAAAAAUUAAGAUUUUAUUAAAAUAAAUUUUAUAAUAAAUACAAAUACAUUAUUAAUAUAAUUUUAAUAAUUUGCAUUUUAAAAAGUAAUACUGAUAUUAAUUUUUUAAAUAUUAAUUUUUUAAAUUAUAUUACUCUACCAAAAAAAAUUAAACUAUUAAAUUAUAUUGAUAUUUAUUACAAAAUUUGCAAUUAAUUCUUAUUAUAUUUUUAAUUGGAAUUUGUUCCUGUGAUAUAACAACAAUUGCUACAGUUUUUUUCCCUAAAUAAAGAUGGAGUUAUAAAUUAUUUGUGUAAGUGUCAUGAAAGUAAUAGUUGAAUAACAAUAAUGGGGCUUUAGGCAAUUUUUUCAUGAGGUCUUCUUGCAAUUUCAACACUUAAACAUACUUGUCCUUGAUCCCAAUUUAUUUACCCCAUUUGGGCCCACGAUGAGAUAAAUAUAUUCCUGUGAGAUGAAAAACAUCAGGAGAAGAAAAUGUUUUAUUAUAAUAAAAAAACAAGUGGUCCAUAAGUCUAUUUAUUACUUUUUUUAUUCAAUACAAAUGGCCAACUUAAAAAAUGAUAAAAAUCACAUAACGCACAAGCAAAAAUUUAGAUUUACAUUUUUUUAGUUCUCUCCGUGUCUCUCUUUCUCUUUUUUUUUUUUAAAAAAAAUAAAUGUCAGUGUAAAAUUAGAAAAAUUUUAGAUAUAAACUUUGGCGAUGACCAAACAAAAAUUGCAAGGGAAAGAAAAUAGAGGACCCUUGAUAUCAUUGAAAUACUGAUCAUAGACACUACAAUAUAAAUAACUUGUUGUGAUCCACUCAACUUGUAACACUUUAAUCCAUAUUCUAAAAUUUGUAUGCUUGUUAGGAAUUUUAUUAUUGACAUUACUGUACCAAUAAAAGUCUAAUUUAUUCAUAUGGAAAGAAAACAUCAAGAAAGGACCUCUGAUUUUUAUUAUAACAGAAAAAAGUGGUCCAUAAGUUUAUUUAUUAUUUUAUUUAUUCAAUACAAAUUGCCAACUUAAAAAAUGGUAAAAAUCACAAAAUGCACAAGUAAAAUUUUAGAAUUACAUUUUUUUAAUUCUCUUUGAGUCUCUCUCUCUCUCUUUAAAAAAUAAACCUCACUGUAAAAUUAGAAAAAUUUUAGACAUAAAAUUUGACAAUCACCAAACAGAAAAUGUAGGGAAAUGAAAAUGGAGGAGCCCUAUUAUCAUUAGAAUAUUGAUCAUAGAUACUAUAAUGUAAAUGAUUUGUUGUGGUUCAUUCAACCUGUCACACUCUAAGCCAUUUUCUAAAAUUUGUAAGGUUUAUAGGAUUUUUAUUAUUGGCAUCAUUGUAUCAAUAAUAUUAUAAAUUAUAUAUUCUAUUGUAAUGAAAAUUUAUGUAAUCUUAGGUAUUUAUUUAUUGUAAUAAUAAAAAAUUUCUAAAUAAAGGUGAUUGCUUCAUUGACAAGUACAUAUUUAUAUUCUCUAUUAGUAUUUGGGUUGUAAACUUUGUUUAUAAAGUGAAUAUAUUGUGGUAAGCGAUGUGGGCAAUAUCGGAUGCAAAAUAUUGAGAGAUCAUUAACGCAUAUAUUUAUUGAAGACGCAUAUAGAGGAAAGAGUGUAGAUCCGGCCGUAACAAUUAUGAAGCUUUCCCCAAGUAUUCUCACGCUUCCUUAACUGUUGCAAAGUAUUUUUCAUAGUGUGCAGAUUUACUUUAUGGUGUCUUAAUUCGUCUAAAAUGAUUACUUUAGUUCUUUUGGGAUGAAAGGUCAUUUAUUGUGUUAGUAUUAAACAAUAGAAAAAAUAAGUAAUGGUAACGAAAGACUAAUUUGUGAUAUUGAAGCAUACAUGCUUAACUCAAUCCAAAACUUAGUAAGUUAGCUCAAGAGUUAAGAGUUGUCCAAAUCUUAUAUGCUGAACCCAAGUUCAAUACUCAAUUGAUGCAGGAUGUUAUUCCUAACACCGCCCCUCAUGCGUAGGAUUGGCAAAAAAACUCGAGUCAGUCCCGCCUAGACCUGCAAGCUUUAUUUAUGGCCAGCAUGAUGAAGUUACAGAUAUUAACCUAAAAAUUUGAAACUUACUAUGAAUGGCCUUGGUUAAAGACUUUUGUAACUUUAAUUUAUAACAAGUAUGUAUACACACACACACACAUGUUUAGAUUGCAUUUGGAUGACUUUUUUAUCAAUGCAAACAAUAUCAAAUUUAUCGGAUUAAUUUGAAUCUGAUCUAUAUCCGAUUUUGCCCGCCAUANNNNNNNNNNNNNNNNNNNNNNNNNNNNNNNNNNNNNNNNNNNNNNNNNNNNNNNNNNNNNNNNNNNNNNNNNNNNNNNNNNNNNNNNNNNNNNNNNNNNNNNNNNNNNNNNNNNNNNNNNNNNNNNNNNNNNNNNNNNNNNNNNNNNNNNNNNNNNNNNNNNNNNNNNNNNNNNNNNNNNNNNNNNNNNNNNNNNNNNNNNNNNNNNNNNNNNNNNNNNNNNNNNNNNNNNNNNNNNNNNNNNNNNNNNNNNNNNNNNNNNNNNNNNNNNNNNNNNNNNNNNNNNNNNNNNNNNNNNNNNNNNNNNNNNNNNNNNNNNNNNNNNNNNNNNNNNNNNNNNNNNNNNNNNNNNNNNNNNNNNNNNNNNNNNNNNNNNNNNNNNNNNNNNNNNNNNNNNNNNNNNNNNNNNNNNNNNNNNNNNNNNNNNNNNNNNNNNNNNNNNNNNNNNNNNNNNNNNNNNNNNNNNNNNNNNNNNNNNNNNNNNNNNNNNNNNNNNNNNNNNNNNNNNNNNNNNNNNNNNNNNNNNNNNNNNNNNNNNNNNNNNNNNNNNNNNNNNNNNNNNNNNNNNNNNNNNNNNNNNNNNNNNNNNNNNNNNNNNNNNNNNNNNNNNNNNNNNNNNNNNNNNNNNNNNNNNNNNNNNNNNNNNNNNNNNNNNNNNNNNNNNNNNNNNNNNNNNNNNNNNNNNNNNNNNNNNNNNNNNNNNNNNNNNNNNNNNNNNNNNNNNNNNNNNNNNNNNNNNNNNNNNNNNNNNNNNNNNNNNNNNNNNNNNNNNNNNNNNNNNNNNNNNNNNNNNNNNNNNNNNNNNNNNNNNNNNNNNNNNNNNNNNNNNNNNNNNNNNNNNNNNNNNNNNNNNNNNNNNNNNNNNNNNNNNNNNNNNNNNNNNNNNNNNNNNNNNNNNNNNNNNNNNNNNNNNNNNNNNNNNNNNNNNNNNNNNNNNNNNNNNNNNNNNNNNNNNNNNNNNNNNNNNNNNNNNNNNNNNNNNNNNNNNNNNNNNNNNNNNNNNNNNNNNNNNNNNNNNNNNNNNNNNNNNNNNNNNNNNNNNNNNNNNNNNNNNNNNNNNNNNNNNNNNNNNNNNNNNNNNNNNNNNNNNNNNNNNNNNNNNNNNNNNNNNNNNNNNNNNNNNNNNNNNNNNNNNNNNNNNNNNNNNNNNNNNNNNNNNNNNNNNNNNNNNNNNNNNNNNNNNNNNNNNNNNNNNNNNNNNNNNNNNNNNNNUACCUCUUUUAACGACAAGAUUCGUAGUAGAUGAUAAAAAGAAAAUUAACUUCAAAUUUUUUCAUUAAAUGUAAAUCUGAUUGAAGUAGUUUAAAUUUUUCUAGUAGACUAAUAUAUAUAACUUAAAUAAUUAAUUUCAUUAUUAAUUUUUAAAAUGUUAACUAAUAUAUUUUUAAUUUAUUAUAAAAAUUUUAAAUAAAUCCUUGGAUUAAAUAGAUUUUACAAUUAAUGUAAUACUUCUGAUUUAUUAAUAAUAUUAAAAUUAUUUUAUAUGAUAUUCAAAAUAAUUUAAACUUAUAUAUAUAUUAAUAUUAUGUCUAUUUAUUAUAAUAUGGUUUAAUAUUAUACGGGAUUGUAAAAUAUUAAAAUAUUUUUCAAUAUCCAAUUAUUUUAAUAUGUAUAUAUCAUUACAUUUAUUUUAGUAUCGUAUUUAUAUUUAUUAUAAAAUAUAAAAUUAAUAAAAUUAAAGAGUAUUGCAGUAAAGUAAAAAAAAAAAGUCUUAUUAUCUCUUAUUCACAAUAUGAGAUUCUACAAAAUUAUUUCCCGAAACGGGUGUCCUUUUCUUAUUUUCAAAAGAAAAAAUAAAGUAAGAAUAAGUCCAUGGGUUUCAAAAACUUCUAGUCUUAUCCCGGGACUACAUUGUCUGCCACUAUAACUAAUGGAAAUGACAAUACAAUUGACAUUGCCUUUCGCAACAUGACAAAUUUUUGGUGGGAUAUGGAAGAAUUGUCAAAAGUUCACGCCAUGUAAGAGUUUUUGGUGGGAUGUGGGAGGAUUGUCAAAAUAUCACACCACGUGAUAUAACCACAAUUGCUAUGGUUUUUAUUUUUUAAAUAAUGAUGGGAGUUAUAAAUUAUUUAUAUAAAUUUGCGUAGAAACUAAUGUAACAUAAAAGAAGUAGCUGAAUAAUAAUAUUUGGUGCUUUAGGUAAUUUUUAUAUGAGCCUUUCUUUUAUUUAGCGGCUCUAGUGCUUAAACAAACUUGUUCUCGAUCUUAAUUUACUGACCCCAUUUAAGCCUAUGAUGACAUAAUUAAACAUAUUCUUUUGUGACGAAAACAUCAAGAGAAGACAUCUCAUGUUUUAUUAUAACAGAAAAGAAGUGAUCCAAACGUCUAUUCGUUAUUUUAUUUAUUCAAUAUAAAUGGUCAACUUUAAAAAAAUGAUAAAAAUCACACAACGCUCAAGUAAAAAUUUAGAAUUACAUUUUUUAAAACUCUCUGAGUCUCUCUCUCCUGCCCCCCCCCCCCCCUCUUUUUUUUAAAAUAAACCUUAGUGUAAAAUUAGAAGAAUUUUAGAUAUAAAAUUUGGCAAUCGCUAAACAGAAAAGUAGCGGAUUGAAAAUAAAAAAGCUCUAUUAUCAUAGGAAUAUUGAUUAUACAUAAUAUAAUAACUUGUUGUGGUUCAUUGUAGCACUCUGAGCCAUACUUUAAAAUUUACUGGUUUGUUAAUGCUUUUAUUAUUGACAUUAUUGUGUCAAUAUUACUAUAAUUUAUUCAUUUUAUUGUAAUGAUAAUUUGUGUAGUCUUAGGUACUUAUUAUAUUAAAUUAUGUAAAUUAAUUGAGAAUACUUUUAGAGACAAAAGAAACACGUGUAUGUAGGAUUAAUAAUCGAAGAAUUGUAAAUGAAGGUGAUUGCUUCAUUGAGAGGCAUAUUGAAUAAUUAUGGAGGUUGCACUAUUUCGGAAGCACAUAUUUAUACUUCCCUAUCAGGAUUUGGGGUAAACGAAGUGCUUUAUCUAUUGCAGUAAGCAAUGUGGGCAAUAUCAGAGGCGAAAUAUUAAAAGAUUAUAACGCAUAUAUUUGAGCCAUUUAUAUUGAAGACACAUAUAGAGGAAAGAGUGCAGAUCAGGCUUUCCUCAAGUAUUCUCAUGCUUCCGCAACUGUUCUGAACUAUUCUUCAUUGUGGGCAGAUUUACUUAAUUACCAACACUAUGAUUCAAUACUUCAAAGGUUGAGGAAAUGUCAAAAUAUGAAAUGAAAAUACUUAAAUACCCUUCUACCUAACAAAACUUGGUACUUCUAACUGCACUCGCAGAGAAUAUAUAAAAUUAAAAAAAUAUAUAUUCAUCCAUGAAAAGCUUCGUAACAGAAAAACCAUCUUUAAAAAAAAUAAAAAUAAAAUUAAAAAAAAAAAACAGAAAAACCGACUCAUUUAUCUGCCAAUGAACCAAUUGGGACUCAUUUAAAAAAGAAUACAAAGCAAAAGUGAAUGACACAAAUUGCAUAGAUAUCUAGGUAUAAUUUGUCCAAGUAAUAAAUUCUCCUAGGUCAAAAGCAAUUAACGAUGAAAACUUUCUUCAUUAAGGUUCUGGCCUACGUAAAAAAACAGAAAAAACCACCCCAAGGUCAAAGCACAACGAUAAGUUUAGAACUGCAGUUUUUAAUUUUUUUUAAUAAAUCAAUGUGUAUCAAAAAUAGAUAAUAAUUUUGGAUAACUUUUUUUGAUAAAUAUAGACAUAAAAUUUUAAAAUCACCAAACAGAAAAACAGGGGAAUUAAAAGAGAGCCCUUGUUUCUCCUCUGUUUUGUUUGUUAUCAAACAGUGAAAUGAAAAGAUCGCAAGCGGAAAUUUUGUUUCUGCGUUGUAUCUUCUCAAUGCUGCAUGCAUUCAAAUUAAACCUUAUAUAUGCUAGCAAACUAGCUACUCUGCAUGUAAGUUCUCGAUAAGUCCAAAUAAUAGAAUAAUUGUAAAAUGUUAAAAUUCAGUAAUUAAUUAUACAUAUUUAUUUAUUCAAAAAUUAUUAUUAUUAAUUAUUGUCAAUAUAUAUUAAUAUUCUGAUUAAUUGUAAAAAAUUUAUCAUUCAUAACAAUAAUAAUGAUGAUGAUGAUAAUAAUAAUAAUAAUUCAAAAUAUAUUAAUUAAUUAUAAUAAUAUAUUAAUUAUUUAAUAAUAGUAAUAAAUGUAAAAUGUAUAAAUUGAUUAGAAUAGUUAUAUUAAUAAAUUAUAAACAUAUAUUAAUUAAUCAUAAUAAUUUUUUAAUUGAGGACAAAAUAGACAUUUUAUAGUUUGUGAGAGGGGGUAAAAUGGUCAAUCUUGGGAACGGGGGAUUGAUUCCCACCACCUUCCUUGGGAAUCAAUCUUCCAUUCCUCAUUCCUAAAUUUGGGUGGCCCCAUAAUUCUGAUUUGGAUCCCUGCCUCCAUCAUUAAUGAUUUCGAUUUCGGAUUCCGAUUCCCCAAUCCAAGAAGUAAAGGCACCAUUAUUGUUAAUUGGUUCAAACACACAAAGAGAAUGUACCAUGUAGCUAGGCGUCAAGGUUGUGUUGCACAAGUAACCUUUUUCUUUUCUUUUUAUUUUUCUUGUUUUCCUUAACGGAUCAGAAGAAAUUGGUGCCUUUGAGAUACCACAAUGUAAAUAAGUACUUGUGGUUCAUUGAAUCGGUAACACUCGGUACCCUAAGGUUGCUUUGGAAAAAAGGCUUUUCUCACUGAUCGCCAAUAUCCAAGUAAGUUUGUUUCAUUUCAGAAGGUGCAAAGUUUCAAACUUGUUGUAUUGGGAUGUAACAAACUUUGGCCUCAUAUGCCUGCUGUGACGUUAGACUGUUCAUUUUGAUUGUUUCCUACCUUCCACUUACGCCAUUGUAGCACUGUAUUAUUCACCAUUUUAACUGUUUAAAUGAAAUUUUAUUUUUGUCAAAAAUAAAAUGACACCAUUAAAAUUUAGAAAAAUAAUAAUGUAGAUCCCAAAUUUUUAAAAAAGAAUACCAAUAUUCCCCUUGACUACAAUACCCUUAGUAGGUGGUAAUAAAAAAAAAUUGGCUUAAAAUUUUUACGAAAUGUAAAUAUGAUUUAAAUAAUUUAAAUUUUCCAGUAGACUAAUAUAUAUAAUUUAAAUAUUAAUUUUUAAAAUUUAAAUUAAUUUAUUUGUAUUUAUAAAAUAGUUGUAAUUAUUUUAAAAUUUAACUAAAUCCUUAGGUUAAAUAGAUUUUACAAUUAAUAUAAUAUUUCUCAUGUAUUAAUAAUAUUAAAAUUAUUUUAUAUGAUAUUGAAAAUAACCUAAAUUUUUAUAUAUUUAUUUGAAUAUUAUGCUCUAUUUAUUAUAAUUUGGUUUAAUAGAAUACGAGAUUGUAAAAUAUUAAAAUUUUAAAUAUUGAAAUUAUUUUAAUAUGUAUAUAUUAUUAUAUUUAUUUUAAUAUCCUAUUUAUAUUUAUCAUAAAUUAUUAGAGUUAAUUUUUUUAGUUAAUAAAUUUAAAAAAUAUUAUAAUUUUAAAAAAAAAGUCUUGUUGUCCGUUAUUCACGAUAUGAGGUUCUACAAAAUUAUUUCUCCAGGCGGGUGUCCUUUUUUUAUUUUCAAAAGGAAAAACAAGUUCAGGGCCUCAGGGGUUUCAAAAAAUUCUGGUCCUAUCUACCACUAUGACUAAUGGGAAAUGACAUUGCAAUUGACAUUGCUUUCCGCAAUAUGACAAAUUAUUGGAGGGAUAUGGGAGAAUUGUCAAACGUUCACACACGCGAGAGCUUUAGGUGGGAUAGGGGAGGAUUGUCAAGAGUUCACACCACGAGAAACUAAUGAUAGGCCUAAUUUCGUUGUCAGUUCUUUAUUUAUUUAUUUUAUUUAUUUCAUACAUUAUUGUUUUUAUAAAGGUAUAAAAGUAAAGUAAAAUACCAGGGGUGCUGUUAAGUUACAACUUAUGUAACUUGCAAUUUUUUCAAAAAUAAUGUAAAAAAUUUAAUAGGUGGUGGGACCCACAUAUUUUUUAAGAGACUUAAGUUACAACAGUUGUAACUUAACAAAAUCUAAAUAUUAGACAAUAAUGCAUAUAAUUUGGGUUUGAUUUUUAAAAGAUUAUUUGAGUACCACCUAUCCUUAUGAUAUUAAUCUGAUUAUAUCUUAAUAUUAAAUAAUCAAAAUUUGUUUAAUUAUUAUUUGUAUUUCAUACAUUACAUAUUAGAUUUGUUUGAAUUUUAAGUUGUUGCUAAUAAAUAUUUAUGUUGUCAAAGUCAAAGUCAAUAGCUACAAAAGCAGAGAUAAUGGUAUUGUAUAUAGUUUUUAAGAAUGCAAGGAUAAGCUGGAUAAUUGACUUAAAUUCUAAUGAUUAAAAGAGCAACUAUCCCUUAAGUUAUAAUGUCAAUUUCUUUAAUUAGAAAUUUUUUUUUUCAUGUGAUAUAACCUCAAUUGCUACAAUUUUUUUUAUAAUAAUAAUGGGAGUUAUAAAUUAUUUAUAUAAAAUUUGGGUUGAAACUAAUGUAACCUAAAAGUGGUUGCUAAAUAACAAUAUUUGAAACUUUAAGUAAUUUUCAUGAGUCCUUUUUAUAUUCAGCAACUUGAAUUGGGGGAAAUCCGACUUGAAUUGGCGGUUGAUUUUGGUGAUGUGGCUUUUGGUUUACGCCGGCUUUACAGUGGCGGAAGACUGGAUUUACGGUUGCCGAAUGCUAGGGAUUAUGGUGGUGGUGUAAAUUGACGGAAAAAGAAGGUGUUUUGGUGGCGGCGCAUCUAGGAAGCACUCGUGGGUUGUCGUUUCGUGUGCUGACAACGGGCGGCGAUCAAGGGCUGAAGUUGGUUGGUUUUUGGUCAACGGAGGCCGGCGAGUUUGUUGGUGGAGGUGGUUGGUGGAGAAAGUGGCUGAAUGGUGGUGGGUUGCUUGGUGGAGCCGUGGGUUUGGGUUGGUGAUUUGCGGCUGUUGAGGCAGCGAUGACUGAGGCUUGGUCAACUGUGGCUAGUGAGGUUUGUGGUGGUGUUGGCUGGCUGAUCGGCGGUGGUGGGCGGCGGUGGAGGUUGAUGUGACGGGUUGGGUUUUCAAAUUUGUAAAUUUUGUUUUUUGAUGGAUUUGGUUUGGAUAGGUAUGGUGUAUCUAGGAAAGAUGUGCGAUUCGCACAUAAUCAUCUUGAUACCAAUUGAUGGAGCGAGGCGUAGCGGAAGCAGAAUUGAUAGGGUAAGAAACAUUAGAUAUUGUUCUAGUACUAGACCAAGCCAACGCGAUUAGUUCACGCUCUAAUCGAAGCAUGAUUAGAUAUCGUUAUAAUCCAAAUGACUCAAUGAGAUUUUUAAUAAUGCGUAAUACGAGAUUAGAUGACACUCUAAUCCAAACGACUCUACAAGAGAGAUUUUGAUAAAUAAUCCUAGAGAAAAUUAUAAAAGAGGGGUUUUAUUUAAUAAUUGAACUUGAAGUUAUGAAAAUAAUGACAAGACAUCUUUAUUUUUUUUAUUACAAAUAUCUUUAUUUAUAAUAGAAGAAACCCGCUUUCCUAAGUUAACCUAAAAAGAAAAUUUAAAUCAUAAUUAUAAUGGAAAUAAAAGAUUAAAAUACAUACCAUAAUUAACUCAAACUAAAAUAGAAAAUCAUAAAAUAAUAAAUAUUCUAGAAUUAUAAAUUAUCUAAAAUAACGUUAAUUAACUUCUUAAAUCACUUCUUUGGUGUUAACCAUUUUGCAUCCAACCUCGCUUUAAAGGUUUGAACCAACGUUACCAACAAUAAUGUAUCAAAUUCCAAUCUAACUUAAGAUCCUGAUACAUCUACCGAUGUCCUUGUUUGAUUAGACAAUAAUGAGUCUAUCUCAUCACUUGUUACCUCUUUCUUGAAGGCUGCAUCUGUUGAAGUGAUAGUCUCGUUUAGAGUUUAAAGAUCUUCUUCCAUGUUAAAUAAAAUGGGCAUUUGAUUAAAAAACUUUAUCUCUAUCUCCUUCUAUCAAAUAACGACAACUAUCCGAAGGGAAAAAAAAUUAGAAAAGUCCAUGGGUCACAAUAAUUUAUGGUCUGUUCCCGGACCCCAUUAUCUGCCACUAUCAAUGAUGAAAAUGAAAAUAAAUGGCAUCUUCCCAAAAUGGCAAAAGAUUUUUGGGGGAUAUGGGGGAAUUGUCAAAAGUUCACACAACGCGAAACAAGUGUUACAUCCAAUUUUAUUUCGUCAUAUAAUGAUAAUAUCAAAUAAUGACAACCAUCCAAAAGUAUGAUGGGUCUUCCACAAUUUUGAAAAUGUCGUCAACAUUUAAUCUUCAAUGCUAAAGAAGAUGAAAUGACCAAAAAUGACACGCAGGACCAACUUACAGACUAAAUGGCUCUGACCACAUGUAACAAACUUUGGCUUUAUGUCCUUGCUGAGGCGUUAGACUGUUGGUCAUUUUGAUUGCUUUUUACCUUCCAUUUACGCCAUUGUAGCAUUGUACUAUUCACCAUUUUAGCUGUUUAAAUGAAAUUGUUAUUUUUUUUUCCAAAAAUAAAAUGACACCCUUAAAAUUUUAGAAAAUAGCCAUGUAGAUCCCAAAUUUUUAAUAAAGAACACUAAUAUCAUUUUUGACUAUAGUACUCUUAGUAGAUGGUAACAAAAAAAAAUGACUGCAAAAGUUUUUACUAAAUGUAAAUAUGAUUUAAAUAGUUUAAAUUUUCUAGUAGACUAGUAUGUCUAAUUUAAAUAAUUAAUUUUUAAAAUGUAAUUUAAUAUAUUUAUUUUAAUAAUAUAUUUAUCAUAAAAAUUUUAAACAAAUCCUUGGGUUAAAUAGAUUUUAUAAUUAAUAUAAUAUUUCUCAUGUUUUAAUAAUAUUAAAAUUAUUUGAUAUGAUAUUGAAAAUAAUUAAAACUUUUAUAUAUUUAUUUGAAUAUUAUUUCUCUAUUUAUUAUAAUUUGGUUUAAUAGAAUACGAGAUUGUAAAAUAUUAAAAUAUUUUUAGGUAUUAAAAUUAUUUUAAUAUGUACAUAUUAUUAUAUUUAUUUUAAUAUCCUGCUUAUAUUUAUUAUAAAAUAUUAAAAUUAAUUUUUUUAGUUAAUAAAUUUAAAAAUAUAUAUUAUAAUUAAAAAAAGAGUCUUAUUGUCUGUUAUUUACGAUAUGAGGUUCUACAAAAUUAUUUUCAAAAGGAAAAAUAAGUCUAAGGGUUUCAACAAAUUCUAGUCCUAUCUGCCACUAUGACUAAUGGAAACGACAUUGCAAUUGACAUUGCUUUUUGUAAUAUGACAAAUUUUUGGAGGCAUAUGGGAGAAUCAUCAAAUGUUCACACUACGCGGGAGUUUUGGAUGGGAUCAGGGAGGAUUGUCAAGAGUUCACACCACGAGAAACCAAUGAUAGCCCUAAUUUCGCUGUCAGUUCUUUGUUUAUUUAUUUUAUUUAUUUCAUACAUUGUUGUCUUGUUGGCAUUGUUUUGUAAAAUAAAAGUAAAGUAAACUAUUAGGGUGCUGCUAGGUUAAGUUGUUGUAACUUACAGUCCCUUAAAAAAUAAUGUAAAAAAUUUAACAUGUGGUGGGAUCCACAUAUGUUUGAAGAGGCCGUAAGUUACAGUAGUUGUGACUUAGCAAAAUCCAAAUAUUAGACAAUAACGCACAUUAACAAUGCAUAUAAUUUGGGUUUUAUUUUUUUUUAAUUAUUUGAGUAUUAUCUAUCCUUAAGAUAUUAAUGUGAAUAUAAUUUAAUAUUAAAUAAUCAAAAUCUAUUUAAUCAUAAUAUAUAUUUCAUACAUUGCAUGUUUAAUCAAAAUCUGAUUGCUUUUUACCUUCUAUUUCGCCCACUGUAGCAUUCUACUAUUUACCAUUUUAGCUAUUUAAAUGAAAUUUAUUUUUUUUCCAAAAAUAAAAUGACACCCUUAAAAUUUUAGAAAAUAGUCAUGCAGACGCCAAAAUUUUAAUAAAGAACACCAAUACCCUUUUUGACUAUAGUACUCUUAUGGUAGCCACAAAAAAAAAAUGACUUCAAAUUUUUUUACUAAAUGUAAAUAUGAUUUAAAUAGUUUAAAUUUUCUAGUAGACUAGUAUGUAUAAUGUAAAUAAUUAAUUUUUAAAAUGUAAUUUAAUAUAUUUAUUAUAAAAAUUUUAAACAAAUCCUUGGGUUAAAUAGUUUUUAUAAUUAAUAUAAUAUUUCUCAUGUUUUAAUAAUAUUAAAAUUAUUUUAUAUGAUAUUGAAAAUUAUUUUAUAUGUAAAUCAUAUUUACAUUUAAUAGAAUACGAGAUUGUAAAAUAUUAAAAUAUUUUUUGGUAUUGAAAUUAUUUUAAUAUGUAUAUAUUAUUAUAUUUAUUUUGAUAUCCUACUUAUAUUUAUUAUAAAAUAUUAAAAUUAAUUUUUUUAGUUAAUAAUUUAAAAAAAAAUAUUAUAGUUAAAAAAAAAGAGUCUCAUUGUCCGUUAUUCACGAUAUGAGGUUCUACAAAAUUAUUUUCAAAAGGAAAAAUAAGUCCAGGGCUUUCAACAAAUUCUAGUCCUUCUGCCACUAUGACUAAUGGAGACGCAUUGAAUUGACAAUGCUUUUUGCAAUAUGACAAAUUUUUGGAGGGAUAUGAGAGAAUCGUCAAGCUUUCACACCAUGCGAGAGCUUUAGGUGGGAUAUGGGAGAAUUGUCAAGAGUUCACACCACGAGAAAUUAAUGACAAGCCUAAUUUCGUUGUCAGUUCUUUAUUUAUUUAUUUUAUUGAUUUCAUACAUUAUUGUCUUGUUGGUACUAUUUUGUAAAGAUAUAAAAGUACAAGUAAAAUAUUAGGGAAAGUAAAGUAAAAUAUUGGAGGUGAUGCUAAGUUACAGCUGCUAUAACUUACAGUUCCUUCAAAAAUAAUGUAAAAAAUUUAACACGUGGUGGGACCCACAUUAUGUUUGAAGAGGCCGUAAGUUAUAGCAGUUGUAAACUAGUAAAAUCCAAAUAUUAGACAAUAAUACACAUUAACAAUGCAUAUAAUUUGGGUUUGAUUUUUAAAAAAAUUAUAUGAGCAUUACCUAUCCUUAAGAUAUUAAUGAGAAUAUAUUUUAAUAUUAAAUAAUCAAAAUAUGUUUAAUCAUAAUAUGUAAUUCAUACAUUGCAUGUUAGAUUUGUUUGGAUUUUAAGUUGUUGCUAAUAAAUAUUUAUGUUGUGAAAGUCGAAUUCAAUAGCUACAAAAGCAGAGAUACUGGUAUUUUAUGUAGUUUUUAAGAAUACAAGAAUAAGACCAUAAUGCAUGAGAUAAUGGUAUUUUAUAUUAAAAGACCAUAACACAUGUAUUUGAGCCAUUUAUAUUGAGGACACAUAUAAAGCGAAGAGUGCAGAUCCGGCCGUAACUAUUGUGAAGCUUUCCUCAAGUAUUCUCAUGCACACAGCCCUUAUCUGGUCAAGUUCUCUGAUUCAAUAUAAUCAAUUUCCGAGUAGUACUGACGACAGCUUCUCUGUAAAGCUCUUCAACCACAAGCAUUUCUACAAGGCAAAAGACUAGGACGUAUUGGAAUGAAUAUCAAUAAGGGAAUGUCUUAUGAAUUUAGUUUAUAUCCUAAUAUAAGACAAUCAGUAAAUAUUGGAUGCAAUCUAAGGGCUAACAUUUGAUUGAUCAUUAUACGAAAAAAAAAAAAGGUGCAAAAAUACAAAACAUAGCUGAUUGAUGGCCUCUCACAGUCAGUUAUAUGACAAAGUAGCCACCACAACAAACUUUUUUUUUUGAACUGAUUAAGCAUCAGGUUACUGUAUUACACAUAGAGAUAUAUAUAACUGCUAUGACAGCAAGUCAUUAUACUGAUAUUUACAAUCAGAUAUAUACAUGAGACUUAUAUUAUUACAUUUUUAUUAUAUGAAGUACAUGCCCAUCCAAAUCUCCCUCACGGAGGAGGGAUGUCUCUACUCCACUCACAUUUCGCAAGGGAGAAAGACGUUAUAAGAAGUUUUCACCACAACAAACUUGAACUUGGGUGGAGGUCUCAUUAGUAGUAUACCUCAGAAAUUAAGACAAAGACUUUAAAAUGCAAACUUAUGGAGCAAUUUAAGCACUGAAACUAAUAACAGUACGGUAUUAGCAAUUGACCUCUGCUUUUGCUUAGACAAAGGUUUUCAUCACAAUGGACUCAUUAGUUGCCCUUGCCUCACACGUUUGGAUGCUAAGGGGAAAAAGGAAGCUUGAAUUAGUCAAUCUCAUUUCUAAUGGCAUUCACAGAGAACUUAUAAAACAAAAAAAAAAAAAAAUUAUAAAAAAAAAUUCAUCCAUAAAAAGCUUAGUAACGGAAAAAUCGACUCUUUUAUCUGCCACUGACGAAAAAAAAACUGAAGUAUUAAAUAGAUAAAGAAUUUAAUUUUUUUCUUGGAAAAACUAAUAAUAAAUUAACAAUUAGAUAAUACUAUUAAUUAGAGAUCUUUAAUAUUAAGGUUGUCAAAGAUAGAAUGUGUAUAAAAAUUCUUAAUUAUAAGAUAAUUACUAACUAAAAAGAGGCCUAAAAAAGAAGAUUUGCUAUUAUAAGUAAUACCAAAAAUAAAAAGGGAGACUUCCUAAUUGUGUAAUUGGUUAAAAAAGAGGAUUUGCUAUUAUAGGCCUAAUUUGCCUAUGCUUAAAACCGUUCCUGGAUGUAAAAAAAUAAAAAUUAUUGUUAAAUUCCUGACUAAUAAGGUCAUUGAAAGUAUUCAAAGGACCUGAACUUAUAGGAAAGCCAGCCAUGAUGAACUAUACCACGUUGCAAGUGAGCUCGUAUCUUCACCCCUUGAUCUGCCAUCGGCAUUUCUCUUCCACUCACUAUACCAUCCUUUUCAAUCGAUUUUUAUAGAUCAUAAGAGACCAUGUGGCCCACCUUAUUUUUAUUUUGGAUCCAUAACCCAAAGCUGGCCCAAGUUCUGAUUCCAGAAUCAUUUGUCUACAAAGUGACCUCAUUCCGGCAAUUGGUUUAUGCUAAUAGCACGUGCAAUUUUCAUUUUCUUCUUUUUAUUAAUUAAUUUCAUCAUUAUUAUUUGCUUAUUAUUUUAAAAUUAAAGCUAGCAUUUUUCAAAUUAAUUAAUUAAAUUGUAUUAAUGAAAUUAAUCUUUCAUUUUCUUUUCUCUUUCAAUGCACAAAGCCAAACAACCAUUCUCGCUUCAAAUACCGAAGAGCUCCUGACUACGGCUGUCAAUGCUUCUAUAUUUACGUGCUGUGCUGCAUCACUCUUAGCGAAAGCUUGAAUGAAUGAUUAAAGACAAAAGCUUAUAUAAAAGCAGAUGCCGGAGGCAGUCAAAAAGCAUUUGAGAGAGAAGCUAAACAGCAAAUCAUCAAACGCACUUCAAUGACUUUAUUUUGAUUUUGAUUUUUGUUUCGAAAGAAGUAGAAAAGUCCAUGGGUCACGAUAACUGCUUGUCCUAUGCCGUGACCUCAUUGUCCACCGCUAGUGUCAAAUAGAUUAAUCUUUCUAGUAGAUUAAUAUAAUUUAUAAUUUUAAUUUCAGUAUUAAUUUUUAAAAUGUUAGUUGUUAUAUUUAUUUUAAUAAUAUAUCUAUUUUUAGUAUAAAAAAUUUAAAUGUAUAUUUAGAUUAAAUAGAAUUUAUAAUUAAUAUAAUAUAUCUCAUGUAUUAAUGAUAUUUAAAUUAUUUUAUAUAAUAUUAAGCCUAACUUAGAAUUAUAUAUAUUUAUUUUAAUAUUAUGUUUCUAUAUAUUAUAUAAUAUUAAGCCUAACUUAGAAUUAUAUAUUAUGUUUCUGAGCCUCUCUCUAUAACACUAUAUAGAACCCUAAGCCUAAGUGUCACGGGAUGAGUGUUUUGCGCAGCUAACCCGUGCGGCACUUAGACAACUUUGCCGAAUGUUGCUAAGUAAGCCUAGAGAUUCUCGAACAAGAGAAGAGAGCAAUUGAGCCAAAGAAACUUGUAUUGCACAAAGAGAGAUUACAAUGCUUGUUGGAUACAAAUGCCUAAUGCCAUCCCAUAUUUAUAGGGGAGGCUUUGUCAAACUUGGCCUAACUUUGCCAAACUUUGCCAAACUCUAGAGUAUUCUACAAUUUCCUAGCUAUUUACAUGUGCUGGAAUUGUAUAAAGAAUUCUAGAAUAUUUACAUGUUCACAUGUGCUAGAGUUUCCUAGAACCUUCCGGAAUUGGGCCAAGCUAGCACUCUUGGCUUUGUGUUGGCUCUCUAGCUCGAAAUUGGGGCAAUUGGGCUAGCGAAUUGGGCGGUCCGCAACAACCUCCCCCACCUAUGCUCGCGGCGUCCUCGUCGCGCUCUCAUGCUUGAACCUCUGGAUGUGCUCAGCGAAUUGCCACAAACCAUCUUCACGUUCCCAAGUGGCUUCACUCUCGGGGAGGUUUUUCCAUUUCACCAAGUACUCGCUAUGUGCUGGCACGCCCCUCCUCGAAACCGUGCGGUCCGCAAUGAUGUAGUCCACAUCUUUGUCGAAUGCGGUGACAACGGCAGUUGGUGCGCGCCUUGAUUCUCCGCGACCUGGUUCUCCCAUGUCUUCGUGAUAUGGCUUGAGAAGGCUCACAUGGAAGACCGGAUGGAUCUUGAGUCUUGGCGGAAGUUGGAGUUGAUACGAGACGUUGCCCACACGUCGAACAACUCGGAAGGGUCCCUCGUAGCGCCUCACUAACCCCUUGUGAACUUUCCGCAAUGUCUUGAAUUGUUGGGGUAGGAGCUUGAUCAUGACUUGAUCUCCUUCCUUGUACUCAACAUGCCGUCUCCUUGUAUCCGCCCAUUUCUUCAUUUUCCUCGCGGCUUUGUCGAGGUAGGCUCGCGUGAUGUCCGCUUCCUCAUGCCAUUCGCGGGCGAGCUUGUGUGCCGCGGGGCUUUUCCCUCCGUAAGUCGAGGCUAUGGCAUUGGGAGUCAUUGGCUGGAAUCCCAUGAUGAUCUCGAACGGACUCUUGCCCGUAGCCUCGCUUCGCUGCAAGUUAUAAGAAAAUUGGGCGAUGUCGAGUAGCUUCGCCCAAUCCCGCUGGUGAGCGCUCACAUAAUGCCUCAGAUACAUCUCGAGGAGGCCGUUAAUGCGCUCGGUCUGCCCAUCCGUUUGUGGGUGGAAGCUUGUCGAGAACUUGAGAUCGGUCCCCAACAUCUUAAAGAGUUCCGUCCAAAACCGCCCAGUGAACCAAGGGUCUCGGUCGCUCACAAUGCUCUUCGGAACUCCCCAAAGCUUCACAAUGUGCUUGACAAAUAGGCGGGCUGCCUCAUCCGCUUUGCAAUCCACUGGUGCGGCAAUGAAUGUGGCGUACUUGCUGUGUCGGUCGACAAUGACCAUGAUGCUUCCGCAACCUUCGGACUUGGGCAGCGAUGUGAUGAAGUCCAUGGAGACACUUUCCCAUGGCCUUGUUGCUAGUGGUAGCGGCUCCAACAAUCCCGCUGGAAGUUGAUGAUCCACCUUGUCUUGUUGGCACACAAGACAAGUUCGCACAUAUGCCUCGAUGUCGUCCCUCAUGUGCGGCCAAAAAUACGAGGCUUGAACUAGUGCGGUGGUGCGCUCGAUUCCUGGGUGACCAGCCCACUUGGAGUCGUGGCACUCCUUGAUAACUUCCUUCCGCAAAUUUCCCCACCUUGGCACAAACAGCCGAUCUCCCUUGGUGAGGAGGAUGCCUUCCUCUUGCCAAAAUCGCCUUGUCUUCCCUUCGAGCACCUUCUCCAGCAAAUCCUUUGUUAGCGGGUCUUGUUGGAGGCCUUCCUUGAUGCGUGAGACAAGGUCGGACUUCGGUUGGCUCAUGCUAAGUGUUGCCAAUUCCGCCUUGCGGCUUAGAGCGUCCGCAACGACAUUGGCUUUCCCCGGUUUGUACUCUAGCCGAUAGUCGAAUUCCGCAAGGAAAUCUUGCCACCGUGUUUGCUUCGGACUCAACUUCUUUUGAGUUUGAAAGUAGCUUGUCGCCACGUUGUCCGUUAUGAUCGUGAAGUGUGAGCCAAGCAAGUAAUGUCGCCACACUCUUAGACAAUGGAUGAUGGCUGUCAUCUCCUUUUCUUGCACCGUGUAGCGGCGUUCCGUAUCAUUUAGCUUUCGACUCUCGAACGCUAUUGGGUGGCCUUCUUGCAUAAGGACUCCACCUAUGGCGAAAUCCGAGGCAUCUGUUUGAACUUCGAAGGGCUUGGUGUGGUCCGGAAGAGCGAGGACUGGUUCCUCCGAAAUUGCCUUCUUCAACUCCUCGAAUGGACGUUGGCACUCUUCGGAUCAAUGCCACGUUCUGUUUUUCUUGAGCAUAUCCGUCAAGGGUGCCGCCUUGGCUGAAUAGCCCUUGAUGAAAUGGCGGUAGUAAUUCACCAACCCAAGGAACGAGCGAAGCUCGGGUACUUUCGAGGGAGGCUCCCAAUCGAGGAUGGCCUCUACUUUGUCAUUCUCCAUCAUGAUCUUCCCGCCCGCAAUCUUAUGGCCAAGGAACUCCACCUCUUGUUGGGCAAACGAGCACUUCUCUAGUUUGAGGAAGAGCUCAUUGUCUUGAAGUACUUGGAGGACUUUUUGCAAGUGUUGGGCAUGAUCCUCGAGUGUGGUGCUAUACACCACGAUGUCGUCCAAGUACACGACCACGAAGCGGUCGAGGAAUGGUUGGAGUACCUUGUUCAUGAGUGUGCAAAAUGUGGCGGGUGCAUUAGUAAGGCCAAAAGGCAUCACAAGGAAUUCGAAAGACCCGUACCUUGUUGUGCACGCUGUCUUUGGUUCGUCUCCCUUGGCGAUGCGCACUUGGUAGUACCCGGAGCGCAAGUCAAGUUUGGUGAAGUACCGCGCUUUGCCAAGCUGGUCGAACAAGUCCGCAAUCAAUGGAAUCGGAUACUUGUUCUUGAUGGUGAUCUUGUUGAGCGCUCUAUAGUCGAUGCACAUCCGCAGCGAUCCAUCCUUUUUCUUUUGGAAGAGGACCGGUGCACCGAAUGGGGCCUUUGAGGGGCGAACGUAGCCUGCGUCCAGCAAGUCUUUGAGCUGUCUCCGCAACUCCUCUAAUUCGGGUGGCGCCAUGCGGUAGGGCGCCAAGGCUGGUGGCUUCGCGCCUUGUUCUAGCUCAAUCGCAUGAUCUACCUCUCGCGGAGGUGGGAGCUUCUUCGGAAGUUCUGGAGGCAUCACGUCCUUGUACUCAUUGAGGACGGCUUGAAUUCGCGGAGGGACUUGGCUUGGCGACGUUCCGCUAUUUCCUUCCUCGUUUAGUUCCCGAAUGGAGACCAAGAAGCUUGGGUCCUUCUUGAAAGCCCUCUUGAAUUGCAUGGCGGAGAGUUUCUUCUCCUCGGACUUGCCUCGUUCGGUGGGUACCAUGCAUGCUUUGCUCCCAUCGAGGAUGCUUAGGGAGUUUGUAGCGGGCAGCGGGAAGGCAUGGACUUGGUCGAAGAAUUCCAUGCCAAGGACCAUCUUGAAGUCAUCCAUGGGCACAAUGGAGAAAUCAAGCUUUCCGCUCCAUGUACCGAGUGUGAUGUGCACGCCUUGUGCAAUUCCCGCAAUUGGUUUGGCGGGUGAGUUUACUGCCUUCAUUGUGCCUCCUUCCUUGGUGGCCUUGAGGCCUAAACGCUUGGCCUCGUCUACGGACACGAAAUUGUGUGUUGCUCCCGUGUCUAGCAGCGCGCGAACAGACUGGCCGUUUACCUUUGCGCUAACAUACAUGAGCCCUUUCUUGGCUAGUGCGGGCUGUUGGCGGUUGAGUGCCCCGAGGCGUUGGAGAGAACCCAUGCUGAGUUGGGGUUCCUCCGUGGACAUUGUGGGGUUGCUCUUGAGUUGGGCAGCAAGAACAUUAAGCGACCGCUUCUCCGGACAGUCGCGUACCCAAUUUGGACCGUUGCAUAUGAAGCAUGGGCUUCGCGGCUUUGGCGCCUCCUUCUUGCCCUCCGAUUUUCCUUGCCAACUCUUGUUGCUAGACGGCUUUUUCUGCCCCCAAUCUUUGCGGUUGUUACCCUUGUCCUUGCGACUCUCUCCCCCACCUUUGCCUUGGUUGGCCUUUUUGUCCUUGGAUUGGGUAGAGUAUUCGGUGAGCGACUCCGCAACGGCGAUGGCGUCGUCAAGUGUUUGAACACCACGCCUAUCAAGCUCGGUCUUGGCCCAAUCCUUGAGGCCAUCUUGGAAGUAGAAGAGUGAAUCUUUGUCGGACAUGUCACUUAUCUCCAACAUGAGGGUAGAGAACUCGUUAAUGUAGUCCCGAAUGCUACCCGAUUGCUUGAGGCGACGUAAGCGCGCUCGCGCUUCCUUCUCUGCAUUGCUUGGGGUGAACUGCUUUCGGAGUUCUUGCUUGAAGUCGGCCCAAGUGUCGAUGGUGCAAAUGCCCUUGCCCAUCUCGCCAUGCUUGCGACGCCACCAUAGUUGUGCAGCGCCUCUAAGAUAGGUGGGUGCAGUGCCCACUUUCGAUGCCUCAUCUCGUACACCCAUGGCAUCGAAGUAUUGAUCCAGCCCGAACAGGAAGUUGUCCACGAUUGUGGCAUUGCGUGUGCCAUCGUAGGUGUCGGGCUUUGGCACAUCAAUGCGGCGCGCAUCACUCGAGUUUGCGGAAGCUGGACUUGCGGAGAGUGUGCGCUUGUGCCAUGCCCAAUCCGAGCGGACUUCAUCCACUUCCGCACGGACAGCACGUAGUUCGUCCUGAACAAAACUACGAAGUUUUAGCAACUCAUCAUGGAAAGAAUGAAACUCACCUCGGAGAAUGUUCGCUUGCUCAUGCAUGAGAGCUUUUGUGGCCACCGUGAACUCGGCGUAUUCUCCCUCGAGAUUGUCCACUCUUCUCUCUAAUCCCUCAAGGCUAUCUUGAGUGGCGGACAAGGCUAUUUCGAGAGUGCCUACACGAGGCUCCAAAGCAUCCACGGAUGGGGCCUUGGACUUGCCGCGAUUCUUGCCUUGGGCGCGUUCUCCCUCUCGGCCGCGGCUUGGUUCUGGUGGAACAUCCACACCAACAAAACCCUCUUGUGCUACGUUUGAAGGGUUGGCCAUUGCUUUGUGAGCUAAUUUGCGUGCGUGCAAACCUUAGCUCUGAUACCACUUGUCACGGGAUGAGUGUUUUGCGCAGCUAACCCGUGCGGCACUUAGACAACUUUGCCGAAUGUUGCUAAGUAAGCCUAGAGAUUCUCGAACAAGAGAAGAGAGCAAUUGAGCCAAAGAAACUUGUAUUGCACAAAGAGAGAUUACAAUGCUUGUUGGAUACAAAUGCCUAAUGCCAUCCCAUAUUUAUAGGGGAGGCUUUGUCAAACUUGGCCUAACUUUGCCAAACUUUGCCAAACUCUAGAGUAUUCUACAAUUUCCUAGCUAUUUACAUGUGCUGGAAUUGUAUAAAGAAUUCUAGAAUAUUUACAUGUUCACAUGUGCUAGAGUUUCCUAGAACCUUCCGGAAUUGGGCCAAGCUAGCACUCUUGGCUUUGUGUUGGCUCUCUAGCCCGAAAUUGAGGCAAUUGGGCUAGCGAAUUGGGCAGUCCGCAACAUAAGUCUCACAUUCGCAACCGCCCCACAUAUCAGAACCACAGCGAACUGCCUCCGACCCUUCGGACCCAAAAAAAUGAUUGUAUUCCUGCUCUUUCACUUUAAUAAUUUUUUGUAUUAUUCCAUAUCUUUCACUUUAAUAACCCAAAAGCUUUCCUCUGUUUCAACCCAAAAGCUCAAAUUCCUUUUUUCAAUCGAAAAUUGUGUUUGCCUAAUUUUUUAACCAUUUUUAUAUGUCCGUUAAACUUGACAGCCAAUGUGGUCUAUUCGCUAAACAGAGUAAACGAUAACAAUCAAUGGAAAUUGAAACAAAACCCACCAAUCAACAAAACAGAAUAGCCGAGGAAUCCAAUUUCAGGAAACAGCAGUUUCAAAACUCACCAGAGACAAAUGAUAAAACGAAGCUACGCCGUUCCUCGAUCGGUGAUAACUGGCUACAAGGUUUCUUCGCAUUCGUUGGCCUAAUUUUUUAACCAUUUUUAUAUGUCCGUUAUGCUUGACAGCCAAUGUGGUCUAUUCGCUAAACAGAGUAAACGAUAACAAUCAAUGGAAAUUGAAACAAAACCCACCAAUCAACAAUGUGGUCUAUUCGCUAAAUGGUUAAAAAAUCUAACCUUUGUUCACAAUAAUUGUAUUUGCCUCACUGUUUUUGUUUUAUGAGAUCUAUAAUUGAUCUUGGGAUAUUACUUUCUAGUUCUCAUGCAAGCAAGUUACUACCUUCCCACUGCAUCUCCUCCUUUAUCUGCUAUUCAAGAGUUGCGUGCCAUAAUCUGGUGUUACCUCUGCAAGAUUGUGAAUGAAUAUAACGCCUCUAAAUUUAUUUUAUACAUAAUGCUGAUGCUGAAUAAUAUAUUGUAGCUCCUGUCAUAUUCUACUUUGACUUUUUAUAUUCUGUUUCAUAUAAAAAUCUUAUUCAACUUUAGUUGUUCAUGAGCAAAUGUCACAUGUAUAAGCCCAAAUGAUGUUUAAAGGUAGCGCGGCUACCUUUAGUUUGAGCUGACAAUGGAUGAAAAAGAUAUUGAAACUGAUAUUUUGCUGUUUUUCUGAUUUUUCAAAGUAUUUUAGAUCCUGACUUUUGUUAAGUUGUUUCCAACACCUCGUGCCAAAUGAAAGCACAAUCUUUCUGAUUCAGAUGUCUUGUUAAUUAUGCUUCAUUUUUUCAUUAAAGAUUGGAUGGUUACAUGGAUUGAUGGAGUUGGAGUUCAACCAAUAAUUCUAAUUUUUUGGACUUAAAAUGCCUUUUUCUUCUGUAUAAAAACUUUAGUAAGUGCUAUUGAGUUGACAGAAGUUGCAUACUUACAGGUUGUUUCACACUUUUUAGUAGUUUUACAUAUAUGAAUUUCUGUUUUUUGAAUUGCAGAAAGGAGGUGGAACUAUUGAUUUGGAGCCUUAUCUUACUCACUCAUCGACAACGGAGCCUACCCUCACUCCCAUGGCAGUGGAACGGACAACGACUACUAGGGCUGCAACAUCAGUUGGUUUGGGUCUGUUUUGGGUUUAUUGUCAUUUAUUUGGGUAUGUUUUGAUAGCGAAUUUUGAUAUGUCAAUAGAAUGUGUAAUUGUUUUGGGUUGAGCUGGUAAUUAUGCUGGAUUAGAUUGGUUUGGUUUUGGUGCUUCUCUGAUGGAACACUGCUUUUUUUAGAAAUUUUGAAUGUAAUAUGAGACUACAUUUAGUUUAAUUGAACACUGCAUCUAGUCUAAUUACUAGAAGUGUGGCAUUUGGUUUGGUUUAUCCGAUAUUCUCCAGAAUUUCACUUGCAUCUGGUUUUGUUGCAUAUGUUUGUUUGCUUGCAUUUGAUGGCAGUAGCAGACUGUUUGUUUUUGUGACAUUUGAUGGCAGUUUGGUCUGUUCUUGGUGUUGAUUUAAGAUUCUUCCUGUUGUGCUGAUGUUAAUUGCAGGUGCUUGAAUCAGCUAGGGUUGCUGGUUUAUUCAGAUGGUUGACUCAGGCGUUGCUACUGGUUAAUUCAGGUGGCUGACUCAAGUUGUUCAUUUAAUGUUAGGAAGCAAAUUAGGAAUUAAUGAAGUAUUCAUUUAACUAUAAUUAUUGUAGUUAUUUUAUUUCAUAACUGAAUUAUAAUCUAUGAUACUUGUGAACAAAUUAGAGAAUUUUUAUAUAUGAAUUAUAUAUAUGUGUGUGUAUGUACAUUUUGCUAUUUAUAUAAUAAUUUAAAGAAUAUAUUUCAAUUCCCACAAAAAAAAGGCUCCAAUUUCAAUAAUUCCCGCCAAAUAAUUAAAUUUUUUUAAUUUACCACCAAAAUAUAUCUUAAGUUAUUCUUGCUAGAUUUAACAAAAAUAAUUUGUAGGAUUAACAUUUAAUUAAAAUAAUUAAAUAAUUUUAUUAUUCCAAUUAAAUAUGUCAUGCUUAUACGACAGACAAUAAUCAUGAAUGGGAAGUAUUAGUAACAUAUUCUUCCUUGGGAUUUCAGGCAAAUGAAAAAAAGAUUGAGAAUGAUUUCAAGAGGACAGGUGGAUGAUAAAUAUUCAUUUUUGUAUAUUUGGCUAAUGUCCUCAUUAGUGGAUUUUUAUGGUAUUGAUCUUUUUCUUUUUUUAAAAAAAUUUUCAAUUAGUUGCAGCCCUAGAGGAAGAGCAGGCUGAUCAAAUUGAUUUGUCUUGUUUUUCGGGCAAUCUACGACACGAUGACCGUGAUAAUGCUCGUGACUGCUGGAAACUUUCUGAUGGAAAUAACUUUAGAGUUCGUAGCAAGCAUUUUUGUUAUGACAAAACAAAGGUUCCCCCAUAUUUUGUUUGUUUGUUAUGGUAUUUAUAUAUCCUGCAUAGGCUAGGUAGACAGGUUAUGAUGUAGUUUGGUUGGCUCUUCUUGUGCUUUGUGCAAUUUGUAACUGCAGAUACCUGUGGUAAAACAUUUAAUGGAUCUUGUUGCUGUUGAUUGGUUCAAAGACACAAAGAGAAUGGACCAUGUAGCUAGGCGUCAAGGCUGUGCUGCACAAGUAACUAUUCUUUUCUUUUUAUUUAAAAAAAUAAAACACAUUGCCAACAAGGAUCUCUUCAUUGAACAUGUGUCUAGUUCUGAUAAGCUAGCUGAUGUGCUUACCAAACCUCUGAGUUUUGAUCAUUUUGCCUAUAUGCAAACUAAGGUCAAUGUCUGCCCAUGACCUUGAGCUUACGGGGGCAUUUUAAGAAUAACAUAUGCUGAGUCAUCAAGCCAUGCUGGAAGUCAGUUUUGCAGUUAGUUAGAGAGCUUAUCAGCUUCCCUCCAAAAGUUUGUUAUGUGUAUUAGAAUCUGGGCUCACGAGUUUUGUGAGAUUGUAACCUUGAGAAGAUUCUCACACUACUAUAAAUUGUAUUGUGACUCAAUUAAUAAAAUAAGUUGAAGCUUUGCAUUUUCUCUCAGUCAAAAUUUUCUCUCUAUUUUUCUAAGUAACCAAACAAGAUCUACAGAGCAUUUUGUAUUUUAACUGGAGCGGCUGAUUGGUGCUGUACGUGUUACAUUUUUACUUUUUUAACUCAAGUCUGCUGUUGUCCCAAAGUUGGAACUAGAGAUAUCAUUUCACCUCAACUGUGUUUUUUUUUUAAUUAAAAAAAUCAUUUGUUUUAGGUAUACAUACAUGUAUUUUAAUUCUAUUUUCCUUGUAAUUUCUCCUUUACUUUGAAUGAAAGUCAUUGGUGUUUUCGAAUGGGAAUUUUGCAUUAAAAAAUUAAGAAUAGUUAAUAGGAAAUUUCCUGAUUCUUUAGUUACUAUUUUUGGUAUGAGUGUAAUUAGUAGUAAAGUUGGUUUCUACUCGCAAACAAGUGAACUGCUCGAUUCCCAAGUGCUAUUAACCAGUUUCCAACUUUUUAAUAUACACUAAUUGUUCCUGUUUAAUAGCUACUACUAUUAAAACUCAACAGCUAACAAAAAUACUAAAAAAAAAUGAUUUUUUCUUAUGAUGCUGUGAAAAAAAUUACGGGUUUACUUAUUUCCACGAGAUCUUGUAUAGUGUUCUUGUAUAGUGGAAUUAAGAUUGUCUUCCCGAUGGUGCAAUUCACCCUCUUCCUUUACAGUCACUUGCACUUUGUGCAGCUUUGGUGUGGAUAAGAUUCCCAGGGAAAAAGUCUUCAUGUUCGGACAAUGUGUCACAAAUACUCGUUCCAAUGAUGGGAAUUCAAGAGUGUAAUUCUCCAAACAAAAGCUGGUAAGCCUUGGUAAAUCAUCAAGUUCCAAAAGUUUUAAUUCUUUGAAAGCAAUACGAUUCUCCUUCGUUUCUUCUCCAGCAUGUCCUACGAUUUGUUCUAAUUUUUUGCAGUUCCAUACAUAAAGAUUCACCAGACUAGUAGGAAUUCCAACCUGAAAAUAAGCAGAGAGUGUGUGUGUGUGUUAAAAAAGUAAAAAUGUAAGAGUGUCAUUCAACUAAGCUCAAAGUAUGUUUGAUAAUACAAUUAUACGUUUUAUGAACAUAACAAACUGUGAAAUGUCUACUAGAUAUUUUUUGUUAAACAAAAAACGUAACAAGAUAAAUAAAUAAAUAAAUAAAAGCCAGAUAAACAAAGAUGAUAAAAAUGUAUUUACACUAUUUAGUAUUAGGGACGUAGAAAGAAUUUAAGGCAAUUUCUAAAUAUUUUAGACUUAUUUUGCAUCUUGAUAUAAGUUUUUAAGCAUAAAUUUGCACAUUUCAACUAUUCCUUUAAAAAGAACUCAACUAAAAUGCCUCUUUUUCCCUUUUCCUUGGUCCCCUUUUUUUUAUAUAUAUAUAAAAAUGGAAAAAAAAAUUUGGAAAAGACUUCUUAGUACUGUCAACAAGGGAUUGCUGUAAAGUGGAUCUUUAUUAAGUACUUCCAGACUCGAGGAAAUUUCUUUACAAUCUCAAAAAAAUAGUAAACAAUCAUGAAUUUGUGGUUAAUUAAUGGCAUAAUCAAUUCUUAACUAAACUGGAGAUAUUAAUUAAAUUUGAAGACUUUUUUUUUCCGAUCGAAAUGUGAAGAACUAUGGAACAGAGAAAUAUAUAGAUGAAUUUGUGAACUUAUAAGAUGAGUGACUAUCCUUUAAUUUUUGAAAAUCGUACUUAUUAAGAUAUGAGCAAAAACAAUUAAAUUGAAUUAUAUUAUGCUGUUGAAUCUGUUUAAAAAAAUUAUAUUGUUGAUUCUAAUGCUGGUGAACCUAAAAACUAGACUUAAAACGUAGAUUUCAGAGUGGUGGUUUGAAGUACAAUAUUUGAAAUAAAUAAUUAGUGGCUGAAUAUCAUUUGUAAACACAGAAAUGAUUAAAAAAUUGUUGAAUGUUAUUUGAAAAAAAAAAUCGAAAUGAAUACAGAAACCUUACCAAUGGAGGAAAAAUAUUCAUUAGGUUAUCACACUCUUCUAUCUCCAAAUUCUUCAAUUUCCUGAAAGACUCUGAAGCAAGCUGGUGGUGCCAUAUUGUUCUUAGGUUAUCCAUCCACGCAAUAUAUAAUACCUCCAACCUAGGAAGUCGUACCUGGCAGUUAAAGAUUAAAUAACUAAUUAAUCAAUUAAUGGCAUAAUCAAUUGAUAACUAAAUUAGAGGCGGAUAUUAACUAAAUUUGAAGACUCAAGGAAAAGACAAAUCAAGUAUUGUGACUAAAAUUAUUUUUUUAAUUAAAAAAAAAACCUUUUCAUCAAAGAGAGGAGGAGGUUGCAUUUCAGAAUGAAUGGUAUCUUCUGGUGAGCUCGUAGAGAUGAAUCUUAACAUAUUACUGCAACAACCAAUCAUGAGGUUUAGCAAAGAAGGGAAUUCAACAACUAAAUCUGUAUGAAUAUGUCCCAUAUUGGCAAAGCUACUUAGUCUUGGAAGCCAUUCUAGCUGCAGGGAGUGUAGCUUAGGAAAAACCUUUAAUUCAAUCAACUUUCCUUCAUCUCUUUCUGACCAUCCCGUGGUGUCGACUACCCCUUCCAUUGACUCACAAUAGCUUAUCUCAAGAUGUUGGAGUUGCAAAAGGCUAUUAACCAUAGAAUAUGAAAACAGAUACUUCAGACGAUAACACCUUUCCACAGUCACUUUUGUUAAAUUUUGACAACAGUACAUUCUUUGAUUAUGAUCGGCCCAUAAUUUUUUCAUGUUUCUUAAGUCCCUGAGAUUCAAUUCCUCUAAGCUCGGAAGAAUAACCUGCAAAGAAAACCCGUACAUUUUUGUUCCUUCAAGUACAACCGUCUAGUAUAAUAUUCUUUUGAUGAUCGAAGAUUAAUCGUGAUAAUAAAUUAAUCAAUUAAUUAUUGAACAGAAAAUUAUCACCUUUGGAGCAGGAUCAUCAUCAGCAAUGAGUUCCUUGAAUCCCAAAGAAGUUGUUGGUUUGUCCAUGUCGGGUCCUAUAAACAAACAAAAACAAUAUACAUAAUUAAUCUUUGUCGUUGUCUUUUUUUUAAAAAAAUAAUUGAGGCGAAGUCCAUAAAUCCACCAACACUUAAUUUCAACACUUACCAACAAUCAUUUCCAGAUCAUCGCAAAAAAACACUUCUACCUUUUGAAGCCGCAGUAGGUUUUUGGCCAUGGAGAAUGAGAAAAGAUGCUUCAAUUCGUGACAGUCUGAUACUUUUAUAAUCCUUAAGUUGCUGAAAGAUUGAUCUUCUGUGAGUUGGAUGUCACAUAUUGUCUCCAAAUUGAUCAAACGACGAAGAGACAAUGACUCCAGCAAGGGGAAGACUUUGCGACGAACCCGUCCAACUGAACAGACAAUAUGCAAAAUCUCAGAACAACUUUUUACAGAAAGAUGCUUCAAUCGUGGAAAACCUUCCCCAUCAUCUAAUUCAUGAACAACAUUCUGAACACCCUUCAGUUCUCCUAGAUAGAGAUAUUCAGUUCUCUUCAACAACAGUUUCAUCCUGUAAUUCUGCAAAAGAAUGCCAAACUUUUCUAGCCCCUGGAGCUUCAUCAAUCUUGAUAAUCCAGUUUUAACGGACCAGCUGCUCCACCACUUAUUUCCUAUACAUAUCUUAUAGCUUUGCAAUUCCACAGAGACCAAAUCCUGCGGUAGAAUUUCGGCAUCCCGAACGUGUAUCUCCAAAGUAGUUAGCUUUGACAACCCCUUCAACUCAACAAGACUGGCGUUACUUCCUCCUUCAACCUUCUCCCACAGUGAAAAGCUGUUACCAAUAUAUAGUUCUUCUAAUCGAGAUAAUUUUGAUAUGACAUUUGGAGCUAUCACCACAAGGCUGCUACAAUUGCUCAAAUCUAGCAACUGUAAUCUCGUCAAUUGUCCAAUUACAAGUGGCAACUCCUUAACAUCAGAAUCUCGGAAGCUGAGAAUCUCUAAUUUCCUUAGCUGUCCAAUUAUAGUUAUAUCGUUCAGUCGGCAACCAUCUAAACAUAAUGUUUGAACGUUAAUGAGGCAACCAAGUGAUGAAGGUAAUGAAGAGAAAAAUAUUCCAGUAAAAUCUAAAACUUUGAGUUCUUCUGUCCCUUCAAAAAAGAGGUCUGAAAUUUGCAAAGAGCUAUCACGCUUUGAAAACAACAAAAGAACUCGAGACGGGGACAUUCCAACCUUUCGGGAAGCUCUUGAAUAUCUCUAUAAGGUAAAGAAAUAGCUAUUGGACCUUCCCGUAUUGUCUCUUCCAUCUUUUUCUCCACGUAGGCAACAUUUGGAAUAUUAAACAUGAGCUCCUCUUCUGCAAUUGAUACAGUAACAGCAUGAAUGAUGUCAUGCAUUUUAACUUCAUCUUCGGCAUCACUGUCCAACAAUAAGCACGAAGAUUUGAGUUUGCCGAUCAACGUAUGCACUCUACUCCUUGCUUCUUCCAGUGUGUAAACGUUUUUAAAAUAGCCCAUACCCAUACCAUAUCUCAAUAAGUCAGAAACAUGUAUACCACGACCUUCAUUAUAUAGACCACAAAGAAGGAACAGAGAUUUUGCUUCCUUACUUCCCAGUAAGUCGUAACUCAAUUUUAUGGAGAUGUACACAUUUCUUUCCAUUCCAUCAAUUUCUUUUGCAUUGGAACUUCUUAGCUGACGCAGCACAUCCUUCCAAGUGUCAAGCCUCUCAUUUUUCAAAGCUUUUGCAAGUGUAAUCAGUGCAACAGGCAAUCCUCCGCAUUUUUCAACGAUCUCAUCUGCUAAAGGUUGAAAAGCAGAUGCUUUUGCAGAAUUACACACUAUCUUUCCAAACAAUUGCAAUGCUUCUUCCUUUGAUAAAACUUCAAUUGAGAAAUCCUUCUGAGAUUUCAUAUCAUUGCGCAAUAAAUCUCGACUUCUAGACGUCAAUAUUAUUGUGCGUCUUCUCCGAUCGUCCUCUCUAUCUUUCUCAUCAACAUCCCCAUAAGGAAUUCCAACUGUAUCGAACUCAAGUUUUGUCCAAAUAUUAUCCAGUAUAAUGAGGAGCCGCUUCUCUUGCUUCAACCUUUGACACAGUCGAGAAGCUCUUUGAAAUUCAUUCUCAUUCAAGUCAAAUUCCAUGCCUAAAUCAAAAGCAAGUUUGUCUUGAAUUUUAUGAUGAUCUGGGGUCUGUGUUAUCUCAGCCAUAACGAACUUAUCGAACAACUUAUCUUCCAUCACUUGGUUUGCAACUUGUUUGACCAGCGUGGUUUUGCCCACGCCGCCCAUCCCAUAGACCCCAAUUAUGUUGACUUUGUCAUCCUUCACCGCCUCCACAACAUCUUGAAAUACUUUCAUUCUUGAAUCAAACGCCUCGAAAUCUUUCACUUGCAUAUGUUCUGCCCGCUUUGGAGCAGGACGGUAGGAAACAUUGGAGAAGUUGCCUUUUCCCACGAGACUAGCGGCAGCUUCUGCCGCCUUUGCUGCUUGUUUACUAAGCUUGUAACGAGAAAUCAAGUUUGGGCAUAAUCCUUUGAAGCAGGACUUCUUAGCUCUAUCUUCAUCAUCAAUGACGGAUUUUGCAACCCCUUCACUGAUGAAUUCAUUAACGCUAUGUAGCCAGUCUGUGACACCCUCAUAAAGCUCAUCCCCUUGUAGCCUAGCAUGAUUAACUGGUUGCUGCACCAUUUCUCUCUUAUAUCCCAGCUGCUUCACUUGAACUUUUAGCUCAUCUAUGUAGCUCUGGUACUUGAACACAUAAGAUAUCUGCCGUGUAAUCGGGUUGAACAGUGACUUUGCACCUUCUGAUACACAGUUGGUUAAAAAAGCGAGACACGCUUCUAUAGCCAUUGCCUGUUGCUUAACAAUAUAUAUCUAGUUUUUUGGCUGUUGAAAAAAAAAAAUGGAUUCAAAUAAAUUAAAUGAACUAGCGGGGAAGAAAAAGAAAGAAACGACAACAAACAACUUUUUAGAAAAAGGUUUCAGGGGCCUGAAUGGAAAACCAACAAUUUUUUGAGGAAAGAAAACUUUUUUGGAAGAUGGAUGCAAAUUAACCAUUAAUAAUACUGCAUAAGAACACAGAAGUUGACAAUAAACAGUAACUUAAAACUCAAGAAAAUUAAAUGACAAGAUUAAGACAAACAAGAGAUAGUUUUUGUCGGACAUUAAGAAACAACUGCUAUCAAGAUCAAAGAUUAGAAAUUAUGCUAUUGAAAGAAAUUAUUAAAGUAUUUAGAACAAACGCACCUCUUCAAUUAUCUAGGAUCACGGAGUUUAUGAGCUUCACUCUUGGCCUUCGAUUUAUAAGAAAAAAUUUAAUGAGCAAAAGAUCACUGUUGACUGCAGAAGAAUGUGAGUAAGCAAUACAAUUGAAUUGUAAAAGAACAAGACUUAAAGCGUGCACCCCGUGUUCAUAUAAACAGAACACAUGUUCAUUUUUAACAAAGUGAUCAAUAACUAUAUUCGUUAUUUAAUUGAUAUUGUAACCAAUUCUAAGAGAAUAUAAUAAUAAUCAUUCAAUCCAUAAAUUUAGAAUUAGAUUUUUUUAACUCUUUAUUUAAAUAUAAACCUUAAUGGAAAAUUAUAAAAGUUUAGAGAUAAAAUUUUUCAAUCACCAAACGAAAAAAACAGGGGAAUGAAAACAGAGGAAUCUUGUUUUAACUAUUUUUUUUUCCUCAACUCUUGUUCUUAUAUUAAUAAUCUUGUUUUGAUGAUAGUGCUCGUGACUGCGGGAAAAUUUGUACUGGAAACAACUCAAUUUCGGAAGAAAACUUAAUUUUGCAAGUGAUGAAUUUGAACUCGUUGGAUUGGUUGAUUUAUGAUUGACUGAAUUUCACUUUUGCCCAAAAGAUCUUUAACCAAAGUUUAAUAGCCAUCAUGUACUCCUUAAAAGCAAUUUUUUUUUUUAGAUUUGACUGAAUUUGAACUUGUUGGAUUGGUUGUUUUUAGAUUAUUAAUAUGAGAUAUUACAACGUAAAUAUUUUCAUGUGGUUGAGCCCUAUUCUAAAAUCUGUAUAGUUAGCUUUAGAAAAAGGGCUUUUCCUGCUGAUCUGUAAUCUUCAAAUAAACUUAGAUACAAAUAAUGAAAUAAAAGACAACAAACACGCNNNNNNNNNNNNNNNNNNNNNNNNNNNNNNNNNNNNNNNNNNNNNNNNNNNNNNNNNNNNNNNNNNNNNNNNNNNNNNNNNNNNNNNNNNNNNNNNNNNNNNNNNNNNNNNNNNNNNNNNNNNNNNNNNNNNNNNNNNNNNNNNNNNNNNNNNNNNNNNNNNNNNNNNNNNNNNNNNNNNNNNNNNNNNNNNNNNNNNNNNNNNNNNNNNNNNNNNNNNNNNNNNNNNNNNNNNNNNNNNNNNNNNNNNNNNNNNNNNNNNNNNNNNNNNNNNNNNNNNNNNNNNNNNNNNNNNNNNNNNNNNNNNNNNNNNNNNNNNNNNNNNNNNNNNNNNNNNNNNNNNNNNNNNNNNNNNNNNNNNNNNNNNNNNNNNNNNNNNNNNNNNNNNNNNNNNNNNNNNNNNNNNNNNNNNNNNNNNNNNNNNNNNNNNNNNNNNNNNNNNNNNNNNNNNNNNNNNNNNNNNNNNNNNNNNNNNNNNNNNNNNNNNNNNNNNNNNNNNNNNNNNNNNNNNNNNNNNNNNNNNNNNNNNNNNNNNNNNNNNNNNNNNNNNNNNNNNNNNNNNNNNNNNNNNNNNNNNNNNNNNNNNNNNNNNNNNNNNNNNNNNNNNNNNNNNNNNNNNNNNNNNNNNNNNNNNNNNNNNNNNNNNNNNNNNNNNNNNNNNNNNNNNNNNNNNNNNNNNNNNNNNNNNNNNNNNNNNNNNNNNNNNNNNNNNNNNNNNNNNNNNNNNNNNNNNNNNNNNNNNNNNNNNNNNNNNNNNNNNNNNNNNNNNNNNNNNNNNNNNNNNNNNNNNNNNNNNNNNNNNNNNNNNNNNNNNNNNNNNNNNNNNNNNNNNNNNNNNNNNNNNNNNNNNNNNNNNNNNNNNNNNNNNNNNNNNNNNNNNNNNNNNNNNNNNNNNNNNNNNNNNNNNNNNNNNNNNNNNNNNNNNNNNNNNNNNNNNNNNNNNNNNNNNNNNNNNNNNNNNNNNNNNNNNNNNNNNNNNNNNNNNNNNNNNNNNNNNNNNNNNNNNNNNNNNNNNNNNNNNNNNNNNNNNNNNNNNNNNNNNNNNNNNNNNNNNNNNNNNNNNNNNNNNNNNNNNNNNNNNNNNNNNNNNNNNNNNNNNNNNNNNNNNNNNNNNNNNNNNNNNNNNNNNNNNNNNNNNNNNNNNNNNNNNNNNNNNNNNNNNNNNNNNNNNNNNNNNNNNNNNNNNNNNNNNNNNNNNNNNNNNNNNNNNNNNNNNNNNNNNNNNNNNNNNNNNNNNNNNNNNNNNNNNNNNNNNNNNNNNNNNNNNNNNNNNNNNNNNNNNNNNNNNNNNNNNNNNNNNNNNNNNNNNNNNNNNNNNNNNNNNNNNNNNNNNNNNNNNNNNNNNNNNNNNNNNNNNNNNNNNNNNNNNNNNNNNNNNNNNNNNNNNNNNNNNNNNNNNNNNNNNNNNNNNNNNNNNNNNNNNNNNNNNNNNNNNNNNNNNNNNNNNNNNNNUAAACUUUUUUUUGGGGGGGGGGGGGGGGAGCAUGCAAAUUUACCAAAAGAAAUAAUAAGAGCACAGGCUUUAACAAUGAAUAGUAACUUAAAACUCAUGCAAAAUAAGUUACAAUAUGAAAACAAACCAGAGAAAAUUUUUUCUUGGAAAGUAGAUGGAACUUAAGAAAGAGCAGAUGUCAAGAUCAAGGAUCAGGGAUUCUACUAUUAAAAAAAAAAAAAAAUUAUUCAAGGAUUUAGAAAACGUGCACCUCUUUAAUUAUCUGGGAUUAGAGAGUUGGUGAGCUUCUCUAUUUGGCCUUCAAUAUUUAAGAACAAGUUGAAAGAGGAAAAAGAUCACUGGUAACUGCUGAGGAAUGUGUGAGAAAAGAGUUGAUGAGAGCAAUAACAAUGACCUGCAAAAGAAAAAGAAUUAGUCACGCACCGCUUUUCUAUAUCAUGUAUUUGGUUAUUGUUGCCCUGUUGACGCAUGUUGAAGAAGAAAGCACUAGUACACAACUCUAUGUUUUCAUAUAUUCUAAAGAAAUAAUUAAGUUUUCAUAGAAUAAUACCUGUUGUGUUUGAAUAAUUUGGUAUCUACAUUGCUUGUGUACUGUGAAAUUGAAAUGAAUAUUGAUUGACAGAGCAAUGUAUAUACCUAAUAAAACAUAAAGCAAAUCCUUGAACGAAUGAUUCGGGACUAAAACUUUUAUAAAAGCAAAUACCGGAAACACACAAAAAGCAUUUAAGAUAGAAACUAAACAGCAAAUAAUCGAAGUAAGAUCAAUAAUAUAUGAUUUGAUUUAUGCAUAUUCAAAAACCAAAAUUUAAAAUAAAAUAAAAAAUAAAGUUUGAUUUAUUCUUUCCACAAAAAACAGGGGAGUGAAAACAGAGGCAGCUUGUUUUACCAAUUUUUUCUUCUUAAUUUCCGGCAAAAAAAAAAAUUCAAUAAACAGGGGAAUGAAAACAAAGGAACGAAAACAGAGGAAACUUGCUUUUCAGGCUAUCUUGUGACAUGAUGAUAUUGCUCGUGAAUGCAUGAAAAUUUCUAAUGCAAACAGCUCAAUUUGGGAUGAUAAGCUUAAGUUUGCAAGUGAUGCAAGUAAAUAAGUUUUUGCGGUUAAUUGAAUCUUUAAUACUCUGGGCCCUAUUCUAAAAUUUGUAGGUUGCUUCAGAAGAAAGGGCGGUUCUCACUCAUCUUUAAUCUCCAAGUAAAAUUAGAUACAAAGCAAAUCUAAUAAAAUGACAAACAAACAAACAAAACAAAGAAAAGACAGGAGGCAAACAACAUUGAUCUUAAGCCAACUGAUAUUUAAACAGAGAAUUCUUUUCUUUUAUUUUUUUAACCACCUUUUGCUCAAGGAUUAGAGUUUUUAUAUUAACAGAAAGGUUUCAGGGGUCUGAAUAAAAGCCCACAAUUUCUCUAAUUGUUUUUUUUUUUUUUUUUUUGGGAAAAAUGGAUGCAAAUUAUCCAAAGCUAAUAAUAAGAACACAGACAUUACAAAUGAACAAUAACUUAAAACUCAAGCAAAAUAAAUGACAAGAUGAAAACAAACAAGAUAAAUUUUUUCUUGGAAAUUAGAUGGAAAUUAAGGACUGCUAGUAAAAGAUAUUAUUAGAUGAUUUAGAACAUGUGUACCUCUUUAAUUGUCUGGGAUCAAAGAAUUGAUGAGCUUCUCCAUUCGCAUUGAAUAUUAAGUAAGAACGGGUAUUCAAAGAAAUUAUUAGGAAAAAUUUUAAUGAGUAAAAGAUCACUGUUAACUGCAGACGAAUGUCCUAGUAAAAUGUUGAUUUGUGUAAUAACAAUGAAUUGCAAAAGAAGAAAACUUAAUCAUGCACCCCUUUUAUACCCGAGUUUUAAGAUUUAAUUUUUGAAGUUCAGAAUCAAGACCAAAAGCCGAAGCUUUAACAAGGCAUGCAGUGAGAUACAAGAAAUGGAUCGGGUAAAAUACUUUAAAAAAUGUUGUUCAACUCAAUUAACUUGAAGAAAGCACUAAUUUCAUAUGUUCUAAUGAAAUAAUCAAGUUAAAAGUUUUCAACGAAUAAAUACCUGUUGCGCUUGAAUAAUUUUGGCAUAUACAUUACUUGUAUCCUGUGAAAUUGAAAAGAAUAUUGAUAUGCAGAGCUUAUUAGUAGAGAGAAAGCUUUGUAAGAUGCCUGAUAAAAGAGAAACCAAAAGCUUGAAUGAGGAAUGACAUCUUAGAAAGAAACUAAACAUCAAAGUAGGAUCAAUAAUGACUUGAUUUAUGCUUUUUUGUUAUUUCAUUUGUUCUGUCAACAAAUGAUGCCUCGUUAUUACGAGUUCCAACCUGGACGUUAUGCACAAAUUGUUUUUAUGUUUAACAGAAAAAAAUGAAAGCAGGUCACCAUACAAAAUUGCAUGAACAAAUCUUCAAUUUAAUGAUUAUAAAAUAAAAUAAAUUUUAUUAAUAGAUUAUGGGUAUGUUAACGUUAGGGAUUUGAUCAGAUGAUCAUAUGAUUUACUAAACGCUUUAACAAGAACAAGAAAAAGAAUUAAUGGGUUAAAAAAAAUUUAAAAAUAAAAUAAGAGAGAAGUAAAGAACUUAUUUGCAAUUACCAAACUGAAAAAAUGCGAAAUGAAAACAAGGGAGCCCUGUUUUUCCUCACAUUUUUUUUCUCUCUUUUUCAAGUGGUGAGAAUGAUAGCAGAAAAUGCGAGCUCACUAUUUUCAUUUGUUGGCCUAAAAGCCUUCCUCCAAGAGAUGCAUAAAUUUUAUUUGUACAUUUGUUCCAUUUUAAGUACACAUUGUUGCAUGCAUUUUGAACUGUAUUAUCAAUCCUUUUUGUUUUCAGUUGGUUAGUUCAUAAUAACAAAUGAAUUAUAUUAUUUUGCAUGGAUCGAAAUUUAACUUUCCCUCUUUAUUUGUCCCACAACUAAAUAGUCUCAUCUUUUGUAGUAAGCUCGCAGUACGUACGGGGAACUACUGUAUGGGUGCUUUAGCCUAAAAUGAAGAUCUAUUAAAAAUUUCCCUAAUAUCAUGAUAUUAAACAUUAAAUAAUAUCAACAUUUUGACUUCCAUUUUGUUUUUUGGAUGGAGGAUGUUCCAUCUUCUAUUUUAGGUGCUUUGUAAGACUUUUAAUUGAACAAUUGAUGCAAUCAGUAACAAAGGCUUUACUUACAUAUGCAAGUAAAAUUUGCAGGUUGCUUCAGAAGAACGGGCAGUUCUCACUCAUCUUUAAUCUCCAAGUAAAAUUAGAUACAAAGCAAAUCUAAUAAAAUGACAAACAAACAAACAAAACAAAGAAAAGACAGGAGGCAAACAACAUUGAUCUUAAGCCAACUGAUAAUUAAACAGAGAAUUCUUUUUUUUUUUAACCUUUUGCUCAAGGAUUAGAGUUUUUACAUUAACAGAAAGGUUUCAGGGGUCUGAAUAAAAGCCCACAAUUUCUCUAUUUUAUUUUUAUUUUUAUUUUUUGAAAGGAGCUUCACUAUUGGCCUUGAACAUAUAAGAAUAAGCAAAAGAUCAAUGUCAACUGCAAAGGAAUGUGAGUAUGUCAAAGUCAUGGGCGGUUUGGCACCAUUAACAUAUUUCAAAAUGGCCACCCUAAUUGAAGGAAAUUAAAGGCCAAGUAGAUGCCGCCCAAGGAAAGAAACAAAAGAGAAUGAAGAAAAAGAAGAAAGAGAGAAGAAAAAGAGAUGUCGGGCCGAAGAAGGAAAAGAAAAGAAAAAUUAAUAAAAUAAUAAUAAUAAUUAAAUAUUAAACAAAUAGUAGCUAAUUUUGGCUAUAAAACCGCUAGCUCCCUUCAUUUGUAAAUCAUCUAGUUCUUCAGUUCUUUUCUUUAUUUAGAGAGCGAUUUUAAGAGUCUAGUGAUUUGAGAGUUUAGGUGUAUUGGGAUUUUGGGUAGUGAGCUAAAAUACCACAAUACUUGUAACUUCUUUUCACUAGUAAAAUACUUUCCUUCUGUUUUCACCUGUGAACGUAGGCUAAAAGCUGAACCACGUAAUUUCUUGUGUCUAUUUUUUGUACUUGUUCUUUAUUUUCUUCCAAUUUCACUUUAGCUGCGUGUUUGCUUCACUCACCAAUUUUGUAAUAGUGAAUCAGAGCUAUUAGUUGUAUUUUUUGGAGUCGGGUACUGUUCACGUAAGGGGUACUAUUCACGUAUAUGGCACUGUUCACGUAUACGGUACUAUUCACGUAAAACGAUGGGAGGAUCCAAGAAUUUUGCGGUGCAAAGCAGGGAAUAGUGGUGUGAGUAAAACAACUGUGUGGUUUUGUACAUGUCUAGGAAAGUUCUAUCACAAAGGCGAUAAGAGCUUAAGGAGUCUGGGUUUUAAGUGGGACCAUUGUGACCCCUCCAAUGUUUCCUGGGAACUUUCUUGGUGUGCAUUCUCACACAUACUCACAACUAUUCAAGGUGGUACACUUGCUUGUGUGCGGUAUUUAUCAAUAAAAUGGCGGCAAAGUAUGAAAUUGAGAAAUUUAACGGAAACAAUUUUUCAUUGUGGAAAAUGAAGAUGAAAGCUGUAUUGAGAAAAAAUAAUUGCUUAGCAGUAAUUGGAGAAAGGCUUUUGGAGAUAACUGAUGACAAGUGGAACGAGAUAGAUGGCAACACCAUUUCUGAUCUACACUUGGCACUUGCAGAUGGAGUAUUAUCUAGUGUGGCAGAGAAAAAUACAGCGAAGGAAAUAUGGGAUACUCUCACAAAAUUGUAUGAGGCUAAGUCACUACACAGCAAAAUCUUCUUAAAGAGGAAACUUUAUACUCUUCGAAUGGUGGAAUCUACAAUGGUGAUCGACCACAUCAACACCUUGAAGACUCUAUUUUCACAACUCACAACGUUGGGUCAUAAUAUAGAGGAGAAUAAACAUGUAGAGCUUGUACUUCAAAGUCUACCAAAUUCGUAUGAUCAACUCAUCAUCAACCUAACGAACAACAAUCCAGCGGAUAGUCUAGUUUUCGACGAUGUUGCAGCUUUCCUAUUAAAUGAGGAGAGCAGGCGAAAAAAUAAGAAAAACAGACAAGCAAUUUCGCAGCAAGCGGCGGUGCUAUCGGUGACGAGAGGGAGAUCAACGGAACGUGGCCCUAGUGGGAGUCAAAAUCAUAGUAAAUCAAAAUCCAGAAGUAAGAAGAAUGUUAAAUGCUACAACUGUGGCAAGAAAGGACACGUCAAGAAAGAGUAUUGGAGUAACUAGAAGAGAAAAGAGGAUAAAGAACCUGAGUCAUCAAAUGCUCAGGGGUGUGUAGCAAGUACCUCAGAUGAUAGCGAAAUUCUUUACACUGGGGCAAUAACUAUUUCAGAAGGCAGAAAACGACUAUCUAAUGUCUGGCUUAUAGACUCAGGAGCUACCUGGCACAUGACGGAGAGAAUGGUUCUAGACAUAUGAACCUAUCUCAGGAGGAUCUGUAUAUAUGUGAGAUGAUCAUGCCUUGGAGAUCGCUGGUAUUGGUACUAUCAAAAUAAAAAUAUUUGAUGGUACAAUUCGCACAAUUGGGGAGGUACGACAUGUCAAUGACCUGAAGAAAAAUCUAUUGUCUUUGGGACAAAUAGGCAGUUAUGGGUGCAAAACUCAUGUGGAGAAUGGAAUUAUGAAGAUUGUUAAAGGAGAGCUUGUAUUGAUGAAGGCAGAAAAGAUCGGUGCUAAUCUAUUCAUGCUUAAAGGAGAGUCACUACAGGAGGCUGAUGCGUGUGUCGCAUCAAAUGGAGAAGAGUUAAUGAUGAUGUGACAUCUCAAACUUGGCCACAUGUCGGAACAUUGUUUGAAGAUUCUCUCUGAGCGAAAAUUACUUCCAGGGCUUAAAUCGGUAAGUUUACCUUUUUGCGAGCAUUGUGUUACCAGUAAGCAGCAUAGAUUAAAAUUUAGUAGAUCUAUUCUAGAAGUAAAUAUAUUCUAGACUUGAUUCAUUCUGAUGUUUGGAAAUCACCGGAUAUAUCCAUGGGAGGUGCAAAGUACAUGGCGACUUUCAUUGAUAAUUAUUCCAGAAGAUGUUGUGUGUAUCUAAUUAAGAAAAAGUUAGAUGUAUUUCCAGUGUUUAAAGAAUACAAAGCGCGGGUGAAACUUGAAUCUGGUAAAAAGAUUAAGUGCUUGAGGACGGAUAAUGGUGGAGAGUAUACAGACGGCGAGUUUCUUGCUUUCUGUAAGCAAGAAGGUAUUUAGAGACAGUUCACCAUAGCAUACACUCCUCAACAAAACGGAGUGGCGGAGCGGAUGAACAGAACUCUUACAGAAAGAAUAAGAGCUAUGUUGAGGACUGCUGGUCUACCUAAUUCAUUCUGGGCAGAAGCAGCCAAAACUGCUUGUUAUAUAGUAAAUCGGUUGCCAUCUACAGCUAUUAGGCUAAAGACAACGAUGGAGAUGUGGACUGGAAAGCCAACUGAUUAUUCCUACCUACAUGCAUUUAAAUGUCCUGUGUACGUGAUGUACAAUGCCCAAGAAAGAACAAAGCUGGAUCCAAAAUCUAGAAUAUGUAUCUUCUUGAGAUAUGCUGAUGGAAUAAAGGGGUAUCGUCUGUGGGACCCCACUGCCCACAAGAUCGUUAUCAGCAGAGAUGUUAUCUUCAUAGAAGAUCAACUGCAAAGGAAAGAUGAAGAUGAUAGUAGUGUAAAAGAAAAGUCAGAGACUAUACCGGUAUAUGUGGAAAAUAAUCCAUAAGAUUCAGAUUCUUCUGAAGCAGAACCAGAGCACGAGCAACAAAAACCAGUCGAGUCUGAGGCUCCAGAAGUUCGUCGGUCAACUCGUGAGAGACGACCGCCAAUGUGGCACUCGGAGUAUGUUACAGAGAUCAACGUUGCAUACUGUCUUCUAAUAGAGGAUAGAGAGCCUUUAACUUUCCAUCAAGCUUUAGAAAGCUCAGAUGUUGCUUUGUGGAUGACAGCAAUGCAGGAAGAAAUAAAGCUCUACAUAAUAACAAGACAUGAGAACUUGUACCACUACCACGUGGAAGAAAAGCCAUUGGAAACAAAUGGGUCUACAAAAUCAAACGUGAAGGCAAUGACCAAGUAGAGCGGUGUCGUGCGAGAUUGGUGGUGAAAGGAUAUGCUCAGAAAGAAGGUAUUGACUUCAACGAGAUAUUUUCGCCGGUGGUUUGCCUCACGACGGUCAGAGUAGUCUUGGCAAUGUGUGCUACAUUUGACCUACAUUUAGAGCAGUUAGAUGUGAAAACUACAUUUCUUCAUGGAGAACUUGAAGAAGAAAUAUAUAUGCUCCAACCAGAAGGUUUUGCAGAAACAGGAAAAGAGAACUUGGUUUGCAGGUUGAACAAAUCUUUAUUCGGUCUCAAACAGGCGCUGAGGUGUUGGUAUAAGAGAUUUGAUUCCUUUAUCAUGAGCCUUGGAUACAACAGACUCAGUUCAUACCAUUGUGCAUAUUAUAAAAGGUUUGCAGAUAAUGAUUUCAUUAUUUUACUAUUGUAUGUGGAUGACAUGUUGGUAGCAGGCCCUAACAAAGAUCGAAUCCAAGAAUUGAAGGCACAGUUGGCUAGGGAGUUUGAAAUGAAGGACUUGGGACCAGCAAACAAGAUUUUAGGAAUGCAAAUUCACCGAGACAUAAAUAACAGGAAGAUUUGGCUUUAGCAGAAGAAUUACUUGAAGAAAAUCUUGUGGCGCUUCAACAUGCAAGAUUGUAAGUCAAUUUCUACCCCACUUCCUGUUAAUUUCAAAUUAUCCUCAAGUAUGUGUCCUAGCAAUGAAGCAGAGAGGAAGGAGAUGUCUCGAGUACCGUAUGCAUCAGUAGUGGGAAGUUUAAUGUUCGCUAUGAUAUGUACUAGACCAGACAUUGCACAAGUAGUGGGAGCAGUCAGUCGAUACAUGGCGAAUCCCGGUGGAGAGCAUUGGAUAGUUGUGAAGAGGAUUCUGAGAUACAUCAAAGGAACCUCAGAUGUUGCAUUAUGUUACGUAGGAUCAGAGUUUACUGUCAAGGGCUAUGUGGAUUCAGAUUUUGCAGGAGAUCUUGAUAAAAGAAAAUCCACUACUAGUUAUGUGUUUACACUUGCGGGAGCAGCUGUAAGCUGGGUUUCGAAACUGCAGACUGUUGUGGCUUUAUCUACAAUAGAAGCAUAAUACAUGGCAGCUACACAAGCUUGCGAGGAAGCUAUUUGGAUACAAAGAUUAUUGGAGGAGCUCGGGCACAAACAAGAGAAAAAUUAUGUGUUUUGUGACAGUCAGAGUGUCUUUCACAUUGCAAGAAAUCCAGCCUUUUAUUCCAAGACAAAGCAUAUAGGAGUUCAGUAUCACUUCGUUCGAGAAGUAGUGGAAGAUGGAAAUAUGGAUUUACAGAAAAUCCAUACGAAGGAGAACCUAGCAGAUGUUUUGACUAAGCCGAUAAAUGCUGACAAGUUUAUCUGGAGUAGAUCUUCUUGUGGCCUAGCAGAAACGUAGGCAACAUGAUUAUGGCGAAGCAGAAAGGAUGUUGUGGACAUUGAUUGAUUCUCAAUCUAAUCUCCAGGUGGGAGAAUGUCAAAGUCAUGGGCGGUUUAGCAUCAUUAACAUAUUUCAAAAUGGCCACCCAAAUUGAAGGAAAUUAAAGGCCAAGUAGAUGCCGCCCAAGGAAAGAAACAAAAGAAAAAGAAGAAAAAGAAGAAAGAGAGAAGAAAAAGAGAUGUCAGGUCGAAGAAGGAAAAGAAAAGAAAAAUUAAUAAAAUAAUAAUAAUAAUUAAAUAUUAAAUGAACGGUAGCUAAUUUUGGCUAUAAAACCGCUGGCUCCCUUCAUUUGUAAAUCAUCGAGUUCUUCAGUUCUUUUCUUUAUUUAAAGAGUGAUUUUAAGAGUCUAGUGAUUUGAGAGUUUGGGUGUAUUGGGAUUUUGGGUAGUAAGCUAAAAUACCACAAUACUUGUAAAUCAUUUUCACUAGUAAAAUAUUUUCCUCAUGUUUUCGCCCGUGGACGUAGGCUAAAAGUCGAACCACGUAAUUUCUUGUGUCCAUUUUUUGUGCUUGUUCUUUAUUUUUUUUCCAAUUUCACUUUAUCUGCAUGUCUGCUUCACCCACCAAGUUCCUAACAGAGUAAAGAUUUCAUCAGAGUAAGUAAUACAAAUGAAUUGUAAAAGAACAAGACUUAAGCGUGCACCCCGUGUUUUGUUUUAUUCGUAUAAACAUAACAUGUUCAUUUUUAACAAAGUGGUCAAUAACUCUAUUCGCUAUGAAAAUGAUAUUGUACCCAAUUUUAAGAGAGCAUAACAAUAACCAUUCAAUGCAUAAAUUUAGAAUUUUUUUUUUGUAAUUCUUUAUUUAAAUAUAAACGUCGAUGGAAAAUUAUAAAAAUUUAGAUAUGAAAUUUUAAGUCACCAGACAAAAAAAAAAAAAAAAAAAAGGGGAACAGAAAUAGAGGAAUCUUGCUUUACCUUUUUUUUUUUUUCCUUUAACUCUUGUUCUUAUAUAAAUAAUCUUGUUUUGAUGAUUGUAACUCGUGACUGCGGGAAAUUUUCUAAUGGAAACAACUAAUUUCGGAAGAUAAGCUUAAUUACGCAAGUGAUGAAUUUGUUCAAUUGACUCUGUACUUGAACUAGUUGGAUUGGUUGAUUGAUGAUUGACUAAAUUUGAAUUAAGUUUAAUAGCUAUGAUGUGCUCCUUAAAAGCAAACGUAAAUCUUUUUUAGAUUUGACUGAAUUUGGGAACCUGUUGGAUUGAUUGUUUUUAGAUCAUUAAUAUCGGUUACUACAACGUAAAUAUUUUAUUGUGGUUGAGUCCUAUUCUCAAAUCAGUAGGUUGCCUUAGAAAAAGGGCUUUUCUCACUGAUCUUUUUUUUUUCUUUAAUUCACACGCACUUGAUUAUUGACUUCUUUCAUGAAGAAAUAAACUUGUAAUGACUUAAAGAUUUAAUUUCAAGUUAGAAUCAAUACCAAAAGACGGAGGUUUAACAAAGCCGUUUAGUGUGAUAAAAGUACUUUAAAAAAUGUUGUUCGACCCAAUUAAGUUGAAGAAAUAACAAAGUUUUCAUGGAAUAAAUACCGGUUGUGCUUUAAUGAUUUUGGCAUAGACAUUGCUUGUGUACUGUGAAAUCGAAAUGAAUUACUGUGAAAUUGAAAUGAAUAUUAAGUGACAGCGCGAUGUAUAUGCCUAAUAAAAGAUCAGCAAAAGCUUGGAUGAAUGAUUGAGGACCAAAACUUUUAUAAAAGCAUUUUUGAGAGAAACUAAACACCAAAUUAUCAAAGUAAGAUCAACAGUAUAUGAUUUGAUUUAUACAUAUUCAAAAACAAAAUAAUGAUUAAUAAUAAAGUUUGAUUUUGUAUUGCCAACGAUGCUUUUUUGUUGUUUCAUUUGUUCGACGUGGCCUUAUUUACAAAUUGGUUUAUGUUAACAGAAACAUAAAAUUCACAUCACACAAAAUUCCACGAACAAAUAUUAAGAGAACGUAAUAAUAAUCACUCAAUGCAUAAGGGUAAAUUUAGAAUUACAUAUUCUUUUUUAUUUAAUAAAAUCCCAACGGGAAGUCAUAAAAAUUUAGAUAUAAAAUUUUCAAUCACCAAACAAAAAAACAGGGGGAAUGAAAACACAGAAAACUUAUUUUAACUUUUUUUUCAUCUAACUCUUGUUCUUAUAUAAUAUUUUCCCUAGUAUUUCAGGCAAAAAAAAAAAAUCAAUAGAGAGCAAGUUGCUCAAAUUGAUUUAUCUUGUUUUUCAGGCAAUCUUGUGAUAUGAUGAUAAAGCUCAUGAAUGCUAGAAAACUUCUAAUGCAAACAACUCUAUUUGGGAUGAUAAGCUUAAUUUUACAAGCGAUAAAUAUAAAUAACUUUUUGUGGUUAAUUGAAUUUGUAAUUACUCUUAGCCCUAUUCUAAAAUUUGUAGGCUGCUUCAGAAAAGAAAAAAAAAAAUUCUUACUCAUCUUUAAUCUUCAAGUAAAAAGCAAAUCUAAUAAAAUGAAAAACAAACAAACAAGUAAAAGACAGCAAACAAACAACAUUUAACCAACUGAUAUUUAAACAAGGAAUUCUUUCUUCUUCCUUUUUCUUCCCCCCCCCCCCCCCCCCCCCGGGGCUCAUGGAUUAGAGUUUUUGCUAUUAACUGAAAGGUUUCAAGGGUCUGAAUAAAAUCCCAGACUUUUUUUUUUAAUUAACCAAAGCCAUAUAAUAAGAUCACAGACUUUAACAAUGAACAAUAAUUUGAAACUCAAGCAAAACCAAUGACAAGAUUAAAACAAACCAGAGAAAUUUUUUCUUGGAAAGUAGAUGAAAACUAAGUAAGAACUGCUAUUAAAGGAUAUUAUUAAAGGAUUUAGAACAUGUAUACCUCUUUAUUUAUAUGGGAUCAGAGAGUCGAUGACCUCCUCUAUUCGCUUCGGAUAUUAAGUAAGAACUGCUAUCAAAAGAAUGAAUUGAUGAGAGAAAUAACAGUGAAUUGCAAAAGAGGAAGACUUAAUCACGUACCCCUAUUAUACCCGAUUUUUAAGAUUUAAUUUUGAAGUCCAGAAUCAAGACAAAAGACGAAGCCUUAAAAAAUAUGCAGUGAGAAUAAUUAAGUUGAAGAAAGCACUAGUUUAUGGCUCAGUGUUUCAUAUGCUGUAAUGAAAUAAUUAAGUUGAAGUUUUUAACGAAUAAAUACAUGUUGUGCUAGAAUAAUUUUAGAAGAAUAUUGGCUUAUAGAGCAUAUUAGUAGGGAUAAGAUAGAAUAAAUGAAAUAAUAAAAAGCAUAACUGAUCAAGUCAUUAUUGAUCUUACUUUGAUUAUUACAUUGCACAUUAGUUUCUUUCUAAAAAUGUCAUUCUUCAUUCAAGCUUUUGCUUUAUCUUUUAUCAGGCAUCCUACUGUUGAUGCCCAAAUCUGAUCUAGUCUAUUAGUGACUUAAUAUCAGACUUCUACACUAGCAUUAGAUUUAUUUGGUAGAGAAUCGAUUGGUCAAUUGUCAAGAUGUCCUGCAACCACUAGCGAUUAACCUGCGAAUACCUGAAAUCAUAGAAGACGGUCAGAGGCGCUGGAAGUUUUUCCGGCGUGAACCCUCUAACGCUCAAGUCAGUUUCUGGGCCUUUGCCAAAAAACUUGUGCCACCACUCAUAUGGCUUAAUAAACAUUAACUUAAAAACCAAAAGCUUUUUGAGUAACUUGCAGAAAAAUGAAAUAGAGUGUAAAAGAAAGGAUUUUCCAUGAGAAGAAGAGAGAAAAAGAUGCCUUACAGACCCCGAAAAAAUAAAUAAAUCCUCCUUUUAAGGUCACGCCCCACUCCCCUCUUUUCCCCUUUGUUCUCCUCCACUUACGGAAGUUAAGGAUGAGUAAAAGUAAUGCCUCUACUCUCCAUUUUUUUCUCCUUUUUCCGUUACCAAACACUAGUCCCCCAGUUUCUAGUGUUGAGAGUUUUAACGAAUCAAGACUGGAAACUAUAUGAAUUUUAAAGUGACCUUGAUGUGGUUGGCAUAAAUCGGCUCGGGAUUGCUAAAAUUAACCUUACUAUUUGCAAAAAAUUUCAAGUUUUAAACUUUUACAUGCCUUUAAAUAUACCAUUUUCCUACUUGCAUAAUCAUGUAAAGCAGGUUUCAUAAGUUCACGUAUUUAUCUCACCUAAAGUAGGUUUUGAGACUUAGUCAUUUAUCUGCUUUAGAAUAUUUUUCACUCAUAUAACUCUUGCUCGCCUAAUCUUGGUCGGGCAAGAGCAGGCAAACUUUGACUUCAUCUCACUGCGAGGAGGUUUAAAGACUGUAAGCCUUUUACUUGAAGUACCCUUUGUUUUUUUUUUUUUUAACUUUCUGCUCGCCUUCACAUGGUUGAGCAGAUUCUGGCAAGCUUGAUUUCUUAUCUCGCCAUCGAGCAGACUUUGAGACUUUAAAGUCUUUUGUGUGCCUUAGAAACUUUCUUGGGAUUUUUGUUCUCUGCUCGCCUUUACAUGGUCGAGCAGAUUCUGGCGAGCUUGGCUUCCUGUCUCGCCAUCAAGGAGGCUUUGCGACUUUGGAGCCUUUGCUUGCCUUAGAAACUUUUUUGGAACUUUUGUGGUCUGCUCGCCUUCGCUUAGUCGAGCAGAUCCUGGCAUGCUUGGCUUCCUGUCUUGCCAUAAAAUAGGCUUUGAGACUUUGGAGCCUUUGCUUGCCUUAGAAACUUUUUUGGAAUUCUCAUUUUUUGCUCGCCUUCACAUGGUCGAGCAGAUUCUGGCGAGCUUGGCUUCCUGUCUCGCCAUUGAGGAGGCUUUGAGACUUUGAAGCCUUUGCUUGCCUUAGAAACUUUUUUGGAACUUUUGUGGUCUGCUCGCCUUCGCUUGGUCGAGCAGAUCCUGGCAUGCUUGGCUUCCUGUCUCGCCAUAAAAUAGGCUUUGAGGCUUUGGAGCCUUUGCUUGCCUUAGAAACUUUUUUGGAACUUUUGUGGUCUGCUCGCCUUCGCUUGGUCGAGCAGAUCCUGGUAUGCUUGGCUUCCUGUCUCACCAUAAAACAGGCUUUGAGACUUUGGAGCCUUUGCGUGCCUUAGAAGAUUUUUGAAACUUUUUUGGUCUGCUCGCUUUCGCUUGGUCGAGCAGAUCCUGGCAUGCUUGGCUUCCUGUCUCACCAUAAAACAGGCUUUGAGACUUUGGAGCCUUUGCGUGCCUUAGAAGAUUUUUGAAACUUUUUUGGUCUGCUCGCCUUCGCUUGGUUGAGCAGAUCCUGGCAUGCUUGGCUUCCUGUCUCGCCAUAAAACAGGCUUUGAGACUUUGGAGCCUUUGCGUGCCUUAGAAGAUUUUUGAAACUUUUUUGGUCUGCUCGCCUUCGCUUGGUCGAGCAGAUCCUGGCAUGCUUGCUUCCUGUCUCGCCAUAAAACAGGCUUUGAGACUUUGGAGCCUUUGCGUGCCUUAGAAGAUUUUUGAAACUUUUUUGGUCUGCUCGCCUUCGCUUGGUCGAGCAGAUCCUGGCAUGCUUGCUUCCUGUCUCGCCAUAAAACAGGCUUUGAGACUUUGGAGCCUUUGCGUGCCUUAGAAGAUUUUUGAAACUUUUUUGGUCUGCUCGCCUUCGCUUGGUCGAGUAAAUGUGGCUUCCUGUCUCGCCAUAAAACAAGCUUUGAGACUUUAGAGCCUUUGCGUGAUGAUGGGUGUCGAAGCCAACAAAAAUAAAUUCCUACUCUAAAUAAAUUGUGUAUAGUGAUUGAGCAGGGUCGUGUCCACAGAGAUCGGUAAUUAUUUAAAUCCUUUUGAAACGUAAAAAUAAAAUGGGGGUUUUGUUGACAAUAAUAAAAAUCAAAUUAAAAUAACGAGAAUGCAAAUUAAAGUUGUAAUUCAAAUUGGAGAAAGCUCUGGUUGAAGGAAUUAACUCAGCUUGAUUCGACUACUGAUCAUUGAUUCAAAUAAAGAUUAUUAUUACUUAUGAAUAGACCGGUUAUAGCUAUUGAGACCCUCUAAUAGCCAAUCUCUCCUUAACUAGUCGAUAACCAAGGUACGACCGUUGGAUAUUUCCCUAAUCAAAUAGACAACCCUAGAUACGAUCAUAAGAUUUAAUCAAUUGACAGCCUGAAAAACCAGAGAGACCCAAAUCCUAAUCAACACAUAUGAUGAUUCAUUUAAAUUAGAUUGUUUAUUCUCACAACACAACUCUCUGCUAUGUUAUUUGUCACAAAUAUUAAAUUCUUCAUACGAUGAAUCCUUUAAUUGACAAUAGAUUAAGUUGAUAAUUAAAUAGUGGCCAAUUACCUAAUUAACAAACAUAAUCAUGAAACUAAUUCAGAGAAUAAACAAAUACCCAAAGAGCAAUAAAACAAUUAAAGCACAAGAAAGAUCUCACAGUAGUGAUGAAUCAAAGCUUCAUUAUCCUUCAACCAGAAAAUAAGUUUAGUUCUCCAUAGAGAGAAGAGAAAAAUUAGCUCUAGGGUUUCUUUCUUUUUCUCCAAUCCCAAAAAAUCCCCCUUUUCACAAUAGAUUCCUCCCUUAAAUACUCUCUCUCUCUUCUCUUUUAGAGUUCUAUUUAAAAUAAAAUACUAAUAUUUGAAAUAUUAAAUUCGUAAUAAAAAAAUAGCCAAAAAUACAAAACACGUUAAACUAAAAACUGCAAGUCCGCAGUUGACAGCACGCGCCCACGCCUUAUCAACAAAGUUCUUCUGCCGCUCAUAAUUUCUCCAAGAAAACAAUCAUCCUUAAACAUCAUCUUAUAGCUCAAUUUUAUCACCAAUCAAUAGAAUUGCACCUACAAAAGUAAAACACAAGUAAAUCACUAUUAUUAAAUGCAAAACAUCGAUAUUAAGGGAAGUAAACAAUGCAAAACUAGUGCAUAAAUUGCACUCUAACACGUGCCUUCAAUGUGCUCUUAUUUGAGGUUUUUGCUUUAAAUCCUUACAUAUGGAUAACCAUCAAAAAUUUAAUUUCGGACUUGUAACUUAUAACUUGUCCAGAAAAUAGCUCUCAUUUACAACUUGCGCUUUAGCUAUUUAUAUAUGUUUGGGCCUUUGAUGGAUAAACAUCCUUGGUGUUUUUAUUACCAUCUAUAAUAUUUGGUUAGCAAUAUUAUUAAAGACCUUUGCUAAAGGUGCAGAGCACCAUUUACCAACACUAAAGAUAUUAAAAUUUAUAUAUAAAAUAAAUCAUAUUAUAUAAAAUAUGUAAUCAACAAAUAAAUGGUACCAUAAAAGUUUAAGCAAAGUCAUAUCACUGUAUCAAGGAAAUACGAUCUCAUGCUAACCCAAGUUCCAUCAAUCCUUCGGUCAAGCAUGUUGUGUGCUAAUAUAUGACUAUGCUAUAUAUUCUAUAAUAUGUAAUCUUAACUAUUUUCUAUUAACGACUUAAUAAGUCAAAACCCCAUCCAUCAGAUUUUUGAAGUCAAGUAGUGGAUUUAAAGGAUAAAUAUAAAACUGAGGUAUUAGAACAAGUGCACCUGAGAUUGUGCUCUGCAUUAUUUCAUUAGUACUUCAUCAAACAAAUCUCGAGCUUGACUCUGCUUUGCUCCCUUCUUAGAAUUAUUCUUGCAAUAUUUUAACAUGGGCACAAAACGGAUAAAAUAUGAAGGAAACAAAAAUCCAACUUCAUCAAUUCUUUGAAGCUUGAAGACAUGCCUAUCAAGCAUAUAUGUAGUGUAUGUAGUGUAAUCAGCAACAAACUCACUUUUGAACUUUCAUAUCCCUUGAGGCGAUUUAACGAAUAGCUCCUGAUUUGAAUUUUAACAAUUCGGCCUCAACUUGUAAUGAACCGAGUUUCAUACCAGAAUUGUCUAAAUACUUUCCCUGCAUAUUCUUCACAUGAAAACUAGCAGCAUGAUUGAUUGAUGGGGUGUAAAACCAGCAGGAAAUAUCUUGAAGAAACCACAGAUCCGUGGAUUUUUUAUGCUUACCACCAAAUGAAUUUAACAAUUUGUGUGAUCUUUAUUUUAAGAAAUUGAACAUUGCUAAUACCGCAAAUCGAUUGCUCUUUUGAACAGACUUUAUAUCUUGAGUUCGAUGAAAAGAGAACAAUCAAUCAAGAAAUAUAAAUACAUCAGCAAAAUAAUGAUGGUAGCAGCAUUACACAUCUAAUUAGCCAUAACGAAGCUGAAUAAUUAGCCAUAAUAAAUCUGAAAUGUUAACAUUAUGUCAAGCAUGUUGUUGGAAAAUACUAAAUUAAUUCAUUUGCAAGUAUAAUAGCAUGUAAUCUUGAAUUAUGAAUGAAGCCCAUUCUAACAAGCUAAUUUUGUGAAGGAACAUUAUCAACGAAUUCCAAGGGAUAAUAUUCAAUUUCAGCAAAUAUAUCAUGCACGGUAUUGAAACAUGCAUGUUAUUAAAGAAUUUCCAAGCAUCUCUCAGUUGAUAAAUCAAUCAUCAUAGCAAUUGGAAAUUGAAUUUUAAUGACAAUAUACUUAAAGCAAUAAAUAAGCCAAAACCUUUACAGGUAAGCAUUCCAUCCAGCCUUGAUUGGCUUCCGUGUUUGAGCCAGCUUAUCAAUUUGUGCAUGAUAAUAUUAUGCCUUUGGCUUGGCCGGAUGCAAAAUUGGUAGAGACAAGAAGUUGGCUUUUUGUAUCGAUUCCCCACAGACGGUGCCAAAUGUUGAUGCCCAAAUCUGAUCUAGUCUAUUAGCGACUUAAUAUCAAACUUCUACACCAGCAUUAGAUUUAUUUGGUAGAGAAUCGAUUGGUCAAUCGUCAAGAUGUCCUGCAACCACUAGCGAUUAACUUGCGAAUAUUUAAAAUCAUAGAAGACGGUCAGAGGCGCCGAAAGUUUUUCCGGCGUGAACCCUCCGACGCUCAAGUCAGUUUCUGGGCCUUUGCCAAAAAACUUGUGCUACCACUCAUAUGGCUUAAUAAACAUUACCUUAAAAACCAAAAGUUUUUUGAGUAAUUUGCAGAAAAAUGAAAUAGAGUGUAAAAGAAAGGAUUUUCCAUGAGAGGAAGAGAGAAAAAGAUGCCCUGCAGACCCCGAAAAAAUAAAUAAAUCCUCCUUUUAAGGUCAUGCCCCACUCCCCUCUUUUCCCCUUUGUUCUCCUCCACUUAUUGAAGUUAAGGAUGAGAUAAAAGUAAUGCCUCCACUGUCCAUUUUUUUUCUCCUUUUUCCGUUACCAAACACCUACAAAUCUUAUCCCUACUAAUAUCCUCUAUAAGCCAAUAUUCUUCUAAAAUUAUUAAAUGCCAUUCUUCAUUCAAGCUUUCAUGGACAUUAUUUACAAAUUGUUCUUGUAUUUGACAGAAAAAUGAAAACGCCUCGUCAUACAAAACUGGAUGAACAAAUCUUCUGUUUAAUUGUGAUAAAAUAAUAAAUUCCAUUAACAGAUUCAGCUGUAUGUUAAUGUGAGGGAUUUGAUCAGAUGAUCAUAUAAUUUACUACACGCUUUAAGAAGAACAAGAAUUGAUGACUUAAAAAUUAAAAAAUAAACAAAUAAAGAGUAGAUACAAAGAAUGUUAUUUGCAAUCACCAAACUGAAGAACAUGGGAAUGAUAACAGAGGACGGUUGAUGCAACAUUAUGAAGUCAAAAUUAAGAAAGGCCUUUUUUCCUUUUUUUUUUUUACAUUAUUCUAUUUAAUCUUACAUAAGGCGCACACUACGAAUAUAAAUUAAAUUCAUAAUUAAGAAUAAACGAUAAACCCUAACAAUCAUCUAGCAAGUACCGUGUAGACUGCAUCAAAAAUUUAGAUUUAAAUUUUUACAAUCACCAAAUGGAAAAACAGGGGACUGAAAACAAAGGAGCCCUGUUUCCAGAAACCGGGGAGUUUCCGGGUUUCUGGAAACAAACUCAGAAACGAAUGAACUGGCUGCCGGCGGUACUUUCUAGAUAAAUCGCUUGGUGUAUAUAAGCUUUCAUGGUCUGGUUUUAGUCUGGUUAGGUUCAGCCACUGUGACUGUUAGGGAUUCUCGUAAACUGAAUUUAAAGUUGCGGCUUAAAGUGUUUACCAACUUAAAACCAGAGCUAUAAAGUGUUUGAUGAAUUAUUUUUUAAUUUAAAAAAAAAAAACUGAUUUAGCGGGAUAAAAUAAUGCUCCAUUCCGUUUAGUAUGUGAAGUCCAGAGUAUUACCUACUACUAACUAAAUCCGCUUGAUUCACAAGACUACCAAGAGAUAACUGAAUCUUCAAUGUAAUAAAAUAAUAAUCAGCCUCACAGGAUACAUAAAAAGCUCAUUUAUCACAAUCAUAUCCUAGUGCAUCAUAAAUUUAGAUUAUUUACUUUUACUAUUAGGAAACCUACUUAUAUAAGGCGCAAACCACAAAUUCUAAAUUAAAUACCUAACUAGGAAUAAAAGAUAAACCCUAACAGUCAUACACCAGGUGCCGUGUAGCCUGCAUCAUAAAUUCUGAUUUAAAUAUUUGCAAUCACCGAACAGAAAAACAGGGGAACGAAAACAGAGGAGCCCUAUUUUUCCAUUUUUUUAACCCUUAACUCUUGCUCUUCUAAUUAUAUUUUUCCUUGGAAUUUCAAGUAUGAGAUGAAUUUGGAGAAAGUAAAUAAAUUUGAAUUACGUGAAAAAUUCUAAUUUUUUUAACCCUUAACAGUUGGUAUAUUUUUUUUAGGUCAUAUAUUAAUAAUUUCUUUUAAAAAAAAUUUAUAAUAUCAAUUAAUAUUAUAACCUACAGAUUAAUACAGAUAAAAAUAUGAUUGAUUUAUCUCCACCACCUAAGUCUUAGCCAAAUUUAAUUAAAGAUUAAUUUAAUAAAUUACCGAAAAUAAUAAAGUAAACGAAAAAUAAAGCACGCAAUUAAGUAAUCAUGCUUCUAAAGGGCUAAUUAACCAUAAUAGGCAUAGGUAUUAAUUUGACUUCUAUGAAAGUCCCUUCUAGUUUCUCAAAAUUCAAAAAUUACAAUAAAAAGCCAAAGAAAAAGUCAAUGCUUCUAAAGUAGAAAAGUUUGAGUACUAGAUAGGCUGCCCAAAAUACAUUUUCAUUACUCACAUAUCUCUAUAGAAAGUAAUUUUUUUAAUAAAAACAACCUAUUUGGCUAAUAUUCAGUCGUCUUUUUUGUUGAUGGAAUUAUCCUCUUAACAAUAUUUUAAAAAGUUUACAUGAAUAUUCCUUUUUUUUUAAAAAAAAGAAUUAAUAACGUGUAUUGUUAGGAUAAAAAUGAUCAUCAAUACGUAUGUAUAUAGGCACAAAUAUAUGAAAAAAAAUCAAGUUUAAGUACAAUGUAUAGGUCAAUGCCUAAGAGUCAAGCCUAAAUUAGGGCAACAUAUAACUACAAAAUACAAUUUCGUACACUACAAAAUUUUGAUAUCAGCAGUAGGGGUAUAAAAAAAUCAUUGUUGCCAAAAAUCCAAAAGCUAACUAGAGGUUUGGUUUUGUUUCAAAAAUUAAAAAAACAAGUCAAUUCGUAAAAUCAAAAACAGAAAAAGAAAAACAAAAUAUAGAGGAAUUUACAGUUUAAAAAGAAAAACCAAGCCAAAACGAAAUUGAAUCGAAAGUCGAACCAACUCAGUUCAGUUUGAUUUGAAUUUUAUUUUAUAAAAAAAAAUGAUCGGAACCAACUAAACUGUAUUAUGUUAUAAAUUAUUAUAUAACAUAAAUUUUUGAAUACCUUUGUGACGAGCACAAUUUAAAAUUUUAUGAUUUUAAAUUUUAACAUUAAUGGAGAGUUAAUACUCCACCAUUUUCCAAUUUUUACAAUACAUAUUACUAGUUUAGAUAUGCUGUAUAUUAUUGUUAUAAUUUUUCGAGCAAGAUAAUAUUUGUCAAUUGGUGUUAUGACAUCAAAAUACUUGGUAUUAGUUAGUGCUAAGUGCUUCUUUUUCUUAAAAAAAGCGGUUCCUUAGUUUUAAAACAAAAAUCAUUAUCCUGAAAUUCUCCAUUUGCUUUGUUAACAGAUAUAACAAAAUAAAGUGAUAAAAGUUUAAUUUAUAAAACUUCGGCAUUUAUAUCUAUCAGAUUCAACACUUUAGUGUCAUAGAUUUAUUUCGGUGGAGCACGAUGUGGGUCGGGCCAGGCUUAGAAUUUUAAGCACGAGAGCCUUAAAAAUAUGAUAUGAUUAGAGAUGGACUGAGCACAGCACGAUGAAAAUGCCCACAAUAAGCACAUUAUAUUUUUUUUUUAUUGAAAAUAAACUUAAAAUUUUAUGUUUUAUAAAUAACUUGAAGUUGAAUUUUUUAAAUUCAUUUAAUUCUUAGUUUAAAAAAAUAUUAUAAUUAAUUUAUAUUCAUAAUUUAUUAAAUAAAUAAUUGAUAUCAUGAUUUUAAUGAAUAAAAUUAUAAAUAUCACGAUUUUAUAAAUAUGCAUUAAUAUUAUUGUGAACUAUGAUCUAUGACUCUAUGUAACUCUAAGUUAACAAUUAAGUUAGCCCUUAAGAAAAUAUUAUUAUUAUUGUUGUUGUUGUUGUUGUUGUUGUUGUUGUUGUUGAGUAUUAAAAAAAUUAUAAUACUAAGAGAUCAAACUUAGUAAUUAAUAUUAAAUUUUCUUACUAUUAUUAGUUUAUUAUUAUUGAAUAUAAACUUGAGUUUUGAUUUUUUGAUUCUAUUAAAUUUGAAUAAAAGUAUAGACCUAAGAAAAAUAUAUAGACUUGAAAAAAAUAUGCCAACAGUUUAGUAUGCCCCUUAAAAAAUUUAAAAAAAAAAAGAAAAAAACUUAGUGAGCUUUUUUUCUUAGGCAUGGCACGGCAUGUAUCGGCAUGUGUGCUAGGCCGAACCUAAACAAAAAAAUAAAUAAAUAAAUCUUGACACGACACAACACAAGCAUAAGCACGCAUGGGCCUUACUUACCGCCCGACCCAUUGAGCAUCUCUAACUGUAUCUAUCUCCGCCAUAAUAAAUUAAACAUCGGGUAACUACUAGACUAGGCAUUAGCACAUAAACUAACUAACUAUAGUACCAAAAAGAAUGAUGCGACAUUGUAAAAGAGAUGGGGCAAAGGGCAGAAUGGGAAACGAAUGAACCAAAUAAUAGUAUAUAAUAAUAUGAAUUUGGUAAAAAUAAAAAAUAAAUAAAGUAAAGUGGUGACACGUACCUCCUUUUAUUUCUCGAUCGAGUAGUGCAGAAAGUGGAGUGUGUGUGUGUGUGUUAAUUGUGAAAUGUCAGCCAAUUUUUUCUCUCUCAUUCUGAAACAGCUCAGCAGGAAUGGUGUACACUAGAGACGUCUGUCUGUCAGUCAGAACUGCCAAAAGAGCAAAACGGGUGCACGUACAAAUUAAAGCAGCCAAUCAGCGAUAUAUUUCAGUUACUUAAAGCUAGCACAGAGGGAACAAGCAAUGUGCAGGGCCAAAAGAGAUGAGACCCCUGAACCCGAACCCUCCUGAAUGAUCUGAUCACAUCUGAUUCGAUGUCUCGAGUCAUUAGAUUUAACAUAUUUUAAAAAUAUUUCUCAGUUAAUAUGUGAUUUAAUUAAAGGUCAAGUUUACAUCUGAAACUGAACUUAUUAAAAAUUAAUUUGAAAUAACAUCUAAGCUAUCUAUUUGUUUAUAAUAAAAUUUAAUUGUCAUAUCAGAAUUAUUUUCCGUUAGACUUUACAAUAAGUUAAUCCCAAAUAAAUUGACAAUUUCAAUUUUAAAGUUAGUUUGUAACUUUAAAAUAAUUUUCUAAUAAAAAUUUAAUCUGAAACAUCUGCAAUAAUAUCAAGUAUUUUGAUGUCAUAACACCAAUGUUUCACAUGCACACACAAGUCAUAUAUAAGUUAAUAAAAACAUCAUUUGUUAUUAACAAAAUCAUGUUAAUUUUUAAUUCUUAAAUUAACUCCCUGUUAAAUUUUGGCUAAAUCAUUAUUGCAAUUUAUAAAUUAAUAUUUAUAAAAAAUUAUGAAUCAUCCAAAAAGCUGCUUGAUAUAGAUUAAUUUCAUGGUCAUCAAUUUUUUUUUUAUUUAUACACCUUUAAAUUAUCACUUGUAUCAUAUGAAAAGACUAUAUUACCCCUCUAACAUCAUCAUAUUUAAACGGCAACUAAGCUAUGGUGAACGACAUUAUAUUUUGUCAACUUAAGAUGAAUGACUGAUAUACGCUAAAAGUAUUGUAGUAAAUUUGAUAAUAAAGUAUACAAUUGAUAAUUUUCCUAUUUAUAAUUUAUCCCCUUAAUUAUGAGUAAUUUUGUUUUUGUCUUCAUUUGUCCCUUUCCUACAAAACCAUUACUAAUGUACAAGUUACAUAUAUAAAACAUUCUUCUUUAAUCAAGUUUGGAAUAUUUUCAUCCUUAUGUAAAAUUAUGCAUAUAUCUUUUGAGUUUCUCAAUUGUACUUGAAAAAAAAAAUUACAUUUAAUCACGGUUGGUUAUCCAUAAAAAAUUUUAGGUGGAAAGUUCACGCGUUUUAAAAUUUAAUUGUGGAAUUAUAUUACAUUUAUUAUUUAGUUUCAAUUUAAUCAUGUAUCAAAUUCAUGUUUUAAAACAUGUGGAAAUUUAUAAUAUAUAAUGAUUCUAUGUAAAUAUAUUAUCUCAUUUCUUCAUUCUUUUGUUAUUAGUUCUCCUCCACUGCAUUAGAUAUAUUUUGAAGUUUUCUAAUGUAAAUGUUACUAACAAAUACGCAUUGAAUAAUUAUCGGGUAGUUUAUAUUAUAAUUUAAUAAUAGCCACAACAUAAAUGUACAAUUUGGUGAUAGUAAAUGACAUUACAUGAAAAUGAAAUCAUCAUGUUGCAAACAAGAUGCAACCAAGGGAUUGCAAACAAUGUUAAGUUACUAUUGGGUCACUUGAACUCCUGGGCUCUCUCCUGUGUAAUUUAUAUUAGACUGUCGCGUACAAAACGCAGACAUAUAUAUACAUACAAGUAGUGCUUUGGCAACAGACACAAUAACCAAGAAGCAGCCCUUGUUUUCAAAUUCAUUCAAAUGCCAGCCUGCAGUUUUGAAUCCUUCAAAUGCCAGCCUGCAGUUUUGAAUCCUUCAAAUUGUGCUCCACCUUUUGAGGGGACGAUGAAGAGUGAAAGAAGAGACAAAUGGCAGAAUAUCAUCCAUUGCAAUGCCUCGUUUCUUAUAUUUCCAUGCCCGAACAGCAAAUUCCACCAAUCUUUUUGCUGCCUUUUCCCUAUCCACUACUGAAGAAACAAUCUCCACCGCCUCUUGGUUCGAAAUCACAUCCCAAACCUGAAGAACAAUCCAUAAUUGAUCUUUCAAACAUUGACAUUAGUUCAGAUCAAAAGAUAAUUCCAAUAUGUGGAUACGUACCCCGUCCGAUGCCAGAAUGACAAAUUGGUCUCGUGUUGUUAUGUUUCUUUGCGUUACAUGGAGCACGGAGAUUAGGCCAUAGUCCUUGACACAGUAAUCACCCAAGGCUCUUGAUAUGGCUAGUCCCGGAGUCUCACCAUUCGGCAUCCAGACUCUGUAUACGCCCGGCUCAUCAUUUAAGCAAAACACAAGCCCUUUGGACUGCGUUAUUCGCUCCGCUUCCUCUGUAUAGGCCAGUGAAGACAAGAACCCGUACGCAGACCUUAAAACACACCCAUAUAUACACCUACACGAGGCAGAAAUAUUUAAGAGAAGAUGAGAUAAUUGAGAUCUGAUUGGUAAAAUAUUGUUAAUUAGUAAAAAAUAAUUAAUAUACUUGCUAUUUAAGUAUUUUACUAAUAUUUUAAACAUCGGUAUUCAAUGAUGUUAAUAUGUGAUUUUAAUAUUAAAUUUAUGUUCUCAUUUAUAACAGUAUGGUCAUCAGUAUUCACAACACAUCAUAUAUUAAUGUAUGGGUUUAUUAAUAUUAACAAACAUUUAUUUCCAAAUAAAUAUGGUAGCCUUAGUAUUUAAGAAUAUUCUUUAUUGUCUAGUCGUCUGUCCAAGGAAGAACGGGCCAUCAUCAAAUUUAUCAAGGGCCUUCUCUAAGUAAUCAAAAGCAGGACCUGUGACAAAUUAAAACUUUUUCCGUGAGUUCAGCACAUAUAUAUACAUAUUCAAAAUGCAUUCUAUUAUAAACAAGUAAGCAAGUUUCAAAUCCUACCAGCUUGUUUUGCUGGGUCUCCUUUGAAUGAAGUAUACACAUCGUUGGUGAAGGUAUCGAUGUGGGAAAACAGUUCAUCAGCAAACUUUCGUUUCUCAGGAUCCUACAAUAUUUUCACAACAUUACUUUACUCAAAGUUGAGAGAGAGAGAGAGAGAGAGAGAAGCUUUUAUUAAAAGCAACAAUGUAAUCAGCAAAAUCUUACAUCAGGUAAAAGUGAAGGCCCUUCAAAAUUGCUGUCAACAUAUUUAAUCAAAUCAAGAGAUUCUCCAAUAACUUUGCCAUUGUGCUCCAGUGCUGGAACCUGUAAAGAAGAACUCUAAUAGGUAAAUAUACUUCAUAACUCCAGCAAUGAUCUCUAAUCUUGCACGAAAAUGUAACAAUCAGUUUAACUCUUUCGUUGUGUUUUCUUGCAAGCAAGCAACUUGCUCAAAUCAGAAUAUGUUAAGAUUUUACUAGGCACACAAAGCACAAAGACACCAUUCCAAUUUUAUUCAGGAACUCCUCCGCACAGAUUACAAGCAUUUCAAUUUCAAAGAUGGGGCAUAAGUGUUGGAGAAUUAACAAAUAAAACACACAAAAAACACACUAUUUUAUUUCUUCAACAACACUCCUCACCAAUUACAACUCUUAUCUUUCACUCUCUACACCUUAGAGAUUUUGCUACUUCACUUGAUGAUUAAACCAAAGGGGAGAGGGGGUAUUUAUACAUGAAACAAACUAAUCACAACCAUUCAUUUAUUCAACUAAUACACAAAUCCUCACCAUCCAUUAAAACCUACCACUCACCUACUUCACCAACCACACCUAACACACCUAACACAAAUAAUUCAAACCUCACCAACCAUACCUACUCAUGGAACCUUCCAUGAGUUGGGCUUGAUUUGGAUCAAGUUUAUGAUCCAACACCUCCCCUUAAACUUGAUCCUGUGACACCAAGCAAACUUCUGAAUCUUAUAAAGUCUUCUUGCUUGAGUGGCUUAGUGAAGAUAUCAGCUGUUUGAUCAUGUGAUUUUACAUACUUGAUUUGCACUUCUUUUGUUGCAAUACACUCUCUUAUAAAAUGAUAGCGAGUGUCUAUGUGUUUACUUCGAUCAUGAAAGACUGGAUUCUUGGAUAGGGCAAUUGCUGAUUUGUUAUCAACACAAAUCUCGGUUGGCUCUUCUUGUGCCAAACUCAACUCCUUCAGCAAAUUUCUGAGCCAAAUUGCAUGACAAACACUUGAUGUGGCAGCUACAUAUUCAGCUUCACAGGUGGAUAGCGUGACAAUUGGUUGCUUCUUUGACAUCCAUGUGAAAGCAGUAUCUCCCAUGAAGAACACAAAUCCUGUGGUGCUCUUUCAAUCAUCUACAUCUCCACCCCAAUCGCUAUCGCUAUAUCCAACAAGCUUAUAGUCAUUAGAAAAUGAGUACAGCAAGCUGAAAUUAGUUGUACCUUUGAUGUAGCGAAGGAUUCUUUUUGCAGCUUUAAAAUGGGUGGUCUUUGGAUUCUCCAUGUAUCGGCUCACAAGUCCAACAGCAUAAAGGAUAUCUGGUCUUGUGCAUGUCAAAUAACGUAGGCUUCCAACCAAACUUUUAAAGAAUGUUGGAUCUAUAUCUUCGCCUUCAUCAAGUUUGGAUAACUUGACUCCGCAUUCCACUGGCGUGCUUAUAGGCUUGCAAUAAUUCAUCUUGAUCCUUUUGAGAAUCUCCUUUGCAUAGCUUUCUUGGGAGAUAAAUAUGUCUUCUUCCUUUUGCUUGACUUCAAUGCCGAGGUAAUAUGCCAUCAGUCCGAUGUCAGUCAUCUCGAACUCUUUGAUCAUCACUCUCUUGAACUCUUCAAACAAGCUUGGAUUACUUCCAGUAAAGAUGAGAUCAUCCACACACAGGCACACAAUCAAAAUAUCUCCAUCUUUUUCUUUGACGUAGAGAGCAUGUUCAUAUGGGCAUUUAGUGAAGCCUUUCUCUUGAAAAUACUUGUCAAUUCUGCUAUUCCAUGCCCUUGGUGCUUGCUUUAACCCGUAGAGAGCUUUCUUCAAUCUCAAAACUUUGUCUUCAUGUCCUUUCACCACAUAGCCUAUUGGUUGUUCGAUGUAAACUUCUUCUUCAAGGAAUCCAUUCAAGAAAGCAGACUUCACAUCCAUUUGAAAAAUCUUCCAUUUGUUCUGAGCAGCCAAAGAAAUAAUAAGUCUAAUAGUUUCAAGUCGAGCUACAGGAGCAAAUACCUCGUCAUAGUCUAUGCCAGCCUUUUGACUAUAGCCUUUUGCAACUAGCCUUGCCUUGUGCUUUUCAAUUUCUCCCUUCGCAUUUCUUUUUGUUUUAUACACCCAUUUGACACCGAUCGCCUUGUGACCUUUUGGAAGAGUAGUAAGCUCCCAAGUAUCAUUCUUCACAAUGGCUUUGAUUUCUUCAUCCAUUGCAGUUCUCCACUUCUCAUCUAGUAUAGCUUCUUAGAAGUUGACUGGCUCACAAUCAGCAAAGAGGCAAAAGAGAGUGAGAUUAUCAUGUCUCUCAGUUACCUCAUAGAGAUCUUGAAGACUCCUUGUACGUUCUUCGAUUCUUUCAUUUAAGAAAGACGGCGGUGAAUCUCUGCAUGUGGUUGGUGCUGGUGAGAUAGGUGGAGUAGCAAGCUAUUGUUGUUCGUCUACUUGUUUUAUCUGUGUAUGAUCAUUUUCUUCAAUGGGAAAGAAGUUGAAGUCAUCCACACCAGAGCCAAAAUCCCAUUCUCCUUCUUCAUCAAAAAUUACAUCUCGACUGAUCACGAUCUUCCCGUUGUUUGGAUUGUAAAGCUUGUAUCCUUUGGAGUUGUUGUCGUAGCUGAUGAAGAUGAACUUCUCACUUUUGUCAUCCAGCUUGGCUCUACUUUCGUCUGGUACAUAUACAUGGGCAAUGCUUCCGAAAACUCUUAGAUGGGUGAUGCCGGGUUUUCUUCCACUCCAAGCUUCUUGUGGCGUCUUGCCCCACACGCUUCUUGUUGGAGAUCGAUUGGAUAAGUAGACUGCACAUGCAACUGCUUCAGCCCAAAAUUCUUUAGGUAGCCUCUUACUCUUAAGCAUGCUUCUUGCCAUGUCGAGGAUGGUUCUGUUCUUCCUUUCUGCAACACCAUUUUGUUGGGGGGAUCUUGGAACUGUCAAAGGGCGUCGAAUUCCAUUUGCUUCACAAAACUCUAAAAAUUCUUUGGAAGUGAACUCACCACCUCGAUCAGAUCUCAUGGCUUUAAUCUGGUAUCCACUUUCUUUUUCCACUGCAGCUUUAAACUUCUUGAAAGCUUCAAAGACUUCUGAUUUUUGCUUCAAAAAAUACACCCAAGUUUUUCUUGAAAAAUCAUCUAUGAAGAGAAGGAAGUAGUUACUUUUACCAAGGGAGUUUGGCUUGAAUGGACCGCACACAUCAGUAUGAAUAAGCUCGAGUGGCUUCUGAGCUCUUGAGUUUGACUCCUUUGGAAAGCUCUUUCUGAACUGCUUGCCAAGUAAACAUCCUUCACAAAGUUGAUCAGGGUGAUUGAUGUAUGGUAAGCCUUUCACCAUGUUCUUCUUAGAUAGUAGCUCCAGUCCUCCAAAGUUGAGAUGCCCAUAUCGAAGAUGCCAAGUCCAGGAUUGAUCUUUGUGACAGGCUUUGAGACAUUUUGCAACAUCAUUUUGAAUAUUUAAUGGAAACAUUCUAUUCUUUGACAUUUUCACCUUUGUAAUUAGAUUUCCUUUAUCAUCUCUUAGGAAAAGACUAUAAUCUUUUAAGUGAAUAUCAUAGCCUUUUUCAAAAAGUUGACCCAAACUAAGAAUGUUGCUUUUCAUAUUGGGCACAUAGUAAACAUUCGAAAUUAUUUGGUGACUACCAUCUUUUGCACGAAAAAGAAUGUUACCUCUACCCUUCACUGGUACUUUUGAAUCAUCUCCAAAAGCAACACUGCCAUUCACAGAUUCACUUAGCUGCACGAACAUGCUUUUGUUCCCACUCAUAUGAUUGCUAGCACCUGUGUCAAGAUACCAUGUAUUUUCUUGACCCCCACUUGUGUCAUUGCGUGCUAGUAAAAGUGUGCCAUCUUCACCAUUUUUCUCUUCAGCAUAGUUCACUCUCUCCUCAAUUCUAGUGCUUGGAGCUCUGCAUUCUGAAGCAUAAUGCCCAAACUUUUGACAAUUAUAGCACUGUACUUGAGAUUUGUCAUACCCUCGAUCUUGGAUUGCCUCUGCCUCGUCCUCUGCUUGAGCUUUCUCCUUUUGGCCAUAAUUGGAGUUGUUAUUGAAAUUCCCAACCCUCGUCCAUGACCCACGACCUCUACCUCGUCCCUCGACCUCUACCUCGGACAUAGUGUCUUCUCUCGUUGUCGGAGCUUUCUUCUCUUUUCUUUGGAUUGACUUCCAUCUUGAGAAGUUGUUCUUCGAUUCCCUGCUUCUUUUUUUGUUUCUCUUCAUAGGCUUGUAACCUUCCUUAAAGUUGCUCGAUCGUCAUAUCUUCCACGAACCUUCUUUACUUGCUCCGCUCCUUUGUAAGAGGUCUCUAGUUUCUCCCAUGCUUCUUUUGAGGAGGUUGUACCAGCAAUCUUUUCAAAAGCAUCUUCAUCUAAUGAUUGAAAGAUGAGAUACUUUGCUUUAUUCUCUUUCUUCUUCAAGUCUUUUAAAUUCUCCUUCUGCGCCGCAGUUAAAGUGGCUUCAUUUUCUGGCACAAUAAAGCCUUUCUCCACGACAUCCCAUACGUCAUGUGCACCCAAUAGAGCUUUCAUUUUAAUACUCCAAUUGUCAAACUUACUUCCCUUUAAUUGUGGAACUUAAAAUGACAUCAUACCAUUGUUUGCCAUAACUCACAAAUUGAGUGAAAAUUUGGAGAUUCUGAAAGCACAGAUGGAUCCGGCACGUCGAAAAACCUUGGGAAGGACUCGAGUCAACUUUCAGUCAACGGUCAACGUCGGUCAACGGUCAACACCGGCUUGGUAGUCUUGGUUUGGUCCGGAUUGGUUCAGCUCCAGUUGGCUCGGUUCGACUCGGCUCGGUUCAGCUCGGCUCGGCUUGGUUCAGUUCGGCUCAGCUUGGUUCAACUCGGUGAGUCGACUCAGCUUCAGGACAGAAAACUUCCGAUGGCAAGUGUGGGUGCGUUCGGUCUCGGAUCGGGAUGAUUUUUGCGGCGUCACGUUCCUCUCGUCAAGAUCUUCGAUUUGAUAUGCUAUAUGACUAUAUAUAGCAUCAAACACUAGCUCUGAUACCACUUUGUUGGAGAAUUAACAAAUAAAACACACAAAAAACACACUAUUUUAUUUCUUCAACAACACUCCUCACCAAUUACAACUCUUAUCUUUCACUCUCUACACCUUAGAGAUUUUGCUACUUCACUUGAUGAUUAAACCAAAGGGGAGAGGGGGUAUUUAUACAUGAAACAAACUAAUCACAACCAUUCAUUUAUUCAACUAAUACACAAAUCCUCACCAUCCAUUAAAACCUACCACUCACCUACUUCACCAACCACACCUAACACACCUAACACAAAUAAUUCAAACCUCACCAACCAUACCUACUCAUGGAACCUUCCAUGAGUUGGGCUUGAUUUGGAUCAAGUUUAUGAUCCAACAAUAAGGACACAGAGUCACAUAAUUAGGCUAUUUGGUAUUGAGGUGCUGUAGUUUUUUUAGCUACAGCUGCCACGGACCCAAAAAAAAAAAACUGUAACUAUAAAAUAAAAGUUAAAAAUGCGUAAUAAAUAUGAAUUUUAAAUUAAGAUUUUGACAAAAAUAGUAGAAAUAUUAUAAUUUUACAAAACACUUUUAACUCUAUACCUUUUAAUCCACGGCCGCCCUACCUCAAUACCNNNNNNNNNNNNNNNNNNNNNNNNNNNNNNNNNNNNNNNNNNNNNNNNNNNNNNNNNNNNNNNNNNNNNNNNNNNNNNNNNNNNNNNNNNNNNNNNNNNNNNNNNNNNNNNNNNNNNNNNNNNNNNNNNNNNNNNNNNNNNNNNNNNNNNNNNNNNNNNNNNNNNNNNNNNNNNNNNNNNNNNNNNNNNNNNNNNNNNNNNNNNNNNNNNNNNNNNNNNNNNNNNNNNNNNNNNNNNNNNNNNNNNNNNNNNNNNNNNNNNNNNNNNNNNNNNNNNNNNNNNNNNNNNNNNNNNNNNNNNNNNNNNNNNNNNNNNNNNNNNNNNNNNNNNNNNNNNNNNNNNNNNNNNNNNNNNNNNNNNNNNNNNNNNNNNNNNNNNNNNNNNNNNNNNNNNNNNNNNNNNNNNNNNNNNNNNNNNNNNNNNNNNNNNNNNNNNNNNNNNNNNNNNNNNNNNNNNNNNNNNNNNNNNNNNNNNNNNNNNNNNNNNNNNNNNNNNNNNNNNNNNNNNNNNNNNNNNNNNNNNNNNNNNNNNNNNNNNNNNNNNNNNNNNNNNNNNNNNNNNNNNNNNNNNNNNNNNNNNNNNNNNNNNNNNNNNNNNNNNNNNNNNNNNNNNNNNNNNNNNNNNNNNNNNNNNNNNNNNNNNNNNNNNNNNNNNNNNNNNNNNNNNNNNNNNNNNNNNNNNNNNNNNNNNNNNNNNNNNNNNNNNNNNNNNNNNNNNNNNNNNNNCUGGAAAGAGCUCAAGCUAAUUAAUUGAUUUUUAUCUUUUGGAUGCACUUAAUUGUAAUUAACCGGAUCAAAUUUUGAAACCAAAAUAAUUCACGGGGCAUUCUAGCUUCUAGCUAAUUCAUCCAAAAAAAUAUAAAAUUAUAUAAAAAUAAUAAAAAUACGUGUGAUGUCAGCUUGAUGCGUACAUUCAAAGUUCCAAUUGAAAACAAAUAGAUAUUCAUUUUUCUUGUCAAAUUAUUGAAAGAGACAUCUCUUAAUUUCUUCCAUCACCAGCAACGGUUGAGUGACCUUGUCUUACAUUGUGCAGCAGCCUCCUCGAAGUUAAAAAAAAAAAAAAAAAAUAGCCCAUUAUCUUGGCUUUUGGCUGGAUCCAAAUUUUUGUUAAAUACAAAUAAAUAUAAUAUCAACUUAAAUAUUCCAAUAAACCUUCUAAUAUCUUCUUUGAACAGUUUUAUUUUUAUUUUAUGAGGAGGGAAGAGUAAACCAUUAAAACUAUAAUUCAUCAUAAAUUUAUUGUACCAAUUUUUUUUUUAAAUCCAUAAUUUUGUGAAAUAUAAAUUUUAAGAAUUGAAAAAUAUCAUUAUAGCUUUCAUAUCCAAAGUUAAUUUUGAUAUUUUUGUACAAUUACAUAAUCUUCAAAUGUGGAUAAUGUAAAAGAUGAAAAUUGUCAAAUUAUUAGAUAAUUGUUUUUACAAAAUUUUAACGAUCAGAAAAAUCUUAAUUUAUAUGUCUUAGUUUAAAGAAUUGGUAUUAUCAAAUGUUACUUAAAUGUAAAUAUAAUAUAAAUAUUUUGUGUAUUUAUAUGUUACGUUUAUGAUUUGAUCACUGUUUAUCUAAAUUUUAAUAAAAUCAGACAUAUUUAUGUAAUUUACUCAUAAAAAAAUAAUCCAUGAUUUAAUUUGCAAUGAUCAAAUUGUUGUAUUUUGUCAUAUCAAAAUACAUAUUUUUGUACAAUUACCCAUAAAGUUUAUGCUACAAUCAAGCUAUUUAUAAUAUAAGUGUGAUUUUUGAAUUUAAUAUUGAUAUUAGUAUUAAAUAUGAUAAUAGAAAAAUAUUUUAUUAGAUAUUAAUUGGGUCAUUUGUGUUAUUGUUUUUAAAAAUUAAUGACCUGCAACAUUAAUUGUCAAUAAUGGGUUUUUUUAAAACAUGCUGGUGCCCGGAUGUAAAUGCCGGUACCUCCCAAGUCAGUAGCCUUAUUAUAACAGUGUAUUCCCGUCAGCAUAUUGGCCUGCCCCUGUACCAUUACUCCAAUUGAUGCUGAAAAUAUAACAACAUCAGUGACCGCGUUGUCGUUUCCCGUGAUGUUUAUUCCGAUGCCGGAGAAAUCCUUUUCGCGAUCAUCCCCGCCGAUGUUGAUGUGUUGGCCGAUGAAGGAAUUUCUUAUAUACGUUUCGUGGCCAUCUUGGAUGGAAAUGCCAGCGGUAGUGAAAUGCGAAAUGUAACAAUUGUCCACUGUGGUUCUUAUUGAAUUUAUAAUGGCAAUGCCGCCACCCCUAAAAUUGGAGUCCAACAUAAGCUCCUUCAAAGUAAUGUAUUCGUAUAAUGACGAUGAUGAUGACGAUCUUAACUCUAUGAGAUGUCCGUUGCCCGAAAAAUCAUCCGAUGCUCGGAGGGACCCACCGUGUACCUAUGUAUACAUAUAUAGAUGUUAAAAGUAAGAAUUAAAGUAAGAAUUAAAUUUUAAAUUAAUAUGUGAUUUGGUAUGAUUCCUAGUUACAAAAUUUUGGCAUUUUGUAUUCGGUUUUGUAGUCCUUCAUAAGACUGGCAAAAAUCAUUAUCAAUUAAACAUUAUGUUGUUAUAUUUUUUUAAUGAUCUUUAUUUUAUUUGCUUUAAACAAUAUCUAUUUUUCAAAAACAAUACUUUUGACAAGCAAACCCUAAAGUGGGAUUGAAGCAGAGAUGAAAGAGAAAGCAUGCAUUUUGCACAUGUUUAUAAAAACAAGAGAGUAUAUUUAAUCUCAAUCUGUAAUUCUGUAUAAUGUAUUAUUCUUAAGUUUGAAUCAAAUUAUUCUUGAUUCCAUCUGCCAAUCCAUCUCGGGCCAUUGAAUUAUGCAUAGCUAUUAUGGUAAUGGUCUCUUUAUUCUCCUCACAAUCAAUUAAUUGUGAUGACCAUACUGUUCUCACGAUUCUCAACCGCAAAAAAUUUAAAUAUUGUAUUGUACAUUUUUAUAAACAAAUUUUAUGUCAUCUCCAUUAUUGUGGAAUUUUAAUAUCCUAAUACAAUAUUAUGAUAGUAAUUGGGUCAAUAUGGGUAUUGGGUCAUAUUAUCGUUAUAAAUAUUAAUUUAUUAUAACUGAGUGUGUAAAGUAUCUUUUUUUAUUGUUGUACCAUAUUUAACUUUUGGCUGCAAAUAUAUAUAUACUUAGCAUUAUUUAUAUCAAUAAGUUAAUAUAUAUAUCCUUUUCUUUAGCAUCAAAUUUAAGUUUUUAAAAAGUUAUGAUAAUUCACUAAUUUGGUAUUUAGGAAAUUAAAUCCAUAUCAAUUUAUUAGAUAUCUUAAACCGUAUGUAAAAAUAGAAUAUUGACCAUUAUUCUAUUAGUAAUAUAUCCAUUAAAGAUUUUGACGUGCUAUGGUCUAAAAAAAUUAACUUGGCGGGAUGUUAUGAUUAUAUUCAAGGUGAUAGGCAAGAAAGUUAUGAGGAGACCCCAUUGAAGCCUAUAUAUUAUAGUAUGCAUAAAGACUCAAAAAGUGCACUUGAAAUAACAGUUGUCACUGACAGGUUAAGAUAAGCUACCAAAUUGGCACUUAAAGGAAGAAAUUCUAGUAUUAGUGUCAUAUUUUAUGCCAUAUUAUGUAAUGCAUAUUAGUAAUGAUUUCUUCAUAAUAUCGCAUAUAUAUAAAAGUUCAUCCUAGCUAGAUGCAUUGUAGAUUUUGUAAGAAUUAUUUUACUCUGUCCAAAUGAGUUCACAUUAUUAUCCAAUUUUCCUUUUUUUAAGUUGAUUUAUGAAAGAAAAAAAAAAAUGACACCAAUGUUUUCCACGUCGCCGCAAGUCUCAUCGAUAAAAGUCCAUCUACAAAUUAGUUCAUAAUUCUUUUUGUAACUUCGCUAAAAGCUAGUCAAGUCAUUGCUAGCAAGCCUCAAAAGCACGAAGUACGCGAAUCACGGCGAUAACUGAUAAUAACUUGGUUGUCCGGUUUCGCAUACUAAUUAGCUUGAUUGAAAAUCGUGAAGUAUGGGGCACGACUAACGCAACGCAUACGUCUCAUGCAUUAGGCAAAUAUUGUACGCGACCCAUGUUGAGAGCACAAAUCCACUAUCUACAAGUACUAUAUAUAGAGCUGCAAUGCGUGCUUCAAGUAUUCACAACUUACCCCCAGCUGGCUAGCUAGCCUCUAUAAUUUGAAGGGAAAAAAAAAAAAAAAAAACCUUGUUCAACUUGCAAAUACCUACCAAUUAUUAUGGAGAAAAGCUUUGAUAUCAUUGCCCUGUCUAUGAUCAUUCUGGUGACUUAUUCAUCUAAAAUGGUGUCGGUCGCCGGCCGGUCGCUGCAUGAACCAUCCAUUGUUGAGAAGCAUGAAAAAUGGAUGGCUGAGCAUGGGCGCACUUACAAGGACGACCUGGAGAAGGAAAAGCGGUUUAAGAUAUUCAAAGAAAACCUUGAAUACAUUGAGAAAGCCAAUGAGGAGGCGAAUCGGACGUACAAGUUAGGCACCAAUGAAUUUUCAGACUUAACUAAUGAGGAGUUUCGUGCUUCAUAUACAGGAUACAGGGUGCCAAGCCAGUCAUCUUCAUCACGGCAAUCCACAACAGCAUCCUUCAAGUAUCAAAACCUGACUGACGUUCCAACUAGCAUGGACUGGAGAGAGAAAGGAGCUGUCACUCCUAUUAAGAACCAAGGUCAAUGUGGUAAGUAAAUCGUAUACUAAAUAUUUAUGAAGUAACUAUAAUAGAUUAUUUAGCCUCCAACCUCUUUCAGAACUCAAACUCAGUUGACCAUCAGCUAAUUAAUAAAAACAGCUUGACAACCGUCUGCCAAACCCCUGCUGGGGCAUGUUUCAUGUAACUUAAUCAAGCCUUUUUUUUUUUUUUUUCCCUUAAUAUGUACGAUGCAGGAGACUGUUGGGCAUUUUCAACUGUGGCGGCGGUGGAAGGGGUGACUGAGAUUAGUAGUGGUAAUCUUAUUCCACUUUCGGAGCAGCAAAUACUAGACUGCUCAAUAGAUGGUAACCGUGGAUGCGGUGGCGGUUGGAUGGACAAUGCCUUUAAAUAUAUUAUAAAAAACCAGGGUAUUGCCUCAGAAGCGGAUUAUCCAUACAAGGAAGUCCAAGGGACUUGUGAAGACGCACAGGUCAAGGCAGCUGCUAAAAUUAGUAACUUUGAAGAUGUAAAACCCAAUGAUGAGCAGGCUUUACUCCAAGCUGUAGCCAUGCAGCCAGUAUCAAUUUGCAUUGAAGGAAGUGGACCAGACUUCCAGAGUUACAAAGGCGGUAUUUUUAACGGAGGAUGUGGAACUCAGUGUUCUCAUGCUGUUGCUAUCGUUGGAUAUGGGGCAACUGAAGAUGGAAUGAAGUAUUGGUUAAUUAAGAAUUCAUGGGGGGAGAGCUGGGGUGAGGCCGGCUACAUGAGGAUUCUCAGAGAUGUUGAAGCACCUGAAGGUCUCUGUGGCAUUGCCACUAAACCUUCCUACCCAGUUGCAUGAGUAGCAGUAUUUUAUAUUAUAAUAUUAUUAGCCGCCUCUUAGUAAUGAUGUCUUCAAGCCUACACAUGCAUUAGCCUCGAAAGGCUUAUACGAACCGUAUGAAUCGUAUGAUUCUGUGGUUUUACCUAUGUUGAGUAUUUCAUAAGUUGUAAUUGAACGCCAAUAUUUGGUAUUAGUUAAUGUUAAAUCUCUCGUUUAAAUAUAAGUUUGAUCUUUGCAGUAAUUAGUCAUUUACAUUUAAUGUCACGGAUACUCAAUUCGACCAAGAAAUACAUAGUUUAUAUCUUAGUUACUCUGAUAUUUUAUGUGGCAUGUUAUAUGUAGUUCAUUGAUCAAGUUGUAAGAAUAGUAUGUAAAUAAUUAAUAAUAAAUUUAUUUAUUAUCAUUUAUGAGACAAUAAAUGAUUAGUGGAACAUUAAUUAAAAUACAAACUAUUAUUAUUUAUUUAAGAAAUAUAUAUUGGUCAAUGAAAUUAAUGCAAGACAAAAAGUAACUGAAUUUUGAUUACACGCUUGAUGUCUGGAAGUACAAUGAUUAUGAAUUUGUGUUUAAUUAGGUCAAAGUUUUAAGUUAAAAUAAUCAAACCUAUAUACUCACACUAACUUUUAAAGUUUGAGUGGAAUUUGCCCGCUUUAAUUGGGGUCUCAUACAGCAAAAAAUUUUUGGCCAUCUUGAAUUUCUUUUUCUAUUUACUUAUAAAAAUUUAAAGGCUUGGUAAUUUCCCUCCCCCAAAUUCUGUCUUUAUUCCUAAGUAAAUUAGUUAGUCAUUAUUUCAAUAAUUAAAAUUAUUCUAAGUUCUAAAUUUUGGGCGUGGAGGGAAAGUUAAGCGCAAGUAGCCGUGACUGAUUAAUAUUAAACAAUAUAAUUUAAUGCAUUUUUUUCUUCAUCUAUUUUUUUAAUAUUAGUUUUUGAACAAAAUAGUAGAACGAUAGUUAGAAUUUAUUAAUCAAAUUUUUUUACUUUCAUAUCCAUAUUAUAUUGUCAAUAAUAGUGUCAUGUAAUUAUAAUUAAAAGUAUUUGCAAAUAAUUUUGAAAGUCGACCGCCUCAUCAAAAACUCAGGAUGGCCGAGUGGUCUAAGGCGCCAGACUCAAGUCUGGUCUUCGAAAGAGGGCGUGGGUUCAAAUCCCACUUCUGACAAUGUAAUUUUUUAUUUUUUAUUCAUUUUUUUACAACGUUACGACUAAACGACGUCAUUUUCAUUAAACGGCAAGUCGUUUCAGUCGUCUUCUUUAACGGAAUAAAAAAUAUCUAAACCGAAGACCAAUGUUUCCAAACCCGCUAUAAACCCUACAGAUAACCCUCAUUGCCACUCGCAUCACUGAGUUCUUAACCUGAGUUAAAAUGGCCGAGUCCGCAUCCGAACUCAGUGAGUUCCGGAUUUUUCCGGCGGACUCACCGCCACCACAACCGAAUUCAACCGGAGUUCCGGUUCAUAAUCUAACACCAGAGGAGCUCGUGGCCAAAGCCAUAGCUCCAGUUAAGAAACAGUUUCUUCGUCAUUAAAUUCCAAAAUAAAUUUUAACAUAAUAAUUAAUUCUUUUAAUAGAUAAAAUUUUCUAUAUGCACGAUUGAAUUCAGCCCCAAAAUGUUAAUUAAAAAACAAUUAUCCAAUAUUCAAGAUAGUUUGAAUCGUCAUUCUCAUAUCGUUAUAAUGUCAUGAAAUAAUUGUACAAAAACAAAUGACCAAUAAAUUCACAAACGUAUAAUAUUGCCUAAUGUAAAUAACUUAUUAAUUAAUAUUGAUAUAUUAUUAAUUACUUAAUGUUUUACCUUUUUAUAAAACAUAAAAUUAUGUUUACUUCCAUUCAAGAUAUCCCAAAAAAAUUAAUCUUUUUGGAUGAUUCAUAAUUUUCAAGAGGAUGUUUUUACACCAUACCAUCGUCAAAUUGAUAAGGGCCAUGUUAUUUUUUAUUUAAUUGAUUUAAAUUUCAACUAGAGAGCUAUUGGAAUCGAUCACUGUAAAAGUUAAGUUGUGAUGUAAUCACACAAUCUUGAGAUCUGCUAUUAGAAAAAUAAUUGAAGAACCAAAUCCCAAUGAAAAUACAUCCAAAAUGAUGUCGUUUUGAAUUUGUUCCCAAAAAAAAAAAAAAAUUAAACUCACUAAAAAACAACAUGUGUGUUUUUGUUAACCUUUUAUCGAAUUGUAAUUUAAAUAUUUAUCAUGUACUUUUAUAUUCUAUUCAGGGCUGGCUCAACCAUAUUUGAGGCCUUAGGCAAAUGGUUUUAAUUAGUUUUUCUUAAAAUUUAGGACAAAAAAUAUGUUUAUUAGUUAUGAGUGAUGAUACAGCCACAAACUCUUGUACAAACUGACGUGGUAUUAAUUCAUUGGUUGAAUGAAAAUAUAAAAUAAUAAAAACAAAUCACGUGAGCCAAGUGAUAUUUAAUUCAACCAAUCUUAUCAUGCCACAUCAGUUUGUACAAGAGUUUGUGGUUAUAUCAUUACUCAUUAGUUAUAUAAUAUUUAUUGAAAAUCAAUUCUUUAAACACUCUCUAAAAUGUAAAAUUAUUAAAUAAAAUUAUAUUACACUAUUGUCAAUCCUUGAAAUUUUAAUUCAAUUAUAAUAUUUUUACUUUUUUUUUUAACUCAAAUUACAUCUUUUAUACUACUUCUUUUCUACAUUAAAUUAAUUUUUUUAUUCUUCUAUUUUCUAAAGUUUUUUGAUAUAGUUAUUUAUUUCACAAUAGAAAAAAAAAAGCACACAAAAAAUAGUAGAUGAAUAAAAGAAUGUAUUAAAAAGAAAUAAGAACACAUAAAUAAUACGAUUAAUUAAGAGAAUAAUAAAAAAUAAAAUCUGAAAUUUGAAAUUUGAGAUGAAAUCAUAAAUUAACUUUAUCUUUAUAUUAAUUAUUUGAAGAUUUGAGUAAUGACUAAUAGCCAUAGAGAAUAGAAAAAAACUAUUAGAUUUUUUCUUUUUUUUCUUGAGUGGAAAGUAGAGGAAGCAAGAUUUUUUUUCCCCUCUCUCUCUUUCUUGCUCUCAAAAACGAAGAACAUAUGCUGUCUUCAUUGUUAGAAGAAAAAUUUAAUGGAUAAGUAAUAAAAUGUGGGGCUUUUAUAGAGGUUUAAAAUGAAUAUAAAACUUUUAUAUAAGUUGUUAAUUCUAACAAUGAAAUAACGAAUUUAUAGGAUUGAAACUAUUAAUUUAUCGGUUUUGUAGGAAUUAAAACUACUAAGUACUACAUUAAAUAAACUUUAUAGGAACUCGGUAGUUUAUUUGAGAAAAGAUAAUUACAAAAUAAUAAUAAAUUAGAUGCAUGAUAAUGACUUUUAAAUUCACUUUCCUCUUUUAUAUACAAAAUAAUCAUCUUAUAGGAUUUUCUUGUAAAGUAGGGCUCUAAGCAACCGCCUAAGUUGUCUAGAGAUCGAACUGCUACUGAUUCUAUUACUAAUUUUGAAAUUUUCAGACAUAUUUAAGCUCCACUAUUUUAUUUUUUUAAUCAAAAUAGUAUGUUUAUUAAUAAUGAUUAUAAAAAAAAGAUAAUGAUUCAAUAAUGUUGUUUAUAUAUAUUGAAUCAACUUUAAAAGUCAACAUUUACUUUACACACUCGUAUAAAUGCUAAAAUAACCCUUUAUUUAUGUAUUUUUUAAGGCUGUAGAAUGUAUUCAUUACAAAGAUACAGUACAUUUAAUUUGUGGUAUUCAAAAUUUGAUGAUUACCAUUUUUGAGUUGAUGGUCUUAUGCUUCAUAUUUGCAUUAAUUUUAUGUUUAAUAGUAUGACAGUGAUUUCAUGUAAAGUUUUAUUUCCUAAUUACAAUUUUAAAUUAAUGUUCCUAAAUUUCAUAUUAUCAUUAGUUUCAUAUAUCUUUUAUGUUCAAUAUUAAUGAUUUCAUGUAAUACUCCAAUGAAUUCUAGCUUAAUUAUUACAAUUGUAAGUAGAUGAUCAUAUUAUUUUAUGCUUAAUUUUAUAAUUAAAUUAACGAAUGAAACUGUUGCUACCUUUUCAUAAUUAUUUAUUUUCCAGGAAUCAUUUUUUAGCACUUCUCAAUGUCAUUAUUUGAAAAUUAAAUGAGGGGUUGGGUUUGUAUUCAUUACAUCGGAUGAUUUAUAUUUAAAUAAAUUAUUUCAAUCUCAUAUCGUUAUAUUAUGGGUGAUUUUAUAUCCACAUUUAAAUUUUUAAAGUUGUUAUCUUAACUUUUUAAAAUCAGAGUUGUGUUUAUUUAUCAAUUUAAAACGUCAAUAAUCUACUAUUGGCGUAACAAUUGAUAUUCUCAUUUUGGAAUCAUCAAGAAUCUUAAAAUUUUCAAAGCCACCAUGCUCAAUUUAUACACGAAAAAGAGGAGGGGGGGGGGGGGGGGUAAGAUGCAUGAUCAGAAAUGAAUUUGGCAAGUAUUUGAUUGAGUUGAGAGGUCACUAAUCUCACUUAAUUUGCGAAUCACAAUAUGAUUGUUUUCAAUCGGCACCAAAACGAAGGGCUGGUUUUGGUUAUUAUAGUGCCUUGUUCUAUGAAGGAUUUUGGUUACCCACAUAUGGGAUUGAUCUUUGCUUCUACUCAGUAUAAAUUCUUGAAUUAUACUAUAUAUAUAAAAAAAUAAAAAUUAUAGAACAUGCUAUAAGCGUAUAAAUUGAGACUUUCGUUAAAUUUUAAUUUAUAAUAUUUUUCCGGAGAAAAGUAAUUAGCAUGAAACACAACAGCGGUGAAUCAUCUCAUUUUUCAAGAAAUAAUAUUUGUCAGAGCUUUUUUUUUUAUAUUAGUUUAUAAUUAACUUUAAUAUGUAAUAAUAUAGCAUAUUCUGGGAAACCUGUUGGGAUAAUUGUUUUUAAUAUUAUUAUGAUAUUACACAUGAUUGGCAGUCGCAACUCAUCAUCAUCAUCUGAAACCAUAUUAACAAACAUUUAUUUAACAAUAUUCUUUAUGUAAACAGGAUUACCCUAAACCCAAUUAAUAUCUGCAGGGAUCAGACGACUGUUAGAACAUAUGUUAAAUUUGUAUAAUAUAUGAUUUAAAAAUUUAAAAAAUAAAUUUUUCUUUUUUGGAGAUAACAGUUGGUAUAUUUAGGAUUAGUAAAACUAAAUGUUUUAUUUUUAUUCUAUGUGCUCCAUCAUGGCAGUAGUUAUUUUUUUGCGAUUAAACAUACUAUUUUGAUUUAAAUGGAUUACAAAAUGGCACAUUUUUUUAACCCUUAACAGUUGGUAUAUUUUUUUUUAACCCUUAACAGUUGGUAUAUAUUUUUUAAUAAGAUUAUUAAUGCAUCAAGUAAUCUUGUUUUGAUGAUUGUAACUCGUGACUGCGGGAAAAUUUCUAAUGGAAACAACUCAAUUUCGGAAGAAAACUUGAUUUUGCAAGUGAUGAAUUUGAACUCGUUGGAUUGGUUGAUUUAUGAUUGACUGAAUUUCACUUUUCCUCAUAAGAUCUUUAACCAAAGUUUAAUAGCUAUCAUGUACUCCUUAAAAGCAAUUUUUUUUUUUAGAUUUGACUGAAUUUGAACUUGUUGGAUUGGUUGCUUUUAGAUUAUUAAUAUGAGAUAUUACAACGUAAAUAUUUUCAUGUGGUUGAGCCCUAUUCUAAAAUCUGUAUAGUUAGCUUUAGAAAAAGGGCUUUUCCUGCUGAUCUGUAAUCUUGAAAUAAACUUAGAUACAAAUAAUGAAAUAAAGGACAACAAACAAGCAAUACUGAUACAAAGCCAACAGAUCAGAGUUUUUGGUACAAAUCCAAUAAAAGACAAUAAACUUAGGACCUUUUUUUCUUGCUUUCUUUUGUUGAAGGAUUAGAGUUUUUGGUAUUAUCAGUAAAGGUUUCAAGGAGUAAAAGCCUAUAAACUUUUUUUUUGGGGGAGCGCCGCCGGGGGGGGCGGGGGAGAGCAUGCAAAUUAACCAAAAGAAAUAAUAAGAGCACAGGCUUUAACAAUGAAUACUGACUUAAAACUCAUGCAAAAUAAGUUACAAUACUAAAACAAACCAGAGAAAUUUUUUUCUUGGAAAGUAGAUGGAACUUAUGAAAGAGCAGAUGUCAAGGAUUUAGAAAACGUGCACCUCUUUAAUUACCUGGGAUUAGAGAGUUGGUGAGCUUCUCUAUUUAAGAACAAGUUGAAAGAGGAAAAAGAUCACUGGUAACUGCUGAGGAAUGUGUGAGAAAAGAGUUGAUGAGAGCAAUAACAAUGACCUGCAAAAGAAACAGAAUUAGUCAUUCACCGCUUUUCUAUAUCAUGUAUUUGGUUAUUGUUGCCCUGUUGACGCAUGUUGAAGAAGAAAGCACUAGUUCACAACUCUACGUUUUCAUAUAUUCUAAAGAAAUAAUUAAGCUUUCAUAGAAUAAUACCUGUUGUGUUUGAGUAAUUUUGGUAUAUACAUUGCUUGUGUACUGUGAAAUUGAAAUGAAUAUUGAUUGACAGAGCAAUGUAUAUGCCUAAUAAAACACAAAGCAAAUACCGGAAUUCCCCUUUUAAGGUGAAGGCCUUACUCAAUUCCUAUUGGAAUUGCAACGAAUGAUUCGGGACUAAAACUUUUAUAAAAGCAAAUACCGGAAACACACAAAAAGCAUUUAAGAGAGAAACUAAACAGCAAAUAAUAGAAGUAAGAUCAAUAAUAUAUGAUUUGAUUUAUGCAUAUUCAAAAACCAAAAUAUAAAAUAAAAUAAAAAAAUAAAGUUUGAUUUAUUCUUUCCACAAAAAACAGGGGAAUGAAAACAGAGGCAACUUGUUUUACCAAUUUUUUCUUCUUAAUUUCCGGCAAAAAAAAAAAAUUCAAUAAACAGGGGAAUGAACACAAAGGAACGAAAACAGAGGAAACUUGCUUUUCAGGCUAUCUUGUGACAUGAUGAUAUUGCUCGUGAAUGCAUGAAAAUUUCUAAUGCAAACAGCUCAAUUUGGGAUGAUAAGCUUAAGUUUGCAAGUGAUGCAAGUAAAUAAGUUUUUGCGGUUAAUUGAAUCUUUAAUACUCUGGGCCCUAUUCUAAAAUUUGUAGGUUGCUUCAGAAGAAAGGGCAGUUCUCACUCAUCUUUAAUCUCCAAGUAAAAUUAGAUACAAAGCAAAUCUAAUAAAAUGACAAACAAACAAACAAACAAAACAAAGAAAAGACAGGAGGCAAACAACAUUGAUCUUAAGCCAACUGAUAUUUUAAACAGAGAAUUCUUUUCUUUUAUUUUUUUUAACCACCUUUUGCUCAAGGAUUAGAGUUUUUAUAUUAACAGAAAGGUUUCAGGGGUCUGAAUAAAAGCCCACAAUUUCUCUAAUUGUUAUUUUUUUUUUUAUUAUUGAAAGGAGCUUCACUAUUGGCCUUGAACAUAUAAGAAUGAGCAAAAGAUCAAUGUCAACUGCCGAGGAAUGUGAGUAAAGAUUUCAUCAGAGUAAGUAAUACAAAUGAAUUGUAAAAGAACAAGACUUAAGCGUGCACCCCGUGUUUUGUUUUAUUGUACGUAUAAACAUAACAUGUUCAUUUUUAACAAAGUGGUCAAUUACUCUUUUUUUUUUUGGUACAAAGACGUGCCUAGCAUAGACUAGGGCAAAACAAAACGGGGGUGUGAAACCCCAAUACAAUUAUGACGAAUCCAAAACCCAGCCCCUAAAGGAAGAGAAUUGAAAAUGUGCAAUCCAACAGGGAGUGAAAGAGCAGAGUUUGCAAGAAAGUCAGCUGCAAAAUUUGAUUCUCUGUAAACAUGCUUGACCUGCACUUGCCAGGUUUUGUUAAGCAAUUCCUUAAUACCCCUGACAAGAGAAGCAUGUGCAUUUGGCCUAAUCUCGUCAUCCGCCACCAAAAGAGUAACACAAAGGCUGUCAAUCUCCACAUGAAGCUGCCGAAUUCCAUUAUCCCAAGCCAGACAUAACCCUUGAUAAAGGCCCCAUAACUCAGCACCAGUGAUGGUACCCACACCAAUAUUCAUUCCAAAACCAAUUAUCCACUCUCCAUAACAGUUUCUAAUCAAGCCAUCUGCACUAGACAGACCAGAACUUUUACGAGCUCCAUCUGUGUCGAGUUUAAACCAAGGCCAAGUAGGUGCCACCCAUCCAAAAUAUUCUCAAUCUUCAUGGCAGCAGGAACCAAACAACUCUAAUUAAUCUUUUGAAUUUCUUCUGUACGGAUCUUAAUAUCCAUUACAACAGUACUCUUGCUGUUGCUGGUAAAAACACCAUUAUGCAGAUUUUGGUUACGCCAAAACCAAAGCCUCCAAACUGUGACCCCAAAAAGACACGGCCAGUCAAACAUACCAUCAUACUUCCACAAGUUCCUCAAAUUAUAUAACAUCCAAUCUCGGAGAUUCAAACUAAAAAAUUAAUGACUAAUCCCAUGGGGUAUCAAUGACGACCAGACAUGCUUAGCACUGGGGCAAUCCCGUAGCACAUGAAGAGUAUUUUCAACAACACAGCCACACUUUGCACAGCUCAUAUCAUCAACAAUAUGUCUCCGGAAAAGUUCUGCUUUAGUUUUAAGUCUAUUUUGACCCACCACCCACAGAAAGGUUUUGAUACGUUGGGGACCUCUCCACUGCCAAAGAAUGCGCCAAAAUGAUUCUUCAUUGUGAACCUCCAUUUUUGACAAAGCCCUAUAUGCUGAAUUAGUAGUGAAAUCUCCUGACUUAGAAUAUGCCCAGUUCAUGUAAUCAUCCUCAUCAUUUACACUGGGAGGCUUGGUGGCUGCAAUUUUGAGAAGUAAAUGAUGGGGCAAUAAAUUCUCAAAAAGCCGCCAAUUCCAAGUACCCUCAACAGUGAUAAACCUCACCACGCACUCCUCAAGCUGCUCUAAAGGUAUCGGCUGCAAAGCGAAAGUAUACAAAGGGUAUUCCUCUGUUACCCAAUUAUCCCACCAAAAUCUAACUCGGUUGCCAUUUCCAAUGUCCCAUUUGAUCCCUUUUAAAACCUCAUGCCAAAUGCCUCCCACAGCCUUCCACAUGUAAGAGCCACAUUUCGUAGGUAAUGUGCUGGGGAGAGCAUUAGGAGCCAGCCCAUACUUAGACAAGAGAACCUUCAACCAUAAACUAUUUGGAGAAGCAAUUAAACCGCCCCCAAUCUUCAUGAGCAGAGCAUCAUUCAUUAAAUUAAGCUGCUUAAGACCAAGGCCUCCGCUAGGUUUCGGUUGACAUAUUGUAUCCUAUUUCACUAAACUGAUUUUCUUCUUGUCUGCUGUCCCGCUCCAAAUAAACCUCCUACAAGCCUGAUCAAUUUUCUCCCGAAUACCAAACGGAAUCCUCGUGGUCUGCAUUGCAUAAAUAGGAAUCGCCUGGAUUACCGAUUGAGUGAGAGUGAUCCUACCCGCCAAGGACAAAUGUAUCGCAUUCCACCGCAACAAAUGUUGGUUCACUUUGUCCAAAAUUCCCUGAUAAGUUAGCUUAUUAACCCGUGAAUGAAUAAUUGGCAUUCCUAAAUAUUUCCCUAGGUUUUUUGUGACAGAAAAACUGAAGGAAUCACCAAUUUCCUUAGCCUCAGCAAACUUUACGUUGUGGGAGAAAAAAACUUAUGUCUUUGUUUUACUAACUUUCUCUCCAGAGCUCAUACAAUAAACAUUCAACACUUCAUUUAUAACCAUUGCUUGCCUAGAGGAAGCCUCUGCAAGCAAGAUAAGAUCGUUAGCAAAAAAUAAGUGAGAUAAAGAGGUACCUGCACGAGACAGUUUAAUAGGUUUCCAGUACCCUCUCUUCACAGUGUCAUUUACUCCAUGGCUUAACCUUUCUAUACAUAACACAAAGAUAUAUGGGGAAAUGGGGUCUCCCUGUCUAAUACCCCUAGAAGGGGUAAAACUCUCCGUAAUUUCUCCAUUCCAUAGAAGUUGCAUAGUCGCCGUUGUAAUACAUUCCAUAAUAAGCUGAACCAAAACAGUAGGCAAUCCAAACUCCCUCAAGGUUUCAUAAAUAAAAUCCCAGCUUAAACGAUCAUACGCCUUUUCCAAAUCCACCUUAAUGGCCAUCUGCCCAAUCCUCCCUUUCUUACGUCUCAUCUAAUGAAUAACUUCCUGAGCAACCACUAUGUUUUCCGUUAUGUGUCUCCCCGGGAUAAAACUAGUCAGGGUAGGAAUGAGGUCAGGCAAGAUAGAUUUCAGCCGGUUAGCUAAUAACUUAGUGAUAGUUUUAUAGAUAACCGGGCAAAGACUAAUCGGACGAAAAAGCUUAAGGCUAAUAGGAUUAUCCGACUUAGGAACCAACACAAUCAGAGUUUUGUUCAGCUCCUUAAGGAUCUCGUUGCCAUUAAAAAUACCUUUUAUAAGACUACAGACAGAUUUUCCCACUACAUGCCACUGGGUCUGGUAAAAGAGAGCAUGCAACCCGCCUAUUCCAGGGGCUUUCAAAGCCUUCAUGCUGAAGAUCACAUUCUUAAUUUCCUCAUCCUCCACUGCUUGUCCCAAAGCUUGCAUUCGACUUUCCUCAAGGACUGGGAAGGCGUUAACAACAUGGUAUGGAUGAUAGAUUGCAUCCUCUUUGGGAUAGAGCUUUGAAAAGAAGGACACAGCAUAAUCUCUAAUCUCAUCAUUAUUCAACAACCAAUAACUCUAUUCGUUAUGAAAUUGAUAUUGUACCCAAUUUUAAGAGAGCAUAAUAAUAACCAUUCAAUGCAUAAAUUUAGAAUUAGGUUUUUUUUUGUAAUUCUUUAUUUAAAUAUAAACUUCAAUGGAAAAUUAUAAAAAUUUAGAUAUAAAAUUUUAAAUCACCGGACCAAAAAAAAAAAAAAGGGGAACGGAAAUAGAGGAAUCUUGCUUUACCUUUUUUUCCUUUAACUCUUGUUCUUAUAUAAAUAAUCUUGUUUUGAUGAUUGUAACUCAUGACUGCGGGAAAAUUUCUAAUGGAUUUGUUAUGCAAGUGAUGGAUUUGUUCAAUUGACUCUGUACUUGAACUAGUUGGAUUGGUUGAUUGAUGAUUGACUAAAUUUGAAUUAAGUUUAAUAGCUUAGCUAUCAUGUACUCCUUAAAAGCAAACGUAAAUCUUUUUUAGAUUUGAAUGAAUUUGGGAACCUGUUGGAUUGAUUGUUUAUAGAUCAUUAAUUUCAGAUACUACAACGUAAAUAUUUUCUUGUGGUUGAAUACCGGUUCUGCUUUAAUGAUUUUGGCAUAGACAUUGCUUGUGAACUGUGAAAUUGAAAUGAAUAUUAAGUGACAGCGCGAUGUAUAUGCCUAAUAAAAGAUCAGCAAAAGCUUGGAUGAAUGAUUGAAGACCAAAACUUUUAUAAAAGCAUUUUUGAGAGAAACUAAACACCAAAUUAUCAAAGUAAGAUCAACAGUAUAUGAUUUGAUCUAUACACAUUCAAAAACAAAAUGAUGAUUAAUAAUAAAGUUUGAUUUUGUAUUGCCAACGAUGCUUUUUUGUUGUUUCAUUUGUUCGACGUGGCCUUAUUUACAAAUUGGUUUAUGUUAACAGAAACAUGAAAUUCACAUCACACAAAAUUGCACGAACAAAUAUUAAGAGAACGUAAUAAUAAUCAGUCAAUGCGUAAGGGUAAAUUUAGAAUUACAUAUUCUUUUUUAUUUAAUAAAAUCCCAACGGGAAGUCAUAAAAAUUUAGAUAUAAAAUUUUCAAUCACCAAACGAAAAAACAGGGGGAAUGAAAACACAGAAAACUUGUUUUACCUUUUUUUUUUUCAUCUAAUUCCUGUUCUUAUAUAAUAUUUUCCCUAGUAUUUCGGGCAAGAAAAAAAAAAUUCAACAAAGAGCAAGUUGCUCAGAUUGAUUUAUCUUGUUUUUCAGGUUAUCUUGUGAAAUGAUGAUAAUGCUCAUGAAUGCUAGAAAACUUCUAAUGCAAACAACUCUAUUUGGGAUGAUAAGCCUAAUUUUACAAGCGAUAAAUAUAAAUAACUUUUUGUGGUCAAUUGAAUUUGUAAUUACUCUUAGCCCUAUUCUAAAAUUUGCAGGCUGCUUGAGAAAAAAGAAUAUUUCUCACUCAUCUUUAAUCUUCAAGGAAAAAACAAAUCUAAUAAAAUGACAAACAAACAAACAAACAUAUAAAAGACAGCAAACAAACAACAUUGAUCUUAUGCCUACUGAUAUUUAAACAGAGAAUUCUUUCUUCUUUUUCUCUUCAUGGAUUAGAGUUUUUGCUAUUAACAGAAAGGUUUCAAGGGUCUGAAUACAAUCCCAGACUUUUUUUUAACUUUGUUUUUUGUGGGAAAAUGGAUUCAAGUUAACCAAAGCCAAUAAUAAGAUCACAGACUUUAACAAUGAACAAUAACUUAAGCAAAACCAAUGACAAGAUUAAAACAAACCAGAGAAAUUUUUCUCGGAAAGUAGAUGAAAAGCAAGUAAGAACUGCUAUUAAAUAUUAUUAAAGGAUUUAGAACAUGUAUACCUCUUUAAUUAUAUGGGAUCAGAGAAAUGACCUUCUCUAUUCGCUUCGGAUAUUAAGUAAGAACUGCUAUUAAAAGAAUGAAUUGAUGAGAGUAAUAACAAUGAAUUGCAAAAUAGGAAGACUCAAUCAUGCACCCCUUUUAUACCCGAUUUUUAAGAUUUAAUUUUGAAGUUCACCAAUCAAGAACAAAGAAAAAACCUUAAUAAAGAAUGCAGUGAGAAUAAUUAAGUUAAAGAAAGUACUAGGUUAUGGCUCUGCGUUUCAUAUGCUGUAAUGAAAUAAUUAAGUUGAAGUUUUUAACGAUUAAAUACCUGUUGUGCUAGAAUAAUUUUAGAAGAAUAUUGGCUUAUAGAGCAUAUUAGUAGGGAUAAGAUUUGUAAGAUGCCAGAUAAAAGAUAAAGCGAAAGCUUGAAUGAAGAAUGGCAUUUAAUAAUUAUAGAAGAAUAUUGGCUUAUAGAGCAUUUUAGUAGUGAUAAGAUUUGUGGACAGAAUAAAUGAAAUAAUAAAAGGCAUAACUGAUCAAGUCAUUAUUGAUCUUACUUUGAUUAUUACAUUGCACAUUAGUUUCUUUCUAAAAAUGCCAUUCUUCAUUCAAGCUUUCGCUUUAUCUUUCAUCAGGCAUCCUACAAAUCUUAUCCCAACUAAUAUGCUCUAUAAGCCAAUAUUCUUCUAAAAUUAUUAAAUUCCAUUCUUCAUUCAAGCUUUCAUGGACACUAUUUACAAAUUGUUCUUGUAUUUGACAGAAAAAUGAAAACUCCUCAUCAUACAAAACUGCAUGAACAAAUCUUCAAUUUAAUUAUGAUAAAAUAAUUAAUUCCAUUAAUAGAUUAUGUUGUUUUUUUUUUUUUUGUCUUGACCACAAGGUAUCCUGGGAAGGGCCCCAACUGUGGGAGGCAUUUUUAAGCCCGUACCACAACCCAUACUAGAAGUCCCCACUCGAACCGGGAGGCACAAGUUCUCCCAACAAAGGCGACUUCCCUGCAAUUCGAACUGGGGAGCAAACCCAGUCAAUCCACUUAAGGGGACUCCAUUGCCAGUGGAGCCAACACUUUGUUGGUUAUGUUGUAUGUUAAUGUGAGGGAUUUGAUCAGGUGAUCAUAUAAUUUACUAAACGCUUUAAGAAGAACAAGAAUUAAUGAGUUAAAAAUUAAAAAAUAAAUAAAUAAAGAGUAGAUGGAAAGAAUGUUAUUUGCAAUCACUAAACCAAAGAACAGGGGAAUGAUAAGAGAGGACGGUUACUGCAACAUUAUGAAGUCAAAAUUAAGAAAGGCAUUCUUUUUUUUUUCACAUUAUUCUAUUUAAUCUUUCAUAAGGCGCACACUACGAAUCUAAAUUAAAUUCAUAAUUAAGAAUAAAAGAUAAACCCAAACAAUCAUCUAGCAGGUGCCGUGUAGACUGCAUCAAAAAUUUAGAUUUAGAUUUUUACAAUCACCAAAUGGAAAAACAGGGGAAUGAAAACAAAGGUGCCGUGUUUGUAGAAACAGGGGAGUUUCCGGGUUUCUGGAAACAAACUCAGAAACGAAUAAAUCUCUUGGUGUAUAUAAGCUUUCAUCAUCUGGUUUUAGUUUGGUUAGGUUUAACUACAUUUCCUGGGUAGCAUUACUUAUGCUAGUAUAUUCAUUUCUACCCAAGCCACAGUGACUGUUAGGAGUUCUCGUAAACUGAAUUUAAAGUUGCGGCUUAAAGUGUUUACCAACUUAAAACCAGAGCUAUAAAGUGUUUGAUGAAUUAUUUUUUCAUUAAAAAAAAAAAAACUGAUUUAGCGGGAUAAAAUAAUGCUCCAUUCCGUUUAGUAAGUGAAGUCCAGAGUAUUACCUACUACUAACUAAAUCCGCUUGAUUCACAAGACUACCAAGAGAUGACUGAAUCUUCAAUGUAAUAAAAUAAUAAUCAGCCUCACAGGAUACAUAAAAAGCUCAUUUUUCACAACCAUAUCCUAGUGCAUCAUAAACUUGAUUAUUUAAUUUUACUAUUAGGAAACCUACUUAUAUAAGGCGCACACUACAAAUUCUAAAUUAAAUUUUCAACUAAGAAUAAAAGGUAAACCCUAGCAGUCUUCCACCAGGUGCCGUGUAGCCUGCAUCAUAAAUUUUGAUUUAAAUCUUUGUAAUCACCGAACAGAAAAACAGGGGAAUGAAAACAGAGGAGCCCUCAUUUUUUUAACCCUUAACUCUUGUUCUUCUAAUUAUAUUUUUACUUGGAAUUUCAGGCAAACAACAAAAAAUAGUGACAACUAUUCAGAGAGAACAGGUGGAUGAUAGCAAAAAUAUUUUUAAUUAAUAUGCAUGAUUAACUCUUGUUCUUCAUUAUUGGUAGUCUCUGUGGGCUCAUUUCGUCUCCAGACCUGAUAUUGUAUAUCUCUUUUUGAAUAUGCAUGCUGCUGAAUAAAGAUGAUUACUUCCAAAUUUUUGUUGCUUUUUUUUUUUUUUUUUGGGCUUUGGUGCAUGAAGAAUGUGGAAAUAGAAAUAGCUUUCGAAGUUUAAUGGCUUGCUUCAUUAGUAAAGAAAGACAAGGAUAUCUGUCCCUUUUUGUUACUGAAUUAUUGAUCAAUUGACGGUUGAAGUUGGUUAUAUUAAUUUGUUGUACAAGAAUUGAAGCUUAUAUCUUAGCCGUUUCGUGAAGUGUCAAAUAUGUUCUUUCCUUGCAAUUGUUCAAAAUAUGUUAUUCUUUUGAAGUCACUAUUACAUAAAGGGUGUUGUAAAAUAGGGAAAGGCGGGUUUAUGAUUAGAUUUUAAUAUGUUUAAUUCAAGGAUUAACCGAAGCUAUUAACCAACGGCUACUAACCGAAAACCGAAUUUAACAAUAAACACUAACUCAGAAUUCAAGAAAAUUAAAUGACAAGAUUGAGACAAAUGAGAGAUAUUUUUCUUGGACAUUAAGAAAGAACUACUACCAAGAUCAAGGAUUAGAGAUUAUAUAUGCUAUUAUUAAUAGAAAUUAUUAAAGGAUUUAGAACAAGUUCACCUCGUUAAUUAUCUGGGAUGAUGAGUUUCUAUAUUCACCUUGAAUAUAUAAUAACAAUUUUAGUGAGCAAAAGAUCACUGGUAACUGCAGAGGAAUGUGUGAGUUUAAGAGCUUAUUAGAGUAAGCAAUACAAAUGAAUUUUCAAAUUAUGUACUUGGUCAUUGUUGUCCUACUGACGCACGUUUUUUUUCAUGAAUAAUUGCCAGAUCAGAAAAGAAUAAAUUCGGUUGAUUGAAAGAUUGCUGAAGUAAGUAAAACAAUCUUCAUAUCGAACAUGAUUCCAAUUAAAUUAAUCUUUUUAUAAGAUGACUAAUAAAAGAUAAAAGUAGAAGCUUUGAUGAAUGAACGAUGACCAAAACUUUUGUAAAAGCGGAUGCCGAUAAAAUAAACAAAAGGCACUUUAAAAAGAAACUAAAGUGCGAUCAUCAAAGUAAGAUCACUAAUGAUGCUUCGCUAUCACAAGGUCCGCAUGGACAUUAUUUACAAAUUGUUCUUAUGUUUCACAGAAAAAAAUGAAACACUGUUCAUCAUACAAAAUUGCAUGACCGAAUCUUCAAUUUUUAUAAUUAUAAAAUAAUGGAUUAUGGGUAUGUUAAUGUUACGGAUAUGAUCAGAUCAUCAUAUAAGUUACUAGAAGCAUUAACAAGAACAAGAUCUAAUGAGCUAAAAGUUUUUUUUUUAAAAAAAGUUAAAUAAAUAAAGAGUAAAAGUAAAAAAAUGUUAUUUGCAAUCACCAAAAUGAAAACAGAGGAGCCCUGUUUUUCCUCUUGUUUCUACUUCUCUCUUUUUCAAGUAGUAGAAAAUGAUAUCAGAGUAUGAGAGCUCACUGCUUUCAUUAGUUGGAAAGUGUCGCCUAAAACACUUCCUCUGCUGGGUGGAAUUGUUGGCUUGAAGAGAUGAGUUCUUGUCACGAGCACAAAUUUUAGCUGUACAUUAUUUCCUUUUAAAUGCACCAUUGUUGCACAGAUUUGAACCAUAUGAUCAUUAGUUUUUUGUUUUGAUUUGGUUAGUUCGUGAUGACAAAUGAAUUAUUUUCAUCACAUUGUCAUUAUGGUAAAAAGUUGCCCUCUUUGUUACUUCCACAGCUAUUUAGUUUAAUAUUUUGUAAUAAGAUCACAAAGUGCGUGGGAACUAUUGUUCGGGUACUUUAGCCUAAAAUGAAGAUCUAUUAAAAAUUUCCCUGAUGUCAUGAUAUAAAACAAUAAAAGGUACCAACUUCAGCUUAAAUUCAUAUAAAAUUAAACCUUACCACAUACUGUAUUGAAACAAAUUACUCAUCUUUAUUGGUAACAUCAUCACCUUCAUAAAAUAUAUGGUAUCGUACAAAGUUCUUGCGCUGGGUUCGGGCAUCUAACAACGAGGACACAGCAACCUAUUCGCUAGGUUAGAGACCAAAUAGCCAACAGCAAAAUGUGCACGACGCAUGUCACUAUCAUGAAAACAACAUUCUUUUUCUUUUUUUUUUUCCCCUCAAUAAUUUCAGAUAUAAUAUUUUAACUAAGUUUGUAACACUGUUGAUUGAAAUUAUCAAGUACGAAUGUGUGUAGAUUUUAACAUGUGCACUCAUAAUUAUUAUUGUGCAGUUUUAGACUUGGUUGGGUAUUGAGGUGCUAAAACUUUUGCCGUAAGAAAAAAAAGUUUUGCAAAAGUUUUAAGUAUAAAAUAAAAGUUAAUAGUAUAUAAUAAAUUUAGUUUUUUUAAUAAUAAUUUUGAUAAAAUUAUAAAAGAUAUAAUAAAUUUUUUAUCAUAUAAGUGUAAAAUCAAAUCAUCUUAACUUUUAAACUACAACAACUAUAACAUUUUAACUGUUCAAUCUCAAUCCUAAAUAGACCCUUAAUUUAUAAUUAGAUUGUCACUAAAAGAUUUUAAGUAUGUAUUUUAGAAUUUAACGAAUACACUUUUAAACUACCUUUGUCAGAUGAAAUGUUGGGAAAUUUUUAUUAAGCUCCAAAAGUGUUUGAAAUAAAUUUAUGUUUUUAUGAUACCAAAAAAAAAAAGAUUUAUGAACAUUUUUGUGAAGCUUAGGCGAAAAUUUUUGUUAGGCUCUAUUGGGCUAGAUGAGCAGCUCGGGCAGUUAAUUAUCGCCCAAAAAGCCCAACCCAGAUUACAACAAGCUGGGAUUUGGUUAGCUCGUUGACGGCCAUUUGGGUAUGCAUGAAUUGGGUGGAUGAUUAAUAAAUACGAUUUAUUAAUUAUUUCGCCGAUUUGAAUAUUCUCCUAAUUUAAUCUUUUCUAAUAUUAUAAUAACGAGAUUUUGACAUGUGUUAUACCUGUGUUAUUUUAAUAAUCCAAUAGAUAAUAUCUACUUUAUUUUUAUCUUUCGUUAUUAAAUACAAAAACACUAAUAGAAAAAAAAAAUGACUUAACUCUUUUUAUAUUUUUAAUUUUUAUUUAUUUCCGUUUAUUGCUUUCCUAGCAAUGUUCAUCUUUUUACUCUACAACAUCCAUAACCUUAACUUUGGAAAUAAAAGAGAAUAUGCGAAAGUAUAAGUAGGAGAAAGACUUCAUUGAAAUCAAACGAAUUGGGCAACGUUAGAUUUUUCUUUAAAAUUCUCAUGCGAUAUUAAUUAGUAGUAUUAUCGUUGUUGCCUGCCUACUUCUAACCUCAACCAAUAUAUGAUCAAUGCUUGAUUUGGUCAAUCUAAAUAAUUAUAAUCGAUGAUAGGAUAUUGUUGAAGGGCGGCCCUAAGGAUGAGAGAGGGAAUGCGUGUGCAAGCCACAUGUGUGAAGAAAAAGAAAAACGCAAGAGUGAAGAUGACGGCGAUUAAGAUCGUGUUUGAUUUCUUUUCCUGUUUAAUUUUAGUUAAUAUGCUGUUGUUAGUUCCAAAAUUUGAGUUAGCAACAAAAUGACAUGUUUUUGUGUUUAAUAAGGAAAAAGUAAAUAAUAGAUUUUCUAUAGGAUUCUUGGAAUGGAUUAGAUUAGACUAUGGAGAGAAAUAUAUUUGAAAAUAUUAGUGUUGAGUCAUUCUAAUGUCUUUAAUAGUAAAUUCAAUUAAGAAUAUUUUAGUAAUAUAAUUUUUUAUUAAAAUUAGAGUGUUCAAAGUUAGUAAUAAAAAAUUCAUAUAACUCUGGAUUUUUUUAUUGAAUUUAUAUAACUCUGGAUUCUUUUUUUUUUUUUUUUUUCCAACACUGAUAUGGUUCUGUUCUGUGUAUUUAUAUACAAUUUAAUGUUUACAUACAAGUUAAAUUAUAUACAAUCCUUCAAGUCGUAACUCAAUUUUAUGGAGGUUUAUACAUCUUUCAACGAUCAAUUUAAUAUUUAUAUACAAACCUCCGCAUCUUUCAACGAUCUCAUCUGCUGAUUUUUUGUAUUCCUGUUCUUUCACUUCAAUAAUUUUUUGUAUUAUUCCAUAUCUUUCACUUUAAUAACCCAAAAGCUUUCCUCUGUUUCAAUCGAAAGAAAACCCUAGCUUAAACUAAGAGAAAAUUUACAUAUUAAAGCUAAUUAGUACUGAAUUUUUUCUGGUGGUGCGACCAGAGGUGGAAACAGGGUAUGAAAAUGCGUUACUGGUGAGGUUGCUGCUUAAGAUGAGAAUGCAUUCUUUUCAAAAAUCCUUGGUAGGUGUUAUCUAAUUAUCUUUGAUGGAAUAUUAAAUGGCUAAAAAUCUGUCAUACGUUCAAACUUUGUUUUUGUUUAGAAGAAUGGUGUUGACUGUAUAUUCGUUUGGAAGAAUGGUGUUGAUUGUAUAUUCAUUUGCUUAGCCUUUUGACAGAUGGAUUUGGAACUGACGACAAAUGUGAUUCAAUUUACAAGGUUUUCGAGGGGCUCACCGUGGAAGGGAUAUUGAAGAACUGGUCUAAGAUAAAGCCUAUGAUUGUGAAAGAUUGGAGUGAGAAUAUAGAUGCUCUUUUUCAUCUUUUUGGCAAGGUCAGAGAUGAAUGGAUAGAUAAGGAUUUAUUUGACUACUUGGACUGGUGCUAAUAGGUAUUUUAGGCAAGCUUUUUGAGAUAACACUGAGCAAGUUAUACUACUAUUUUGCACAUGAUGAUCUCGAAAAGUAAAAUAAAAUAAAUUAUUAACUUUUACUUUCAUCUUUUGCAUAGCAAUCAAUGUGGUGCUUGUUCUGUGACAACUUUGAUAAUCUACUUAAUUAUUGGUUAGCAUUUGGACCAAAAAAGUUCUUAUGAUUUACAUGUUUUGUAGAAAUGCAUGAACCUUAAAUGUGCUGAUCAGGGAGUUUAAUUAUUGCACCUUGAAAUUCAUUUAUUGUUAACUAAUUGGCUUUCCUUUGCAUAAAGCCACUUAUAAGGCUUGAGUGGACGUCUUUAUGGGCAUAUUAUUUGUAUUUCUAUAUGCAUGCCUUUAUCAUUUAAUGUGCUGCUUUUAUUUCUUUAUGCAUGCCUUUAUCAUUUAAUGGCCAGCUCCCUCUCCUCUUUUGUAAUUUGAAUAGUAGUAUGGGCCUCCAUUUUACAAAUCUUUAACAUCUUUUGCUGUAAAUUAAUUUUUCUUUCAAAUAUUCACUACUAGAAAAAUAGUCUUUACUGACUUUACAAUAGUAUCAGAAAUUACUUUCACUGACACUUGUUAAUUGUGUCAGUAAUCUGGGAGUCAGAAAAAUAGUGACACUUAUAAGUGGUGUCAGUGAUUACUAUUACUACAGUAUCACCGAUAUUAUGACACCAUAGUGUUAGUAGUUAUUGAUAUUUUAUUAGUGUCUAUAAUUACUGUUACCAUGGUAUCACUAAUUAAUAUAUUUUUUUAAAAAUAAAAAAUUGAAUUGGAUCAUUGCCUAUUGAUUUAUUUGUAAAAUUAAAAGCACCACAAAAUAACAAAAAGAAAUUGAUUUAUAUCACAAAAUCUUUCAUUUCACAUUUAAAUAUUAUUAGUAUAUAACUAAAUAAUCCAAAUUCAAUACAUAAAAAUUUCUACCAUCCAAUCAAAUGCCUACUACUUGUGGCUAAAUUUAUAAAUCUAGAAGUUAAAUUGAGAAUGAUGACUGUCUUUCACUCUUUGAAUAUGAGUAGUAUAAUUGCGUUAUCACACCAGCAGCUUCUCCAUUUAAUAAACUGUAUGGGUUAUGAUACAAGUGAAGUUGAGGAAUAAACACUUCAAACACAUUGAGCAAAUAUGCAUACAUGGAAAAGGGAGAAAAAAUUAGCUGCCAAUUCCCAACCAUUAGAGAAACAAUGGUUAAUAUAAAUAAAUCUAUUUUGUUCUAAAGAAAAAAUAUUCAUACACUAUUUAUAAGUAAACUCAAUUAUUUCUAAUGGUGGAGCACAUAUGUGUGAACAACAGAGCAUCACAUAGCUCAAAGUACAUUAACUGUUCUGUGUCUUAUUCAUUUUUCACUUUAGCUUUUAUUUUAGCAAUUUUUUGAGAAUAAGCUCCAACUCAGAAGGUGAAAUCCAACUUCCAUAUGUAGACAUUCUUGCAGCUGACAGCAAUUAGUUUGGGACUACGGCUUUUUUGAGCAUCUGGCAUGGAUUACAUUGAGAUAUACAAUUUACAUACAAACAUUAAAGAACUAAAACAUUAUUUAUAUUUAGAGACAAUUCAAAUGUCAGCAAACAUUAUUUAUAUUGGUUUAGCAAGUGGCACGACAAUUUUUUAGAUAGAAAUGUACAGAAACUAUAAAGGAAAAACAUUAUCAAGACACCAUUAAAGAAUCAUAGAGUACCUUUACCGGAUUUGUUUGCUUUGCAGGUGGGCUGUGAUGAUGAUGAGCAUAAAGCAUUUUCAUUUAAGCGGACAAGUGCCUUAGCUUCUUUACUUACUACAGACCACGUGUUCUCCCCAUCUAGCCUUGCACUUCCAAAAUCAUGAAAUCCAUCUUUGUGGAAUGUCUUAAUGCCAGGAGUGCGUGAAAAUUCUGGGAGUGCAUUGGCCUUCUAAAUAAAAAGAAACUCGUAAAUAAUUCUUGUGUCAAGUAACAAGGACAAAAAUUUACUUGGAAGCAGCGCAUCCAUGAAAAGAUAGACGCAGAUAGCUACAGAGACACAGUCAACACAUAAUAGCUAAUCCUAAACCUUAUUGGAUAUAAUACCUCAUUAGCAGAGAUUGCUUCGUCAUCUGAGGUACAUGUUGAUGCCUUCCUUGGCGAGAAGAUAAAACCAACCUCAUCAGGAAAUUCAGGCGUUUCAACCUCGUCUUCCACAAAGACACUUAUUUGCUUCUGUUACAGCGACAUACACAAAUGUCAGUUUCUCCUAAGAAAACUGGUCGGAACCUGAAAAUUCUAUUCAAAUUUAAUCACUUGCCUUUGGUGAUAAACUGCCAGCAAUCCUUCCACAAGUUUCUCCAUGAGUACCUGUAUGUCAGAAACCAAAUCUGUGCUUUGGAACCUAAACAUGAAUAUCGAUGAACAACACCCUCAACAAUCUCAUUAGCGUCAAAAACAUUUUAUUACAAAAUAAUACUACGGUUUCGGAGCGCACCUUUCAGUAUGUCUAGUCGCGAUUGAAGUUGCACUACUUCCUAUCAAUUUACAAAAAUCAUAGCAUGAAUAAAUAAAACAAUUGCCUCUAAAUUUACAAAAUCAACGUCAUCACAUCAAUUACGUGAUGGAUAACAAUUUAAGUAAAUUUUAAUAAAAAAUUAUUCAACAAUUAAAUCGAAUGACAAUUAAAUUAGUAAAUUGAAUACUGACCUCUUUCUCCGAUGGCCCACCCAACGAAACACAAUUAUCUCGUAAAUCGACGUUAAAAUCUUCCUCAUCUGCAAAUCAAAAAAUUUGAAAAACAGAGAAAUGCUUAAAACGCGUACAGUGUUUAGUGUAUACAUAACAUAAGAGUAUUUAAAAAAUAAUGGCAACCCUGUAUGAAAUGUCAAUCAAAUUACCAGAAAUGCUUUGAUCAGAAUCUUCAUCUCCCUGAAAGCGCAUAAGAUCCCGGCAAAAUGAAAAGAAAAAAAUAAAACGAAUUAUCAUCUACAAAAAAAAACAACUUUAGUUGGUUAAAAUCUACAAACUAAGUGCGGCUCGGAUAGCAGAAUAUGACUAGAAAAACAAAAACAUUAUUGAGUAACCAGAACAUCUAACAUCGCAUAUGGGCACCAGAACAAAAUUCAUGCAAAAAUAUGGAAGUUGAAAAAUCAGCAAAUGCCGCUAACCGAGUUAAUGGAAUGCGAAACCUGCCUAGAUAGUGGAGGAGUUCCGGUAAAGGAGGACCAUCAAGCACAGCUAAGGAGGAAGAAUGCAACUUAAAAUAGUUAUAGUUUCAUUACGAAUUAAAAAAGUUUAAUCCUCUAAUUUUCAAUACAAUGGCAUCUCCUAUUCAUGCGCAUGCAUCAGCAGCAUUGUUAUUGAUAGAACUGAAAAAUUGGCACUCGGAUAAUCAUAUGGUUGUAGACACUGCUCCAAAAUAAUCAUUAAACAUGGAAACUAAUAAGGCCACAGGUUCUGGAAUGCCAAAAGCUGCACGCAUAUAUAUGGGUCAGUCACGAAUAAAAAGAAACGAAUUAUCAUAACCUCGACACGAAUGGGCGUAGUCACUAUAGGAUCAGAGCGGCACAGCCCUCAGCCACUAUAGGCAGGGGUUAUAUUAAUGGUUGUGAAUGAAUAAAUUCAAAUAUCAACUUUAGUAAUCAACUUAUUAAUUUACAAGUAUUUUUUUAUAUUAUGAUAUCGUAUACUCUACUAAUUGUAUUUAAAAUAUACACACACACAUACAUACAUAUAUACCAACUUAUAAUUGUGAGGUAAGCUAAGACUCGAAGCUAUUCCUUAACAAUCUAACACUCUAUAUAAUCUCAAGUGUGGAAAACCAGCAGAGAAACCAAGUUGCUUAAACUCUUGUUCAGUCAUGUGUUUACCUUUGGCCCUGUAGAUGGUCAUAACAAAAAUGUCCCCUUCUAAGAGAGCACGAGUCCUCUGACUUUCAUUUGAAUCAUCAGGCAGCACAGGCUCGCAAGCAAUCAGUUUUCCUCCUGCAGGAAUAGCCUUGUAACAAUUCUCCAUUAUCAGCUUGCAUUCAUCAUCAGUCCAUGUAGUUAAAACCCACUUCAUAAAGAUAGCAUCAGCGGCAGGAAUGGACUUAAACAUGUCCCCACCAAUAUGGGUCACUCCAGGGAUACUUGGAGCUUCGGCAACAACCUCAGGCAAAUCAAAAUUGAUCCCUUCACAUAUAAAACGAUGUUUCUAUAAUAUCAUCCUCAGGCAAUCACCUGCACUCCCACCCACAUCAACCAAUCGCUUCACACCUUUGAACCCAUCGUAACCGUCCAAAAUGGACGUCAUGAACGGCACGGACACUCCCGACAUGGCUUUUCGCAUCAAGCCGUUCAUUUCAGGCAUCUUCCCAUAAUAACUAUAUGUCGGCUCGCCAUGGACUUUCACAAAUGGCUCAAUAGUUGGGUCCAGAAUGGCCUCGUGCACCAAAGGCCACGCGCUCAUAAGCGCGUCCUGGUGAUGCUGGAGCACGUAGGGCGCGUACGAUUGACCCUCGGCAUCAGUAACGAGGGAUUUCCCAAUCUCGGUGAGGCUGUACUUCCUUUCGCCUCCAAAUUCGCGAUGCUCCGAGAACACGCCGUAGUUGGUGAGCAAGCGGAGGAUACGUUGCAAGUUCUCGGCGUCCCCACCGCCGGAUGGGAGGAUACGUGUCAAGAUCUGGGAGGCGGAGAGAGGGGUGUUGGCCAGUCUUCCCUUCUUCCCGCCAUCUCUGCACUCGUUAUCUUCCAUUACUGCUUACUGACCUUUGAUUUCGCAGCACCAUGCCGGCCAAACAAAAAGAUAAGACCUGAGCACUUUUUGACAAUUUGAAUGUUAGGGAUUUUUCAGAUGUGGGGAGCUUAGGAGGGAACGAAUACUUUGGUAGAGGGAGUUGAAAAGUUGUAUUUUGGAUAAGAUAAAGAUUUGUUCAUUUGUUUUGUUUUUAUCCACUCAAAAAGUACAAAUUCUAAAAAAAUUAAAAAUAAUUCGUAGUCUAGUGGUCUUUUGAUUCAAUGUAGAAGUUCUAGGUUUAAGCAGUCUUGGGUUCGAAUUCAGACUAAAACAAAAUUAGAAUGAUAAUUUUUAAUUACUGAUACUUAAGCGUCAUUGAUCGCUAUUACUAAAGUUAUUGAUACUUCAGUAUUAGUAAUUAGUGAUACAUAUCUGUUAAACGCGGAAAAUAAUCUAAAUAUAUGUAUAUAUUGAUACUUUUAAAUAAAGUGUCAGAACACAAGUAUCAGUAAAGACCAUUUUUCUAGUAGUGAUUUUGGAGGUCAUUGGAAUUCCUGUAGGUCUAUUUACCAGAUUUUAGUAAGUUUAAGGUUUUAAUUUUGCUUAGACUUUAAUUUUUCUGAAAGAUUGUAGUAUUGAUCCUUAAAGAAAGAUCAUGCUACUUCAAAUUAUUUUGAAGUGUUGCUAGUUAUAGCCUUACAUAUAAAAUUCCAUUUGUCUGGAAAUUUAUUGAUAGCUGUUACAGCAGCAUAUUUUAUGACUCUACUUCUUAGUUAUGUAAGUUCAUUAUGUUUAGGUCAGAGGCAGUCAGCUGUGGGGAAUUGAUAUAUACACAGAUGACUUUGAUCUUGUUGCCGGUAUGUGGUUCUAUGAAUAAUUGUUCACAAUAAUUGUGUUUGCCUCACUGUUUUUGUUUUAUGAGAUCUAUAAUUGAUCUUGGGAUAUUACUUUCUAGUUCUCAUGCAAGCAAGUUACUACCUUCCCACUGUAUCUCCUCCUUUAUCUGCUAUUCAAGAGUUGCGUGCCAUAAUCUGGUGUUACCUCUGCAAGAUUGUGAAUGAAUAUAAUGCCUCUAAAUUUAUUUUAUACAUAAUGCUGAUGCUGAAUAAUAUAUUGUAGCUCCUGUCAUAUUCUACUUUGACUUUUUAUAUUCUGUUUCAUAUAAAAAUCUUAUUCAACUUUAGUUGUUCAUGAGCAAAUGUCACAUGUAUAAGCCCAAAUGAUGUUUAAAGGUAGCGCAGCUACCUUUAGUUUGAGCUUACAAUGGAUGAAAAAGAAAUUGAAACUGAUAUUUUGCUGUUUUUCUGAUUUUUCAAAGUAUUUUAGAUCCUGACUUUUGUUUGGACUUGAUGGUUAUAGAUUGUGUCUAGAUUUGUUAAGUUGUUUCCAACACCUCGUGCCAAAUGAAAGCACAAUCUUUCUGAUUCAGAUGUCUUGUUAAUUGAAGAGAGCUCAUUGUGCUGAGUUAAAACAAGAAAGGAAGCCAGCAGUCAAGAUUCUUCAGCAAUGCCAUGUCAGUGCUGAGUCAGCUGAUUCUGUUAAGGAUUGUUGAAAGCUCACGUGACUAUUAGUUAGUUAAUUAGCUUUUAGUUAGUAAUGCAGGAUUCUGAUUGGUUGAUUAAUUGCAAUGCUUAUUUGAUCAAUUGUAGCUUGGAAAUAAACUGUAUAUAAACAGAGUCUAUAACGAUUGCUUCAAUUAAUGAAAAGAAAAUAUUCCAGAGAGUUCAUCUAUUUUCUCAGUAACCAAACAAGCAUUUAGCUUAAUUUGCUAUUAUUUUACAUGGUAUCAGGGCCACAAUAUGGCAAGCUCAAGCAAUCCAAACGGAAAUUCAAACACAAUCACUGCAAAUCAAUCAAUACAAACCACAUUCUCCUUCAUAUCACCAAUCAAGUUAGAUCGAUCUAACUACAUGCUCUGGCGAAAUCAAGUUCUAGCCUCUAUAAGAGGAAACAGACUUGAAGGUUACAUUAAUGGAGAGAAGGUUGCUCCCAAUCAGUUUAUCACAACUGGAGGAUAUGCUGGAGCAGCAGGUAGUUCUACUCAACAGAAAGAAAAUCCAGAAUAUACAGUCUGGAGAUCACAAGAUCAGACAUUACUAAGCUGGCUGUUGAGCUCAGUCACUGAAGGUAUUCUCCGCCUUGUUCAUUCUUGCAAUACUUCAUAUGAUAUAUGGAAAACAUUGGAGAAAAAGUUUGGUGCAAAAUCUGAAGCAAGAGUACUUCAACUUAGAUAUGAAAUGAGUGUUUUAAGAAAAGAUUCACUGAAUAUAGAAGAUUAUUGUUUGAAGAUGAAACAAAUAGCAGAUAAACUAGCAUGUGCUGGUAAUCCAGUUUCAGAUAAAGAUUUGCUGCAACAAAUUCUAAAUGGUCUUGGACAAGGAUAUCUUGAUUUAGCUACAUUCAUAACAGCAAGUAAACUUGAUUAUGAUGAUGCAUAUGCACUACUACUUACUCAUGAAACAAGACUUGAACAGAGUAUGAAUGAAAAACAGAUGUUCAAUGCAAAUUUUGCCAAUUUUACUCCUAAUAACAGUGGAUAUGGUAUGAUGAAUGCCUUUUAUGCACAAGCAAGAGGCAAUGCUCGAAGAGGUGGAUAUAAUGGAGGUUUUCACAGUGGCAAUCAAGGAGGAAGAAAUAAUUUUCAUACUGGAAGGGGAAUGUUUGUUAACUCUCAUCCAAGAGGUUUUCCCUCUGGAACUGGAAAUUUUGGUAACAGUCAUGGUAGAGGUCAGAUGAUUGGUAAUAAUAAACAGAUGCAAUUUAUGAGAGGUCAAUACAGUAGUAACUCUGGUAUGCCAAACUCUGAUGGUAAUGAUGAGCAAAGUGUUGUAUGUCAAAUUUGUUUUAAAUCUGGGCAUACAACAACAGAAUGUUGGCAUAGAUUUGAAGAGAAUUAUGUACCACAAUACAUGAAGAAAUGAAGAAAUUAGAGAUGAGCUUAUAUGGCAUAUUAUGAUGCACCAACUGAAAAUUCAUGGUCAACUGCUUGUUCAGGAAUGCCUCAAAUGCACAAUCCAUCAUUCACCCCAUACAUGUCUGAUUCAGUGAACUUGUUAGGAGCUGGAGCUGGAGCUGCCUAUGUUGCUAAUUUUGAAGGUCCAGCAGAUGAAGGAUGGUAUCUUGACAGUGGGGCUACACAUCAUUUGACAAACAACAUGGCAAAUAUGCAUGUCAGAGAUGAAUUCAAUGGUAAUGACAAGCUGAUUAUUGGCAAUGGUAAAGGUCUGUCAAUCACACACAUUGGUAGCACUACUUUUUCAGUUCAAGGUUCUAAGUCACAAGCUGCACGUAAAUGCAUUACACUUAAAGAUAUACUGCUUGUUCCUUCUAUCACAAAGAAUUUAAUAAGUGUUUCUAAACUUACUGCUGAUAAUAACCUAUCUAUUGAAUUCUUUGGAUGUAUCUGUUAUGUGAAGGAUUCACUGGAGGGGAAGGUUCUGCUACAGGGUAUUGCUGAGAAAGGUCUAUACAAAUUGCUGAUCAAAUCAUCUUCAAAAUCAUCACUACAACCUACAUACACCUCUUUUCUUUCUCAAAGCUCAAUAAAUCAACCUUUGUCUAUGUUGUCUCUCUGUCAUUUCAGUUCUGCAACUAAUAAUACUUGUUCUGCAAAUUGUUUUCAUUCAAAUAAAAACUCUUGUACUGAUUCAUCAUCAAAUAAAAUGUCUCUAUUUCACAGAAGAUUUGGUCAUCCCAAUGCUCAAAGUUUCAUUCACUUACUUAUACUUGUGCAUCCUAACUUGUUAUCUACAAAUAUGCUUAAUCAAGUAAUAAAGCAUUUAUGUGAAGCAUGUCAGCUGGGCAAAUUUCAUAGACUUCAUUUUCCUAUAACUGAUAUUAAGUCUAAAUCAGCACUAGAACUAAUCCAUACUGAUCUAUGGGGCCCUUCACUAAUAUGUUCUAGAGAAGGUUAUAGAUAUUAUAUUAGUUUUGUGGAUGAUCACACUAGAUACACCUGGAUAUACCCUCUGAAAUUAAAAUCAGAAGCUCUAGAAGUGUUCAAAUUGUUUAAACUUCAAGUUGAAAAUCAGUUUCAAACCACCAUCAAAGCUCUACAAUCUGACUGGGGGGGAGAGUAUAGACCAUUCACUACUUUUCUAAAUGAAUGUGGUAUUCUUUUCAGACACUCUUGUCCCUACACACAUUAUCGAAAUGGCCUUGUUGAAAGAAAACACAGACAGAUUAUAGAAUUAGGCUUAACACUUCUAGCACAAGUUAAACUUCCAUUCCAGUUUUGGUGGGAUGCUUUUCAUACCUCGGUUUAUCAUAUUAACAGACUUCCUACCUCUGCCCUUAAGAUGUCUAUUCCAUAUGAAAAAUUAUACAGACAUAAAGCUGAUUACAACAUGCUGAAAUGCUUUGGUUGUGCUUGUUAUCCAUACUUGAGAGAUUACAAUAAGCAUAAAUUUGAUUAUCAUACAACCAAGUGCAUCUUUCUUUGUUAUAGUCCUUUUCAUAAAGGUUUCAAGUGCUUUCAUCCCUCUGGUCGUGUGUAUAUUGCUAGACAUGUCAAUUUUGAUGAAACUUCAUAUCCAUUCUUUUCAGAUCCUGAUUUUCAUUCUUUGAAUAAAUCUCAGUCCAACUCUUAUGAUUCCAUUACACCUAUACAAGUAUUUCAAUUGUCUACCUUACCUGUCAUAUCAGUUUUUUUGAAUAACAGCAAUGAGUCUCUUUCUCAAGCAUAUACCAGUAGUGAUAACUUUCCUUCAGCAGUAGAUUCAACACAAGUACAUGUCUCAGAUCAACAACUCUCAAACACAAACAAUGUCUCAGAUCAACAACCAAUUUUACCUGCACCUACAACAUUACCUUCUCCAGAUGAAAUUCCACAAACUCAACCUAUUCUAAACUCACCAUCUCUAAACCACCAUCCUAUGAUUACUAGAGGAAAGGCAGGUAUCUUUAAGCCAAAGCUAUGUACUGCAGUUUUGUUGUACAAAGAACCAAAAACUAUUCAGGAGGCUCUCAACAAUGAAAGGUGGUUUCAGGCAAUGAAAGCUGAAUAUAAUGCAUUGAUAUCAAAUGGCACUUGGACAUUGGUACCAAGAACAGAAAAUCAUAAGCUUAUUGGUAACAAAUGGGUUUUCAGAAUAAAAACCAAUACUGAUGGAAGUGUUGAGAAAUAUAAGGCAAGAUUGGUUGCUAAAGGAUUUCAGCAGAUUGAGGGUGUUAACUACUUCGAGACUUUCAGUCCAGUGGUAAAAUCAGCAACAGUUAGAGUGAUCUUAAGUUUGGCAGUGAUGAACCAGUGGCAAAUACGACAAGUUGAUGUGAAUAAUGCAUUCUUAAAUGGAGAUCUAACUGAAGAAGUUUAUAUGAGACAGCCAGAAGGAUUUGUUGAUCCACAAAGACCAGACUCUGUAUGUAAACUGCACAAAGCUCUUUAUGGCCUGAAACAAGCUCCUCGUGGUUGGUUUGACAAACUGAAAAGUAGUCUUAUACAAUGGGGAUUCAAGAAUUCUAAGUCUGACACAUCUCUAUUCUUGAGAAGAACCAAGAGCUCAAUCAUUAUAAUUCUGAUAUAUGUAGAUGAUAUAUUGAUUAUAGGAUCAGAUUGUGUUGAGUUGGAAGAGUUUAUUAAGUUGUUCAGCUCUACAUUUGCAUUAAAGGAUCUGGGGAGACUAUCUUACUUUCUGGGUAUAGAAGUAUUAUAUGGUCAUGAUAGUAUAUACCUGUCACAAAAGAAGUAUAUCCGAGACUUGCUUGCAAAAGUUGACAUGCUUGAAUGCAAGGGAACAAACACACCAAUGAGUAGCAGUAAAGAUUACAGAUUGCAGAAGAGUGUUGAGGGAGAAAUGGGCUAUUAUAUUGAAGAUCCCACUCAUUACAGAAGCAUAGUUGGAGGACUGCAGUAUUUGGUUUUAACUAGACCUGAGAUAGCUUAUUCUAUUUACAAACUAAGUCAGUAUGUGUCUUCACCAACUCUUCAACAACUUAUGGCAUGUAAACGAGUGCUAAGAUAUUUGAAGGAAACACAAGAAUAUGGUCUAAAGUUUGUUAGAGAAGGUGACAUGAAGCUUACAGCAUUUACAGAUGCUGAUUGGGGAAGUGAUCUUGAUGACAGAAGAUCAGUUGGAGCUUAUUGUGUAUACUUGGGAAACAAUUUAAUCUCAUGGUCCUCAAAGAAACAAUCAGUGGUUACCAAGUCAUCAGCUGAAAGUGAAUACAGGGCUCUUGCUGCAGCUGUUUCUGAAAUAACAUGGCUAAAGUCAUUGUUCCUUGAAAUUGGUUUAUGUUGUGAUGAAAGCCAAUCAUAUGGUGUGACAAUGUGAGUGCUGCUGAACUUGCUCGCAAUCCAGUAUUUCACUCAAGAACAAAACACAUAGAAAUUGAUCUACACUUUAUCAGAGACAAGGUUUUGGCUGGAGACUUGAAGAUACUAUAUGUUCCCAAUGCAGAGCAAAUAGCUGACAUAUUAACUAAGCCACUGAACUCUUCUCAAUUCAAACCUAAGGCUCAAACUCAAUGUGGAGCUAUGUCCCUUGAGUUUGAGGGGGGCUGUGAAGAGAGCUCACUGUGCUGAGUUAAAACAAGAAAGGAAGCCAGCAGUCAAGAUUCUUCAGCAAUGCCACGUCAGUGCUGAGUCAGCUGAUUCUGUUAAGGAUUGUUGAAAGCUCACGUGACUAUUAGUUAGUUAAUUAGCUUUUAGUUAGUGAUGUAGGAUUCUGAUUGGUUGAUUAAUUGCAAUGCUUAUUUGAUCAAUUGUAGCUUGGAAAUAAACUGUAUAUAAACAGAGUCUGUAACGAUUGCUUCAAUUAAUGAAAAGAAAAUAUUCCAGAGAGUUCAUCUAUUUUCUCAGUAACCAAACAAGCAUUUAGCUUAAUUUGCUAUUAUUUUACAUUAAUUAUGCUUCAUUUUUUCGUUAAAGAUUGGAUGGUUGCAUGGAUUGAUGGAGUUGGAGUUCAACCAAUAAUUCUAAUUUUUUGGACUUAAAAUGCCUUUUUCUUCGGUAUAAAAACUUUAGUAAGUGCUAUUGAGUUGACAGAAGUUGAAUACUUACAGGUUGUUUCACACUUUUUAAUAGUUUUACAUAUAUGAAUUUCUGUUUUUUGAUUUUCAGAAAGGAGGUGGAACUAUUGAUUUGGAACCUUAUCUUACUCAUUCAUCGACAACGGAGCCUACCCUCGCUCCCAUGGCAGUGGAACGGACAACGACUACUAGGGCUGCAACAUCAGUUGGUUUGGGUCUGUUUUGAGUUUAUUUUCAUUUAUUUGGCUAUGUUUUGAUAGCGAAUUUUGAUAUGUCAAUGUAGGGUGCGUUUGGGAUUGAGGUGCUGUAGCUUUUAAGCUAUAGCCACUGUGAAAAAAAAGUUGUAAUUAUGAAAUAAAAGUUAAUAAUAUAUAAUAAAUAUAAAUUUUAAAUAAUAAUUUUAUUAAAAUUAUUAAAGAUAUAAUAAAUUUUAUAUUAUACAAGUGAAAAAUUAUAUCAACAUAACUUAAAAGCUACAGCAGUUAGUGUUUACCAAACACUUUAGUGCUGUAGCUUUUAAGCUACAGCUGGCCAACCUCAAUCCCAAACGCACCUGUAAUGUGUAAUUGUUUUGGGUUGAGCUGGUAAUUAUGCUGGAUUAGAUUGGUUUGGUUUUGGUGCUUCUCUGAUGGAACACUGUUUUUUUUAGAAAUUUUGAAUGUAAUAUGAGACUACAUUUAGUUUAAUUGAACACUGCAUCUAGUCUAAUUACUAGAAGUGCGGCAUUUGGUUUGGUUUAUCCGAUAUUCUCCAGAAUUUCACUUGCAUCUGGUUUUGUUGCAUAUGUUUGCUUGCAUUUGGUGGCAGUAGCAGACUGUUUGGUUUUGUGACAUUUGAUGGCAGUUUUGUCUGUUCUUGGUGUUGAUUUAAGAUUGUUCCUGUUGUGCUGAUGUUAAUUGCAGGUGCUUGAAUCAGCUAGGGUUGCUGGUUUAUUCAGAUGGUUGACUCAGGCGUUGUUACUGGUUAAUUCAGGUGGCUGACUCAAGUUGUUCAUUUAAUGUUAGGAAGCAAAUUAAGAAUUAAUGAAGUAUUCAUUUAACUAUAAUUAUUGUAGUUAUUUUAUUUCAUAACUGAAUUAUAAUCUAUGAUACUUGUGAACAAAUUAGAGAAUUUUUAUAUAUGAAUUAUAUAUAUGUGUAUGUACAUUUUGCUAAUAAUUUAAAGAAUAUAUUUCAAUUCCCACAAAAAAAUGGCUCCAAUUUCAAUAAUUCCCGCCAAAUAAUUAAAUUUUUUUAAUUUACCAGCAAAAUAUAUCUUAAAGAAAUUUUAGUUAUUCUUGCUAGAUUUAACAAAAAUGAUUUGUAGGAUUAACAUUUAAUUAAAAUAAUUAAAUAAUUUUAUUAUUCCAAUUAAAUAUGUCAUGUUUAUACGACAGACAAUAUUCAUGAAUGGGAAGUAUUAGUUACAUAUUUUUCCUUGGGAUUUCAGGCAAAUGAAAAAAAGAUUGAGAAUGAUUUCAAGAGGACAGGUGGAUGAUAAGUAUUCAUUUUUGUAUAUUUGUCUAAUGUCCUCAUUAGUGGAUUUUUAUUAGGGAUGGCAAUGGGGAGAGGAGGGGAGGGGACCAAUCUCCCCGUACCCAUCCCUGAUAUUUUGCGUAUGUCCCCGUCCCCUCUCCAUCCCCAUCAAAAUUAUUUAAGAGAAUCCCCAUCCCCUCCCCGAAUAAUAACAGGGGAUCCCCGAGGGUCCCCGAUCCCCGAAUAACUAAUACAUUUUUUUUAUUUUCGAUUUUGAGUUAAUCAUAUUAAAAUAAAAAAUUCAAAUAAAAGUAAAGUUCAAAAUAUAUCUUACAUUAAUAUCCAUUACAAAAGUCACAUACAUUAAAUUAGUAAGUAACGCAGCAUGCAAGAGAUACAAACUAUCAUGAACAAAUUAAUAGCCUAAUACAAAAUUGUUACAAAUAAAAUCAAAUUUAGAUUAAAAAUUAACUUUUCAAUGGUGGCGUGGGCACUUUAUAAAUGUGGACUAUUCCCUUUACAUCACAAUAGUUAAGUCGAAGCAAAUCAAGAGUAAAUAUUAGAUUAGAUUAUAUAUUAAAAUUGUGAUUUGCUGUGGGCAAUUAUAACAUCUAAAAAAAAAUAGAUUUAAGAUAAAUAAAAAAUAGAUUUAAGUUUAAAAUAUUUAAUGAAUAUUAAAAUUAAAACAAAAGUUUUGGGCUAAUAGAAUCUGUCCGGUCUUUUUAAUGUCCUAAAUAAAAAUUUAGGACUUUAAUUAGUUAAUUAGGCCUAAAAAUUUAAUAAUAUAAAUAUUUUGAUAUUUUUUAUUUUUACCAAUACUUAUAAUUUUAUAAUUCAAAUUUUAUUAUUUAUUUACUAGUAAUUUUAAAAAAUAAAAAUUAAAUUAAAAAUUAAAAUGGGGAAAUGGGUAGGGGAUGGGGAUUCCACCUCAUCCCUGUCCCCUCCCCGAAUAAGAAAUUGGGUACAAAAAUUUCCCCGUCCCUUCCCCGAAUAAGAAAUUAGGUAUGAAAUUAUCCCCAUACCCUCCCCGAAUGGGGAAAAUCCCCGAGCGUACCCGUCCCCGUGGGAAUUUUUGCCAUCCCUAAUUUUUAUGGUAUUGAUCUUUUUUUUUUUUAAUUUUCAGUUAGUUGCAGCCCUAGAGGAAGAGCAGGCUGAUCAAAUUGAUUUGUCUUGUUUUUCGGGCAAUCUACGACAUGAUGACCGUGAUAAUGCUCGUGACUGCUGGAAACUUUCUGAUGGAAAUAACUUUAGAGUUCGUAGCAAGCAUUUUUGUUAUGACAAAACAAAGGUUCCCCCAUAUUUUGUUUGUUUGUUAUGGUAUUUAUAUAUCCUGCAUUGGCUAGGUAGACAGGUUAUGAUGUACGUGUUUCUCAUAUAGAACUCAAGUCUGCUGUUGUCCCAAAGUUGGAACCAGAGAUAUCAUGACUCUGGUUUCAUUUCACCUCAACUGUGUUUUUUUUUUUUUAAUUAAAAAAAUAUUUGUUUUAGGUAUACAUACAUGUAUUUUGAUUCUAUUUUCAUUGUAAUUUCUCAUUUACUUUGAAUGAAAGUCAUUGGUGUUUUCGAAUGGGAAUUUUGCAUUAAAAAAUGAAGAAUAGUGAAUAGGAAAUUUCUUGAUUCUUUAGUUACUAUUUUUGGUAUGAGUGCCAUUAGUAGUAAGGUUGGUUUCUACUCGCAAACAAGUGAACUGCUCGAUUCCCGAGUGGUAUCAACCAGUUUCCAACUUUUUAAUAUACACUAAUUGUUAGUGUUUAAUAGCUACUGCUAUUAAAAUUCAACAGCUAACAAAAAUACUUAAAAAAAAUGAUUUUUCUUAUGAUGUUGGGAAAAAAAUUAUGGGUUUACUUAUUUCCACGAGAUCUAUAACAUGGUCUUGACUUCACGAAAUUCUUUUAAUUUAAAGCGUGCUGGUGUGAGAAGGUCAGUUUGACGGAUUAAUUCUUUUCAACAGUGGUCAAGAUAAUUUUACUAUACUAAAAAAUAUUCUUAUUCUGAUAAUGCCACAAAUGUUAUGCUGUUUUCUUCGGCUAAUGAUCUUCUAUUAGGAGAGGUUAGAAAUCAAAUGCUUAAAAGACCAAUUGAACGAAUAAUACAGAAAUUUAGGCAGAAUCUAAUCGAAUAUUGCAUGAAACAUGAAACAUCAAUUCAAGUCUUUUCUUAAACGGAGAAUGCAUCAAACAAAAUCCAAAGUGUCUUGCAAGUCUGUAGCAUGAGCAAAAAAUUGUAAAUAUGUUGAACCAAAUUAUUCAAGUACAGAAGAACGAGCAAGCUAAAUCAUGUAUAAGAGAUUGGCCUGGUUCGGGAUAGCUUCUUCACUGUACCUGAAGGGUUGGCUCAAUCUCUUCUUUAGAAUUCUGCAGAUUUUGUAAUUACUCGUGUAAGCAAGCAUACAUUGCCACCAUAAGAAUAAUAAAGCUAGAGUAAUGAUAUGACCACCACCUCUUGUGCACAAACAAUAUUGUAUAAACUAAUGCGACAUAAUAUGAUUGGUUAAACAAAAACAUUACAUGGCCCUCAUAAUUUAUUUAUUUAUUAUUAUUAUUAUAUAUUUUCAGUCAACCAAUCAUAUUAUAUUACAUUAGUUUCUAUAAAAUAAUUUGCUAAAUAGCACCAAAACUUAAUUGAUACUCACCAUUUCAUUGAACAAUUUUUUCAUGGUGUCAUUGAGAUUGCCUUCCCAACAUCCUUUAUCAUCAUCUUUUUCUUCUUCGGUGACGUUCACUUUGUUUAGCAUUGGUGUGUCUAAGACUCCUUGAGAGAAGAUCUUCAUUUUUGGACACUGUCUCACAACUACUUGUUUCAAGGACGGGAAUUCAAGAGCGUAAUUACCUAAACAAAAGCUUGUUAGGCUUGGCAAACAAUCAAGUCCCAAGUACUUCAAUUUGUUGAAAACAAUGCAAUCUUUCGAUUCUUCUCCAACCUGCGACUGUAUGAUUUCUUCCAUCAUUUUGCAAUCAGUUAUCUUCAUUCUUCUGAGAUUAACCAGAUUUUUAGAUGCUGAGAGCGUCAACACAUUUAUCAACCCGUGACACUUCGAUACUUUCAAAACCUCAAGGUUUUCCAAAUGCCACGAAGGUGGUACUAAUUUUUGCAACUUACCACAUUCCGAUAUUUUUAGACUUUCCAAAUUUGCAAAUACUUUGUUGGAUUCGGCAUUUUCCUUCCAGAGAUGCUGCAAUUUGUGUAAUCCAGACAACUCUAACCCCCACAAUUGAGGGAAAGCAACCUGAAAAUCAACAAAAUUAAGUUGUAAAUGAAAAUAUGUAUCCAAUCUCUGCAGUCUUCCUCUGCAUAUUUUAUGGACAAGAUUAAUCACGGCAUUUUAUAUUUUAUUUUCCAAAUUAGUAUGCUUUGCAGUAGGAUCCCAAAUAUAAGUAUCAAAUCGAUUACUCUUUGAAACACAUAAAUGAAAUCUGAUGCUAAAUCCAAUAUGAAUUAGCUAGGAAAACAGAGAUGUUACACACAUAAUUAAUAUAGUUCAUCACCUCGUGUUACCAGGCAUCCAAUUAAUUUCUGACAUUUUUAUAAUUCAUACUAUAAAGUUAGUUAAUAACGGAGGUUAUAUUGUUAAAUCAGAUAUAAAUUAAGACGACAUGCAAAAAGAUGAGUCAUUAAAUUUGAUUUGAUUCUAAUGAAAUUACAUCUGUGCGAAUGAAAGUGAAGGGAAAAAUAAUAAUAAUGAUUACCUUUUCAUCGAAGAGAUGUUGUAUUUGAUUAGCUACCAAGAGGUUCUCUUCUGAUUUUAAUUUUUGAGCUUCCUUAUUAUCUGCUGUCAUGUGCAGUACAGAUGUAGAAUUGGAUAUGAAUGUUUCCAUAUCAGGGCAAUUCUCAAUAGUUAGAUAACUCAGCAGUUCAAUUAUAUUCCCAGUGAAGUUGCAGAAUCUUUUGAGUUUUGGAAGAUCAAUGAGCCUUAGGUUGGAAAGCUUAGGAAACAGGGGGCCUAUAUGUUCUUUGUCAGCAUUAAUUAGCUCUUCCAAAUGGAGCACCUCUUCUAGUGAAUCACAAUUCGUCACUGCCAGGCAUUCCAAAUUGUUCAAGCACCGUAGCAGAUUGGCAGGAAUAGCACUCGACAUAUUCGUGCAGUCAUCCACUUCCAGCUUUCUUAAAUUGUUGAAGAAGCUGACAGGCAGUUCUUGGCCAUGCCAUAUUUCUUUCAAACGUGGAAAACGUGAGAGUUGCAAAUACUCUAUAUCACGAAAUCCAAUCUGCACAAACCAAAACAAUUGCACUGGAUAUAUACAAUUUUUUUUUAAAGGCAUUAGAUAUAUAUAUAUAUAUAUAUAUACACACACACACACACACACACAUUAAACUUACAUGUUUUGUGUUUUAACUUCUAAAACUACAUAUACAAGGUAGGUGUAUAUGUUUAAAUGUGCAAGCGUAGGGGAGAUGCAUGAACAAUUUGGGUGAAUCGAUUAACACAGACCAUCUUUUUGUAACAUAUUUUUAAAUGUGCAAGUGCAAGGGAGAUGCAUGAGCAAUUUGGAUGAAUUGAUGAGCACAUACCAUUUCUUUGUAACACUUCUGUAUAGUGGAAUUAAGAUUGCCUUCCCGAUGGUACAAUUCACUGUCUUCCUUUUUACUAACUUGCACUUUGUACAGCUUUGGUGUGGAUAAGAUUCCCUGGGGAAAAGUCUUCAUGUUCGGACAAUGUGUCACCGAAACUCGUUCCAAUGAUGGGAAUUCAAGAGUAUAAUUCUCCAAACAAAAGCUGGUAAGCCUUGGUAAAUAAUCAAGUAUCAAAACUUUUAAUUCGCUGAAAGCAAUACGAUUCUCCUUCACUUCUUCUCCAACAUGUCCUACGAUUUCUUCUAAUUUUUGGCAAUUCGAUACAUUAAGAUUCACCAGACUACUAGGAAUUCCAACCUGAAAAUAAGCAAAAGUGUGUGUAUAUUAAAAAAGUAAAAAUGUAAGAAUAUCAUUCAACUAGCACCACAACAGAAAUGGCUUUUUGCAACAAAAAGAUUUUGUUGCCUAAAGUGCCAAUUUUGUUGCCAUAGGUUAUUGCUACAAAAACAAGCUUGUCGGCCCGGUCGUCGGCCUAGCACUGUCGCCCUCUAUGUUUAACAACAUAUCAAAACAUUUCUCGCCUCAAACUUCCUUUCGCAACAAAACAGAUUCGUUGUGAAGGAGUCUUCAACUUGUUUAGAGAAUAAUUUGGCAACAAACAUUUUUGUUGCGCUAAACAGUUUUACACAACAAACUAAUUUUGUUUCUAUAUAGUUAUUUACUACAAAACUAAUUUGUUGCUAAGAAAUAAAGUACAUUUUAUAAAAAAAACGUGUACCAACAAAGGUGUUUGUUAGCUAAGAUCAUUUUAGGCAACAAAACUACUUUGUUUCUUUAUGUUGAAAAUUUUACAAAUUUGCAAUAAAUAUUUAUAUAUUUUUAGAAACAAAUCAAUUUUGUCAUUAAAAAAUAGUACAAUUUUUUUUUAAUAAUAUCAUGGUAUAAAAGGAAGCAAACCAAGUUCGUUGGGAAAGAUACCAAUUUUUUCCCCCACCAUGACAAUAAUAAACUAGAAAUAUAUGUUGAGAAAUCUAACAAAAAAAUCAUUAAUGUCAUUGAACUAAUUUAAAAGUUAAAGGCCCAUUCAGUAUCCAAGCUAUAUAUAUAUAUAUACAAAACUGACUUUAAGAAUCACAUAUGAUAGUCAAAUACAAAAGUGGAUUGUCAUCUAUCCCAAAAAUGUAAUGAGCAAAAAUUAUAAACGAUCUCUAAUUACAACUACUCCAAACUCCAAAUACUUAAAGAUAUGACAUGCACCAGCAGUAACCAAAAAGAUCAAGUGAUGACCAAUUCAAAAUACUAACAAGUUCAAGAUACUCUAAGGACAUCAUUGAAAUGAGUAAUCAUUGAGUAGCUGAAUCUGUAAAGCAAAAAGUGGAUCCUUGAGAAGAAAAAAAUUGCUGCAUCAUACCCUCAAAUUGGGACAAUCUGGACUCCAAUUGAUCAAUAGUCUUCUUUUGUUCUUGAAGCUCAACAUCUUGUGAAUCCAAUCUACUUUGUUGUGAAGAUAUAAUACCAUGCAAUCUGUCAGCCUCAGAAGUAUCAACACCAUGGUUUGAAGUUGGGCGUGGUCCGUUGCCAAGUCCUCGAAAAUAGCCUGUUUUCUUUCCAAGUACUUCAAUGCAUAUUUCCUUUUGAGUUAGUGGUUUUGCUUCUUGAGGAUCUAUUUGUUGCUGUUGUUGUAUCUCUACCAUUUGGUCCUAUACAUAAAGCUUUGUUAGUAAAUGAAGGAAGAAAAAAAAGAAUUUUAUUAAUUAAAUAGUUGAAAUUUAAUCCAUUGGUCAUGGAAUUAAUUUGUAUUAAGGCAUAAAUUGAAAAAAAAAAAAAAGAAACUUGCUGUUAUACUUAUAAAUCUAAUUAUUUGAUAUUUCAAAUAAUAAAGUUAAUUAGAGCAUGAAAGAAAAAUUAAGAAAAAAAAACUCAAUGAGUAAACUUUCAUCAACAGUAUGUAGGUGAUAAGAAAUAAUAAAAUUAAAAAUUUUGUUUCCAACAAAGCAUCUUACAUGGUUUAAGUGUGCCAUCUCAUUCACCCAACCUUUUGUCUUGCUGAAAUGAUUGACGCGAAAUAAUUCUAUUUCACCAUCAACCAUGUCAUCCUCAAGAUAAUUAACAAAAGGUCUUGAUCCCCCACAAUGGACAUAUGGGAGCUUAGCACGAUUAGCUUUGUUUUUGGUAGAUUGAGUCUACAUUAAAAAAAUAUAACAGUGGAAAAUAAGAUACAUAUACAAGCAUAUUGACAACUAGUUGGACAAUUUAAAGUUCAUAAUAUGAAUAUCAUUGGACCUGGAAACUUGCGGAAUUGUAAAUGUUAUGACAAAGCCAAGCCCAAUCAUCUGGACAUAUGCCUGGAUAUGAAUGCUUAAGUGCCUCUUCAAAGGAUGGAUAAUCCAAGUAAUGAUCAUACAUCCAAUGUCUCAUAUCAUGAUAUCUCCCACCCAUAAUGUUAUUCACACAUCGACGAACAUGUGGUACGUUCAAAUCAAUCUCAAACUUUGACUGAAUUUAGGAAAAAAAAGAUAUCUCAGUUUAUAAUUAAAAAAAAUGACAUAUGAAGAAUAUUAAUAAUCAUAAGUACUUACUAAUAGUCGAUCAAACAAAACCUACCAAUUAAACUCUUUAAAUACCAAAUUCUAGAGUUGUAACAACACCUUGCACAAACUCUUGGCUGGGCAUAACAGGCUAAGAUUGGGGAAUUGUAGAUGCGACAACAAUUUCUGCUCUUACACGUUUGGUAACUCUAUGUCCAGGACCCAUCUAGUAAUUAUUAAAAAUAUACAUUAGAGUUUAUUAAUAAUCAACAUAAAAAUAAAUCAAGAUAACUAUAAUUUUGUCAAAGAAAUUAUAACAUGAAAGAUCCUAUUACUGGGCAUAGAUCCUAAAUUCAUUUGACUAUUGUCCACAAACUCAGGUUCUUCACCAUGAAAAACCCAUGAAAAAUCCAUUAACUUUAAUUUAACAAAUUAAAAAUUGAAACAAAGACCCACUUAAUAAAUAAUUAAAGCAAAACCCACUAAACAAAAUCAAACUCAACAGGCCAAUAUAUAAAAUAAAACUAAAUUUACUUGAAGAAAUCGUUGUCUUGAGUGGUGCCUUCCAAGUACAACUCUUCAAUGGCUUAAAGCUUGGGCAGAGAGAAUGACUCCAAGGCAGGGCAAAAGAAACAAGCGAAGAGUAAAGUGGAAAUAUUCUAGAAGCAAUAUUUUAAUUAAGAAAAAAUUGGAGAUGGAAACUUUACUUCGGUUAGCACGCGGUUUAUUAAAUAAAGGGCGCGGAAAUAAAAAAUUAAAAAGCCUCCCACAAAGUCAUGUUUGCUUUUAUAUUAUCUUUAUAUUUUCAUUUAUUAAUUUAAUAUUUUUGUUAACCUUUGCGCAACAAAAUUAAUCUCGUUGCAAAAAACUCUGAGAGUACAAAACAAAUUUUCUCGCUAAUCACAACCUUUUGCAAUAUUUCAUUUGUUGCAACUGAUUUAAGUGUUUGUUGUGGAAAAACUUGAGCAACGAAACAUAUUUUGCCUUCAUUAAGCUUGUUAGGCAACAAGAACACUUUUGUUGCCAAACAUAGCGUAGGGCAAGAAAAUAUUUUGUUGCCAUAUAUUCUAAUUUUCUUGCCUAUUCCACAUCAUUAAGAAGAAUAAAAUCUGUUUAGCUAUAGCGAUAAAGACUAAUUUUUGUUGCAAGAUAUGAAUUUUAGCAAUAAAGUAAGUUUUGUUGCAAUAGAAUUUGUAGCCAAUACUCUAUUUUCUUGUGGUGUAGGUUCAAAGUAUGUUUAAUCAUACAAUUAUACGUUUUAUAAACAUAACAAACCAUGAAAUGUCUACUAGAUAAUUUUUUGUUAAACAAAAAAAGCAACAAGAUAAAUAAAUAAAUAAAAGCCAGAUAAACAAAGAUAAUAAAAAUGCAUUUACACUAUUUACUAUUAGGAAUGUAGAAAGAAUUUAAGGCAAUUUCUAAAUAUUUUAGACUUAUUUUGCAUCUUGAUAUCAGUUUUUAAGCAUAAAUUUGCAAAUUUCAACUAUUCCUUUUGGGGAAAAAAAAAUCAACCAAAAUGCCGCUUUUUCCCUUUUCCUUGGUCCCUUUUUUUUAUGUACAUUUAAAAAUGGGAAAAAAAAUUGGAAAAGACUUCCCAAUAUUGUCAACAAGGGACUGCUGCUGUAAAGUGGAUCUUUAUUAAGUACUUCCAGACUCAAGGAAAUUUCUUUACAAUCACGGGUCAGUUGUAAAUAAUCAUCAAUUUGUGGUUAAUUAAUGGCAUAAUCAAUUCGUAACUAAACAAGAGAUAUUAAUUAAAUUUGAAGACUUUUAUUUUCUUUUUUUUCUUUUUCCAAUCGAAAUGUGAAGAAUUAAGGAAAAGAGAAAUAUAUAGAUGAAUUUAUGAACCUAUAAGAUGAGUGACUAUCCUUUAAUUUUUGAAAAUCGUACUUUUUAAGAUAUGAGCAAAAACUAUUUAAUUGAAUUAUAUUAUGCUGUUGAAUCGUGUUUGAAAAAUUUAUAUUGUUAAUUCUAAUGCUGACGAACCUAAAAACCGGACUUAAAACGUAGAUUUCAGGGUGGUGGUUCGAAGUACGAUACUUGAAAUAAAUAAUCAGUGGCUGAAUAUCAUUUGUAAACAAAAAAUGGUUAAAAUAUUGUUGGAUGUAAUUUGAAAAAAAAAAAAAAGAUUCGAAAUGAAUACAGCGAACUUACCAAUGGAGGAAAAAUAUUCUUUAGGUUAUCACACCAAUUUAUCUCCAAAUUCUUCAAUUUGCUGAAAGACUCCGAAGCAAGCUGGUGGUGCCAUAUUCUUCUCAAAUUAUCCAUCCUCCCAAUAUCUAAUACCUCCAACCUAGGAAGUCGUACCUGGCAGUUAAAGAUUAAAUAACUAAUUGAUCAAUUAAUGGCAUAAUCAAUUGAUAACUAAAUUAGAGGCGGAUAUUAACUAAUUUUGAAGACUCAAGGAAAAGAAAAAUUAAGUAUUGUGACUAAAAUUAAUUUUUUUUAUUAAAAAAAAAACUUUUCGUCAAAGAGAGGAGGAGGUUGCAUUUCAGAAUGAUUGGUGUCUUCUGGUGAGCUCGUAGAGAUGAAUCUUAACAUAUUUCUGCAACCACGAAACUUGAGGUUUAGCAAAGAAGGGAAUUCAACAACUGAAUCUGAAUGAAUAUGUCCCGUAUUGGCAAAGCUUGUUAGUUUAUAAAGCCCAUAGAGCUGUAGGGAGUGUAGUUUAGGAAAAACCUUUAAUUCAAUCAACUUUCCUUCAUCUCUUUCUGACCACCCCGUGGUGUCGACUACCCUUUCCAUUGACCAACAAGUGGUUAUCUCAAGAUGUUGGAGUUUCGCAAGACUAUUAACCAUAGAAUAUGAAAACAGAUACUUCAUACGAUGACAACUGACCACGUGCAGCUUUGUUAGAUUUUGAUAACAGUACAUUCCUUGAUUAUGAUCGGCCCAUAAUUUUUUCAUGUUUCUUAAGUCCCUGAGAUUCAAUUCCUCUAAGCUCGGAAGAAUAACCUGCAAAGAAAACCCGUACAUUUUUGUUCCUUCAAGUACAACCGUCUAGUAUAAUAUUUUUUUGAUGAUCGAAGAUUAAUGGUGAUAAUAAAUUAAUCAAUUAAUUAUUGAACAGAAAAUUAUCACCUUUGGAGCAGUAUCAUCAUCAGCAAUGAUUUCGUUGAAUCCCAAAGAAGUUGUUGGUUUCUCCCUGUCGGGUCCUAUAAACAAACAAAAACAAUAUAUACAUAAUUAAUCUUUGUUUUUUUUUGGUCCAAAAUAAUUGAGGAGAAGUCCAUAAUCACACCAACACUUACCAACAAUCAUUUCCAGAUCAUCGCAAGAAGCCACUUCUACCUUUUGAAGCUGCAGUAGGUUUUUGGCUAUGGAGAAUGAGAAAAGAUGCUUCAAUUCGCGACAGGAUUUUACUUCGAUAAUCCUUAAGUUGCUGAAAGAUUGAUCUUCUGUGAGUUGGCUGUCACAUAUUGUCUCCAAAUUAUUCAAAUAGCUAAGAGACAAUGACUCCAGCAAGGGAAAGACUGUCCAAUGAACCCGUCCAACUGAACCAACAAUAUGCGAAAUAUCAUAACAAUAUUCUACACGAAGAUGCUUCAAUCGUGGAAAACCUUCCCCAUCAUCUAAUUCAUGAACAACAUUCUGAACACCCUUCAGUUCGAUUAGAUGGAUCUCUUCAGUUAACUUCAGCAACAUUUUCGUCCCAUAAUUCUCCCAAAGAGUGCUAACAUUUUCUAACCCAUGGAGCUCCACCAAUCUUGAUGUUUCAGAAUUAACGCGCCACCACGCUUCUCCUAUACAUAUCUUAUAUCUUUGCAAUUCCACAGGGACCCAAUCCUGCGGCAGAAUUUGGGCAUCCCGAACGUGUAUCUCCAAGGUACUUAGCUUUGACAACCCCUUCAAUUCAGCAAGACUGGCGUUACUUCCUCCUUCAACCUUAUCCCACUGCGAAAAACUGUCACCCAUAUAUAGUUCUUCCAAUCGAGAAAAAUUUGAUAUGACAUUUGGUGCUAUCACUACAAGGCUCCUACAAUGUUGGGUGCAAGCGGAAGUGCAGAAAAAUUUUUAUUUAAGAACAGAGUAUUUUGCUGGAAAUUUCUGAAACUUUAUUGCUUAAUUCAUUUUUUUCGUUUCUCUCUUCCUUUUCAUACAACCAGAGUUCUAUAUUUAUAUGCAUUAUAGACAACUCUAGAGAUUACAUUAAUCAUGCUUUACAUUUCCAAAGCUACAUUGCAAACAUCAAUUCUACCCUUUACUUCAUGUUGAAAAACAAACCAAAUAACCCUUCAAACUUCUUGCUCAAUUUACUAGAUUAUUAAUUAUAUCUCAACACCCCCUCUUAAUUAGUAAUCUUCAAUUGCUUCUUGAAUUUUUCAAACUUCUCAAUGUUGAUUGCUUUGGUCAGAAAAUCUGCUGGCUGCUCAUUAGUGCUGAUAAACUCCAUAUUAACUUCUCCUUUGUUUACUAAGUCACGGAUGUAGUGAUAACGCAGCUCAAUGUGCUUAGAUUUAGCAUGAAAUACGGGGUUCUUUGUUAGAGCAAUGGCUGACAUGUUGUCACAAUAAAUUGUUGUUGCAGCAUCUUGAUUGAAUUGCAAAUCCUUGAGAAUUCUUCUAAGCCAAACGGCUUCACAAGCUGAUUCAGUUGCUGCAAUGUACUCUGCCUCGGCUGAGGAUAAAGCUACUGACUUCUGCUUCCUUGAGCUCCAUGAAAUCACAUUUGUACCAAGACAAAAUAAAUAACCUGAUGUGCUUUUUCUGUUAUCAAGGGAACCAGCCCAGUCACUGUCAGUAAAACCAACAAGCUUGCAAUUGUCUUCUUUUUCAUACAUGAUCCCCUGCUUUUUUGUUCCUUGAAGAUACCUUAAGAUUCUCUUUGCUGCAAUAUAAUGGGACUUCCUUGGAUCAUUCAUAAAUCUAGAAAGAACACUAACUGAGUGCAAAAUGUCAGGUCUUGAGUUGGUUAGAUAAAUCAAUGAACCAACCAAGCUUCUAUAGAUUCUUGCGUCAGCCUUUUCUUCUUUUUCAUCAUGUUUCAAUUUUUCAUUCAAACCCAUAGGAGUAGGUGCUGGUUUGCAUUUGAACAUGUGGAAUUUCUUCAACAAAUCUUCUACGUAUUUUUCUUGACAAAAGAAGAUUUUACCUCUGGCUUGCUUCACUUGAAUGCCAAGAAAAUACAUCAUUAAGCCCAAGUCAGUCAUCUCAAAUUCAUCUAGCAUGCUUUUUUUAAACUCUUCCACCAUUUUCAGAUUAGUGCCACAAUAAAUUAGAUCAUCAACAUAAAGGCAAACAAUAAGGAAAUCAGUACCUUCCUUUUUGACAUAAAGAGAAGGUUCACUUGAGCUUCUGUCAAAUCCAUUUUUAACAAAAUAUCUAUCAAUUCUACUAUUCCACGCUCGAGGGGCUUGCUUCAAGCCAUACAAGGCUUUUCGGAGUCGAUAAACUUUGUUUUCUUCACCUUUUACUUCAUAUCCUUUAGGCUGCUCAACAUAAACCUCUUCUUCAAUUUCACCAUUUAGAAAUGCCGAUUUUACAUCUAGCUGAAACACAUUUAAUUCCAUUUGGGCUGCCAAGGCAAGAACAGUUCGAAUAGUCUCCAUUCGAGCUACGGGAGCAAACGUUUCUGUAAAAUCAACUCCAGGCAGCUGAGAGUAUCCUUUGGCAACGAGCCGCGCCUUAUAUUUUUGAACUGAACCAUCUUCAUUGUACUUGAUUUUGAAGAUCCAUUUCAGCCCAAUUGUUUCUUUUCCAUUUGGCAAAUUAACCAUCUCCCAAGUUUUAUUUUUCACAAUGGUGGCCAUUUCCUCGUUCAUUGCUUUGAUCCAAUCUUCAUUUCUUGAGGCCUCCUCAAAGUCUUGAGGCUCACAAGAAAAUAAAGCAAGUUCACAUGACUCAUAAAUUUCUCUCAUUGACUUUAUCUUCCUUGGAGGGCUUUCAUCAUCCGAAGAAACUUUCUGCUGCUGAAUUUNNNNNNNNNNNNNNNNNNNNNNNNNNNNNNNNNNNNNNNNNNNNNNNNNNNNNNNNNNNNNNNNNNNNNNNNNNNNNNNNNNNNNNNNNNNNNNNNNNNNNNNNNNNNNNNNNNNNNNNNNNNNNNNNNNNNNNNNNNNNNNNNNNNNNNNNNNNNNNNNNNNNNNNNNNNNNNNNNNNNNNNNNNNNNNNNNNNNNNNNNNNNNNNNNNNNNNNNNNNNNNNNNNNNNNNNNNNNNNNNNNNNNNNNNNNNNNNNNNNNNNNNNNNNNNNNNNNNNNNNNNNNNNNNNNNNNNNNNNNNNNNNNNNNNNNNNNNNNNNNNNNNNNNNNNNNNNNNNNNNNNNNNNNNNNNNNNNNNNNNNNNNNNNNNNNNNNNNNNNNNNNNNNNNNNNNNNNNNNNNNNNNNNNNNNNNNNNNNNNNNNNNNNNNNNNNNNNNNNNNNNNNNNNNNNNNNNNNNNNNNNNNNNNNNNNNNNNNNNNNNNNNNNNNNNNNNNNNNNNNNNNNNNNNNNNNNNNNNNNNNNNNNNNNNNNNNNNNNNNNNNNNNNNNNNNNNNNNNNNNNNNNNNNNNNNNNNNNNNNNNNNNNNNNNNNNNNNNNNNNNNNNNNNNNNNNNNNNNNNNNNNNNNNNNNNNNNNNNNNNNNNNNNNNNNNNNNNNNNNNNNNNNNNNNNNNNNNNNNNNNNNNNNNNNNNNNNNNNNNNNNNNNNNNNNNNNNNNNNNNNNNNNNNNNNNNNNNNNNNNNNNNNNNNNNNNNNNNNNNNNNNNNNNNNNNNNNNNNNNNNNNNNNNNNNNNNNNNNNNNNNNNNNNNNNNNNNNNNNNNNNNNNNNNNNNNNNNNNNNNNNNNNNNNNNNNNNNNNNNNNNNNNNNNNNNNNNNNNNNNNNNNNNNNNNNNNNNNNNNNNNNNNNNNNNNNNNNNNNNNNNNNNNNNNNNNNNNNNNNNNNNNNNNNNNNNNNNNNNNNNNNNNNNNNNNNNNNNNNNNNNNNNNNNNNNNNNNNNNNNNNNNNNNNNNNNNNNNNNNNNNNNNNNNNNNNNNNNNNNNNNNNNNNNNNNNNNNNNNNNNNNNNNNNNNNNNNNNNNNNNNNNNNNNNNNNNNNNNNNNNNNNNNNNNNNNNNNNNNNNNNNNNNNNNNNNNNNNNNNNAACUUGAUGGUGACUGCCUUUUCGGACCUUGAAAUUCUUGUUUUAGGAUUUCCCAAGCAUUUUUGGCCUUUUUGACACCAAAUAUUCUGGGGAAAAUUGACUUACUAACACCUUGCUGGAUAUAUCGAAGUGCCGUGGCAUUUCUCUGUAUGUUUUCUUUGUACUGCUGUUGAUGUGCUGGAGUCCAAUCUGAAGAACUUGCUGAUUCUGGUGGUUCAGCAUAUCCAUCUUCAACAACAAGGUGUUGGGUGCAAGCGGAAGUGCAGAAAAAUUUUUAUUUAAGAACAGAGUAUUUUGCUGGAAAUUUUUAUUUACAAUUGCUCAAAUCUAGCAAUUGUAACCCCGUCAAUUGUCCAAUUUCAAGUGGUAACUGCUUAAUGUCGGAAUAUCGAAAGCUAAGAAUCUCCAAUUUCUUUAGUUGUCCAAUUGCCGCUACAUCUUCUAGUUGGCACCAGUCUAAACACAAUGUUUGAAGGUUAAUGAGGCGACCGAGUGACGAAGGUAAUGAAGAGAAAGGAAUUCUAGUAAGACUUAAAACUUUGAGUUCUUCUGUCCCUUCAAAAAAGAGAUCUGAAAUUUGCAUAGGGCCAUUACCCUUUCUAAACAACAAAAAUAACUGGAGAUUGGGACAUUGCAACCUUUCAGGGAGCUCUUGAAUAUUUCUCUGGGGUAAUGAAAUGGCAAUUGGAUCUUUCCGUAUUGUCUCUUCCAUCUUUUUCUCUAAGUCGGCAACAUUUGGAAUAUUAAACAUGCGCUUCUCUGCGGCAAUUGAUACGGCAACAACAUGAGUGACGUCAUGCAUUUUAACUUCAUCUUUAGCAUCACCGUCCAACAAUAAGCAUGAAGAUUUGAGGUUGUCGAUCAACCGAUGCACUCUACUCCUUGCUUCUUCCGAUGUGUAAACAUUUUCAAAUAAACGCCAACCCACACCAUAUCUCAAUAAGUUAGAAACUUGUAUGACAUAACCUUCACUGUAUAGACCACAAAGACGGAACAGAGAUUUUGCCUCCUCACUUUCCAAGAAGUCAUAACUCAAUUUUAUGGAGGUGUAAACAUUUGCUUGCAUGCCAUGAAUUUCUCUUGCAUCCGAUCUUCUUAGCUGAUUCAAUGCAUCUUUCCAAAAGUCAAGCUCCUUAGUUUUCAGAGCAUUUGCAACUGUACUCAGUGCAACAGGCAAACCUCCGCA